GCAGGCUCUGGGAAGAGCGGACCUCCAGCUCUGCACCUCCUUCACGUCAACGUUAGAACGACCUUCAUGUUUAGCAAAAGCUUCUGCAAAACUUCCCUCGAGUUUACGAAUAUUGGACGGAUCGACUUGGUAGAAAAUGGGGAAUACAAUCUGGUUCUUGGAAUGGUUGCAUUCCAAGAUUUCCACGAGUUCUUUCAAGCACCAUGUGGAUGAAGCAUAGUUUUCAGAGAAAACUACAAUCGAAAUCCUUGACUCUCGAAUCGCUGUCAGGAGCUCGGAAAGGCGGUCGCCUUUUCUGAGGUCUUCGGCAUCAAUGAACGUGUUGAUUGGUUUCUGACGCAGAGCUUUGUAGAGAUGGCUGACGAAGCCCGUGCGAGUGUCUUCCCCUCUAAAAUUGAUGAACACAUCGUAUUCCCAACCAAGGCAAGAAGAAGAAGAAGAAGCAGCAAUUAAUCGAUCGCACCUGGGCAGCGAUGAUCGAGCAGCUUAAGACUAAGAGAAUUGUAAGUACAGAAACACUCAAUAGAUCUACAAAUUGGAUCACCAGAAAUUAGUCAAUGAGUCAAUGCAAAAGGGAAAAGGGCAAUUAUGCUUUUUGCGUUUUCACAUCUUCUUCAGGAAAUUUCGGUGUGAAAGGAAUCCGCAUACUUUUGAUUUUUCAACCCAAGAAAAUGCGAAGAAAGGGGACAAAGUAGUAAAUUUAAUCUACAGUUGCCUACCCAACAACCUCUUGAUUUAAUAUAUAUUUAAUUAGGAAAAGUAGUUUAGAGGAAGGAUGGUAUCUCCUUUUCUUCUCUCUCGAUCAGUCAAUCUUCCCGCGUGCGAUUUAAUCAUGAUUAAAGCUAAGCUUAAUCUUAGAUCGUAUUAUUUAGGUCUAAUUGGAUUCUUAAUUCUUGUUGUGAUAUAGUAGUUGGAAGAUUAAAAAAAAUUAUGAUUUAAAUGUUUGUGGUGAAGUCUGUUACGAUUUAGUUUCAAACUUGAAAAUUUCGUUAACUCCGUUAAUUAUUAGCACAUGAGACUCACAAAUGAAACUAAAAAUAUAAAGUUAGCCUCACAUGUAAUCUUCACGUGCUAACAAUUAAAAGAGAGUUCCGUUUUAGCUUAAUAUAUGUGACUCACGUGUUAAUAAUUAACGGAAUAUUAACAAAAAUUUUAAUUUUAAGCAUAAAUUCAAAUAAACUUCACCACAUAAGCUUAAAUUCUAAUUUAGAUAUCUUCUAACUAUCUUAUCACCAUAAAAAUUAUAAUCAAAUUAAACUUAUUAUUUAUUUAUAAAUGCGUAAUUAAAUCACAAAGUGUUGAAUGAAAGGGAGCACUCCAAAUGAUGAAAGAUGUGUGAUAUCCACACAUCUUUUUUUUUACUUUUUACACAUCGUUUUAAUUUUCGACUGUCGGAUCGAAUUAAUUGAAGAAAAUCAAAGGAUAAAAAUCAACAAAGGGUGUGCAAGAAGUAAAAAUGAGUGUGUGGAUAGUCAUCCCAUGAAAAGCGGGAGCAUCGAAAGCUAUCUCCGUUUCUUGUUGUCUAUUUGUCUUCUUUUGGCAGAUAGCUCCUAGGGACCGGCCUAUUUUCCACAGCUGGUUAUAGGACUCAGUUACUAUAGAAGGAGUGUUUUGUUGUAAUUCAAUAUCGAUGGAAAUCCAACAUAAUCUUUUUCAAAUUUUUGUGAGGAUUUUGGGGUGUACGUAAAUUGAUUAUGUUCAUCGUAUAUUAUGUGACCAUUUUUUAUCAAAUACUAUUUGUGUUUCAUUUUAAAUAAAAUAAUUUAAAAUAAUUUUUAACUGCAAGAUGUACAAUGAACGGAUAUAAUUCACAAAUCUCCAAAAUCCUUACAAAAAAAUCCGAAAAAGAUCCAAAUUCAAUGGAAAUAAGCUAAUUUUGAAUCAAAUUACAUUACUUUAUUUUGUAAAUAAAUUAAUUUUGAAUCGAACAACAUUCAUUUAUUAUGUAAGUAAUUCAUUUUGUAUGUAUCAUCAUAUAUAUUAGGCACAUUUUAUCAUAGGUGAUUUUGUGAAAAAUUAAUAAAAAGUUACAAUAUUAACAAUAGAUCAAUAAUAUUUAUGUUAAUUAUAAAUAGGUUAACCAUAUGUUGUGAUACUUAAAUACAUUUAAAAUAAAUAAAAAUUACAAAAUCUGACAUCCACUGCGACGUAGGAGCCACGGUGCAGCCCAAACUUUGCAGAUAAGAAAUCUGGUAAUUCACAGCAUGACAAACAAAUUACUGGGUCUCCUGACCAUCGUUGAUGCCAAUGUGUGCACAAGGAAAGGAGUAAGGUAAUCAAAUGCGUUAGUCUUGUGUACCUGUUUCGGUGUUGGUUUGGAUGAACCCAUUGAGUUCUCGAUCCUUAACUUCUGGAAAUGCUCCUGAAAGCAUAAAUAUAUGUACGGAUUUAAACCAAUGACAAAUGGACAUAAUUUACGGACAAUGAUUGAAGAAAAUACAGAUAUAAACGCCUCAGUAUUCCAUUGACGAAAGUUCUAGAUUUGAUGAAUCAAAAGUCCCACGUUGAGACUGCGUUAAGGCAAAUGGUUCUCAAAACCUGUUUUUCCCUCAUCAAAUGAGCGCGUUGAUCUGCAGGUAUUUUCUGCCAUCUCAAAACCUGUUACAAAGAAAUAUAACGUUGAUGUCGAGCUGGAUAGCAUAUUAUACCAAUUAUGUGUACAAACCUAUUGAAAUAAAGUAGCUGUAGUUGCAUAUUACGACAGAUAUUAACGAAAACAAAAGAAGGCUCGCCUAUUCAAGAUCCUAAAUCCCGUGAUUCUUUUGUUUUUAGUUUCAGAAAUUUUCAGAGCAAACUGGAAAGUACCAAGAUACUUACAUAUUGGGCAUAAUGAAAUGCAUCUUCAUCUUUCAAGCAAGAUUUGAGUGAGCGCAAACCGUCCUGAGAGUUACAUAAGUCAAUCAGUAAUAUAAAAACGUAGACGCAUCACAUCCAAACACAAGUAUUCAAACACCAACAACUUCUUCAUGCGGUGAGGCAUGUUAAAAAAUAGGGAAGAACAGUUAUUGAAUAGGAAGUUAAAGGACUAAAUUUAUGACCUUGUGUUUGUAGUUCUUGGCUCGUAUGCGUUCAUCUAUUACAAAACCAAUCUGUAACAGGUACAACAGAAAAUAUAAGCAGUAGUCAGAACAUUAAUCUUCGGCAUUCACAUUGCCACCAAUCCAAAGUUAAAAGUCUGAAGGCAAAACAGUAUGAUUCUUAUCUCUCAAACAAAAAUGAAACUAUACCCCGGUCUCAGACAUAAAUGAAAUAAGUUCUACUGCCUCAACUGAGUACUGUGAUUAUAUAUAAAUCCAAUUCACCUUGUCAAGUAAUCUCUUAGGAUCUUGAAAUGCUUCCUUCUUAGCCCAGUCAUUAAAUACAUGCGAGAAAAUUGAUCUCUCAUCCACACUGAAUCUAUUGCACAGUGACAGAAGAAUAAAGUUAAACAUGAACAUAACCAACCAAAAUGCUAGUUAUAAUAGUACACCCAUAAUUGCAAGCAAAACCUUUUUAAGAAGCCAUUUCCAUGGUUUUCCUCCCAAAUUCCAUCAAUUCUGCAGAGGCAACGUCAAAUUUACUAUGAUGGAGAUCAUUUUGCACUGUAAUAACUUCAGAAGGUAGGAGAUUUGGUUUCAGAUCAUCUGUUGACGGAGUAGUUUCUUUUGAAGUGUCAUGAUGCUUUUGAUUGCAAGCCUUCUGUACUUACGUCAGCCUACAAAACAAAAAUUGCAUUCAUCCACACUAGACUUAAUAAGAUUAGAAACACUUCAGAUUCUUCAUUAUUUGUAUUUUUGACUAAACAGCAGAACAACUGAGGAUAAUGAACAGUAAUACACACCUGGACUUCUCGUAGAUGAUUUGGAAUUUCUUUCAGAAAUCGCGAAGGUUGAAGCAUCUGAAGGAGUCACCUUCUCAGUCAGAGCAACAACAACAAAUAAGGAGGACAGGAAUUCAAGCUAAAACGAACCUGCCAACUGGAAUCCAUCGUAACAUAAAGAAUGAAAAGCUUUUUUCGAGCACGAGUCAUUGCAACAUAUAAUAGGCGUCUCUCCUCCUAUGAUUAGAGUGGGAUUAUUGAGUUAUUGACCAAAAGAAAAAAGAGUGGGAUUAUUGUGAAAAACAUGUCAAAGCUCUGCAUAUAACUGAAAAAUGUUGAACAAUUUACCACACACCUCAAUGGAGGUCCCAUUUUCUUUUGCAACCCCAUUGAAUUCAUGCAACAACGGGAUCUCAGAUUCAUUUACCUGUGUUAUUGGCAUGAGCAUUAAAGCAAGCUAAGAUGAUUUGAAGAGGUUGAUAUCGUCAUGAAUAUAGUAGAACAGAAUACCAAUUUCAAGCCAUCAAUUAGGUAUAGCAUUGGCAUGUUUAAUCCGUAAAUCUAAUGACAGAACACCUCAACUCUACACAUAAAUAAAUAAACAACCUGAAAAAUAUUACAGCCACAUGUUAAGGCAAAUACCUUAAUUAUGAAAACUAUAUCCCACUCUAAACCUUUUGACUGCAAGAGAAUGAAAAAGAAAGACAGUAAGCCAAGAAUGUUUUGUAGAACUCCAAAGGAAGUCCAAUAGGGAAAUCAUCGCAAGUAUAAGAGUUAGCGAGGUUCGCAUAAGAGGAUAUCAAAAAGAUCUAGAACCUGAUGAAUAGUAGUCAAAGUGACAGAACUUUGGUUGUCAUGUCUUCGGGAGUGAAAAUUUUCACUCUCCUGCUCAGAUAUGUAGUCGAUGAAAGCUUUGAGUAAAUUAACGCAGCCUUUUUCUUCUGCUACGACUUCUCUCUCCCCUUUUCCCGCAACAAAAUGAGUUGAUAAGAAAUCAGAUACGUCGUCUAGUAGGUACUGAAGAACCUGCAAUGAGAAUAAUCGCAUCACAGCAACAGGGUUGGACCAAGAUUUAAGUGACAACAAUGAUUAACUAACUAAAAUAGAGAAAUUAUUCAUUUAAGACCUUGUUGACGGAAAAAAGGGUUUUCCAAGCAGCGGGUCAUUUAAGCUUAUUGUAUAAAUGACAAUCAUCACAAACGGCAAACUUACAGAUCUCACGUCAUUGUCUUCAUUCAGCAGUUUUCCUCCAUCUACAUCAACGACUGCACGUUGCUCAAGACGGUACUUCUAAAAAUUGAAAGUCAACAACAACAACAACAACAACAACAAAGCCUUUUCCCACUAAGUGGGGUCGGCUAUAUGAAUCCUAGAACGCCAUUGCGCUCGGUUUUGUGUCAUGUCCUCCGUUAGAUCCAAGUACUCUAAGUCUUUUCUUAGAGUCUCUUCCAAAGUUGUCCUAGGUCUUCCUCUACCCCUUCGGCCCUGAACCUCUGUCCCGUAGUCACAUCUUCGAACCGGAGCGUUAGUCGGCCUUCUUUGCACAUGUUCAAAAUCACCGGAGCCGAUUUUCUCUCAUAUUUCCUACAAUUUCGGCUACUCCUACUUUACCUCGGAUAUCCUCAUUCCCAAUCUUAUCCUUUCUCGUGUGCCCACACAUCCCACGAAGCAUCCUCAUCUCCGCUACACCCAUUUUGUGUACGUGUUGAUGCUUCACCACCCAACAUUCUGUGCCAUACAACAUCGCUAGCCUUAUUGCCGUCCUAUAAAAUUUUCCCUUGAGCUUCAGUGGCCUACGACGGUCACACAACACGCCGGAUGCACUCUUUCCAUCCAGCUCGUAUUCUAUGGUUGAGAUCUCCAUCUAAUUCUCCGUUCUCUUGCAAGAUAGAUCCUAGGUAGCGAAAACGAUCGCUUUUUGUGAUCUUCGCUAGAUUUCUCCGGUCAUUAGUGUGGAUAAGUAUAUAAAUGGAUAGAGAUAGGAAAGCAAACACAAGAUGUACGUGGUUCACCCAGAUUGGCUACGUCCACGGAAUAGAAGAGUUCUCAUUAAUUGUGAAGGGUUUACACAAGUACAUAGGUUCAAGCUUUCAUUUAGUGAGUACAAGUGAAUGAUUUUAGUACAAAUGACAUUAGGAAAUAUUGUGGGAGAAUGAUCUCGUAAUCACGAAACUUCUAAGUAUCGGAGUGUGGUGUCGUCUUGACUUGCCUUAUCUGUCUCAUAGGUAGAUGUGGCAUCUUCUCUGGAAGUACUCUUCCUCAAACGAUAAAUUAUUAAGAAGCAUUGAAUAUAAGCAUGAAACGAAGAAAAUGUUAUGGAAUGGUGAUCCUCAUCCUCAAAGAUGAUUAAAAGCAAUUUGAUUCAAAAAUGACAUAUCAACUCUGGAGAAAUGGAAGACAAACCUGUGGUACCAUAUUCGCAACUGAGGUUAUGACAGCUGAAAUCGAUUGUUCCUGUGUGCAUUGAUAAGUGAGACUACCAUAGAGAUUCACAACUAAAUAAAGACAGGUAUUCCACAGAACAACCUUUACCUCUUUGGAAACACAGAUCUAACAAAAACUAUAACAUUUUGGAUUAAUAUUGACAAAUCAAGAAUAAUGCAAGGGAGCAAGAGAUACUCUUCCUUCUAAUAACAAGGAGGCGUGAAAAGUAUACAGAGUUCCAACAAUUAGAGAACUAAAAUCAAACUAAAAAAAUCACCAAAGUAGACAGAAUCUCACUUCGCCAAAAAUUUGAAAAUAUACCUUUUUAUCCAUUGAGAUUCAUGAACUACUACUACUACAUCAUGCCAAUAAGCAAUGCGUAAGAGGAGCUACAAUUUACCGAAUAUAUUUACCCUGAGAACAAGUUUUGAAAUCAUCUCUAGUGUUAACAGCACCUUGCGUCCUUGGGUAAGCUGAGUCCUAUUAUCAAGUAAAGAGACCAAUCAGUACAUAUCCAAAAGAUCUUAAAUGCUUGUAAUACCAAAUAAGAAAGAAACAUGAGUAUAUCUUGAAUUAACCAUGCAAAAAUGUAAUGUUAAAGCAUCUUGUCAUACAGACCUCUUCAAGGUACCAGAAAUUUUUGCACUAAAGAUGUCACAAGCAGCUGAUAUGAAGCUGCAUUUUCUGUGAGUUGAAAUUUUGUCAAUAUAAUCGAUCACCUGAAGAGAGAGAGAGAGAAAAAGACAGUGAUAUCCAGAGAUGUGAGCCUAAAUGCUGAGUGUGUAAAAAAAGAAGAUUAAAUGGAUAGCAAGAAUAUACAACUUUAAUGCUGAAAAGAACAUUGAAUAUGAUGCUCAUUCAUCAUUCCCAUUGAACGUGUACCUUCUUCUUUUCCUCUUUCUCAAAAGCAAGUAGAGCCUUGAAGACUUGCCUAUAUGAUCCAUCAUCACAACCAGGCAAAGUUGUUUUAAUCAUAGCAACAAUGGCUCUAACUACCUGCCAUAAGAAACAUGCUACAUCAACAAGAUCACAGAGUGUACCAGAAACCGUAAUGUAGCAAAAUCUUGGAUAAAAUAGCUGGCCAAAAGGGAAUGGAAAAGCAAGCAUGAAAAACAAUGAAAAGGACCAGUGAUGCCAAAAUUCUGGUGGAAAAGGUGAAAAGCUUCUGUCUAUUACAGUUCUUGUAUGCAUUCUUUAUAACUUAAGUUCUACGUAGCAAAAACCACCUUAUGCACAACAAUAUUGGAAAAAUUAGAUACAUACAACUGAGAAGAUAGGUUUUCAUAAUCUGGACAAGUGCUAACUACUUUCUUCCUAUAAACUGCCACUCCAUGAACAUUAAAUGGUAUUUUCCUUUCACGCAAGGCUGUCUGGAAGACUUUUCCUGAUACCUGUAGCAUAAAAUACAAAAGAAAAUGUGACCAAAAUGUCUUAUAUGAUUCACCUCAUUCACAUUAGCACUAAGGCAAGUAAGCUUGACCUGCCUCCGGUAAAGGAUUGCUAUAUUUCCAUAGGAGCACCCUGCUUCUGACCGUUUAGAUGCAGUCUCCAGGAUCUUGUCGACAACAAAGGCGCAUUGUGCAUCCUCAUUGUGACUUUCCUUGAUAAUUACCUACAUUUUGCCAGUAAAACCAGUGUCACUAACUAUAAGGACUGAAAAAUGACAUCAAAUUGUACUUGUUGGAGCAAGGAAAGAUUAAGUACCUUAGACCCAGAAGAAUUGUCCAUGUCAACAUUCUUUAGUUGGCAUUGCUUCUUAUUGUUUUUUAUAACAGAAGUUGCAGCUUCCACAAUAUAGCGUGUGGACCGAAAGUUUUUAUUAAGCCUAAUCUGAACCAUAAAGUUAUGUCAAAUCCCACAGAACCUCGUAAAAUAAAACUUACUUUCCUGUAAUUGUACAAUAUAUUUUUUCUGUACUAUAUAUAAUGAAAAAAGACACUGAAUGACAUAAGAUAACAUAGCAGUCAAGUGCGAAGCGAACCUCUUUGUAAUUUGAAAAAUCUUUACGAAAAGAAUCAAAUCCAGAAAUGUCCGCCCCAUUGAAACUGAAAAUGGACUGCAGCAGGAUAUAUGUUAUUUGAUUUAAAACAGAUAAGGGCUGGAUUAGAAUGAGCUGAGAGAGAGAGAGAGAGAGGGAGAGAGGGAGAGAGGGAGAGAGGGAGAGAGGGAGCAAUAACAUUGGAUUUCCAUAACAAAUCAACAACAUGCCUGAUCAUCAUCACCAACAAUGGUUAUGUGGUUAUGAGAGGCGAGAAUCCGCAAAAGACUAUAUUGCAUAGCACUUGUGUCUUGAAACUCGUCUAUUACAGUAGCUUUCCAUGACUCCUGGCACUCCUUCAACACUAAUUAAGAGAACACCAUGUAUCAACAUUUAGCAUUACUUGUAAAACUAGAUAAAUCAAUGAAAUAUACUUAGAUGAUAGAGACCUUCAGGAAAAUCACUUAGCAGCUUCACAGAGCAGCUAAUUAAGUCGUGGUAGUCCAAAGCAUUGCACGAUUUCAAGAUAUCAUUGUAAUUCCUAAGAAUUUCACCCUGAUUCAGAUUGAGAGCUAAAACUCAUAAGCAAUAGUUUCAAAGAACUGAAAUGAUAUCUGAAAUUCUAGUUCUGAGCGUACUCCUGUCACAUCACCCAUUCUUCGGCAUUCAGCCGGAGUCUUUCCAGAAGCCUUUGCCUGAAACAUAAAUAAAUUUAUUGCCUAAUGCCACAUAUUGUAAGACACACCAUUGUAUUGGUCAUUCUAGCUUGAUUGUAGCUAAUAUUUUUUAAAUCGAAUGAUUAGAGUUCUUAAUCCACAAUAAUCUGAACAUUAAAUUUGGUAUUCAAGACUAACCUGUGUCACCAACUACAGCCAUUUCCUUGAUGCAUCCUUAAAAUGAUGUGGAGAUGUUACGCCGUUAGACUCUUCCCCAUCUAUAGCAACAUUAAGAUUCGUUUACUCUUUUCAUCUUCUGAUAACCGCACAGCUUCAAUGAUUGCUCUUCUCUGUUGCCCAUGUCCAUAUAUCAAAAAUUCUGGUCUGCGCUCGAGUCUAAAACACAAGCCAACAUAACAGACUCAGCUAUACCACCAAAUGUAUGGUGUUCAAAAUCAAGGGAGGUGAAUCAAUAGCUUACUUCUCAGCAUGUGAUCGGCAAAGUUGCAAUGAAAAUGAAUGAAAUGUACUGAUUGUUAGUAGUUUUGCCGUUGCUUUCCCAGUCACAGAUCCAAUUCGAUCUCUCAUCUCGGAAGCUGCUGCUGUAGUGAAAGUCAUUGCUAGAAUGUUCGACGUGCUAAUGCCCUAAGAACACAAAAAAAAAAAAAAAAACGUAUAAGAUUUCGAUCAUAAACAAGAAAUGUAGAGAAACACACAAUUACGAAAGAAAAAGUUAGAGGGAAAGUAGCAACACCUCAUUGAGCAGCAUUAGAACGCGCCCAACUAUCGUUGAAGUCUUUCCACUUCCAGGGCCGGCAACAAUCAUCAAAGGUACUGAAAUAUCGCUGCAAGCUGCCUCGCGCUGCCUUUCGUUGAGAGAAAGCAAAUACUUCAAUACUCAUCCGGCAUGUUAGGCAAUCCAUGGUUAACAGAAUCUUUUUGGUUUUCACUACUCAAAGGUGGCGCUGAUGCGGCACUAACGUCACUACCACAACUCCCAAUAUCAUCACGCUGAAUGUCCACACUCGGUUUCUGCUCGAUUAAAGCGUCAAUUUCCUGCAAAAUACUCUCGUCGAAAUCAUCAUCGUUAAGAAUUCCAGAUGCAGAGAAAGAAUCAAAUGAAGUCAGAAACUGCGGUUGUCUGAUUGGAGUUGUGAAAGAAUCCGAUUUUGACACGCUUGAUUCGGUCCGGCUAACGCUUAAGCUCCCGGAACACGAAGCACUGCCAUAUUCACCACGCGUUGAAUUGUACCGGCUUGCGGAAAUCGGAGGCGGUGUUCUUUGAACUCUAUUGAGCUGAGUUGGCGUUUGGAUUCCAUUUCCGCCACAGAUUCUGGAAUUUGAAAAACACAAUUGAAUUGAUUUAAAUUGAAGCAAGAAAACAGCCGAGUAGCAAAAAAAUAGUAAGAAGAUGAAACCUUUGAUUCCUGAACGACUUACUUGGUAUGAGGGAGGUGAUGAUCAGGUGAAACGGCGUCGUUGCGGGGGCGUUUGCGAUCAAUGAGGGCCUUGGCGGCUCUGAAAUUCCGAGAGAUGCGGUUUCUUUGUUCCGCCGUGAGCCCUCCGCCGUACGCCUGAACGUUUUCCUUGGACAUUGCUUCGAAGAUUCCAACGGAGGAUUUGGCCUGACGGCCUGACCAGGCUGAUAACAGUGUAAAACCUUAGGAGCUAAGGAAAACUAAGAGAUAGAUCGUAGAGAGGGAAAGUUUUUUCUUUUUGGAAACUAGUAGGGAGGGAAAGUUUGUUAAACCUGAAUAAUAUUCUUUUCAUUCAACUUGUCUACAAUAAUUACCACUCUUGGUAUUUAUACAUUUCUAACACACCUCACUAACUAACUAAGACCACUACCAAUCAUACAAAAAUAAUUGUCCUUUGAUGAACUCUUUCACGAACAAAGUGGCAAUCAAUCUCUACAUGUUUGGCUUUAGAGUGCAAUACAGGUUUAGUGGCAAGAGCCAUUGCUUAAAUGUUAUCACAAUGCAAAACUGGAACAGAAGGAGAACCAACAUGCAAAUCUCGAAGAAGAUGUUGUAUCCAGAUAACCUUAGCAGUGGUUGUAGCCAUUGCUCUAUAUUCAGCUUCAGUGGAAGACCCACUCACUGUAUGCUGCUUUUUAGAACUCAAAGAGAUAGGAGUGACAAAACCCAUGGUUGAACGACGAUCAUUGUGAUCCCCUGCCCAAUCAGCAUAUGUAUGAGCUUUCAACUAAGAUGAACCUGAUUUAAAACACAAUCCCAGAGACAUAGUGCCUCUGAGAUAUCGCAGAAUACGUUUCACAGCAGCAAAUGAGUGGCUAAUGGUGAAUGCAUAAACUGACAUACUUGAUUGACGGAAAAAGAAAUAUCUGGUCUUGUAAAUGUUACGUAUUGUAGUGCCCCAACAAUACUUUUGUAAGUGGUAGGAUCAGAAACAGGUUCACUACCAUGAUUCAGAAGCUUUUGAUUAGGAUGACAAGGUGUGGAAAAAGGUUUACAGUCCAGCAUAUGCAUCUUUUGAAUGAGUUCUUUGACACACUUGGUCUGAUGAACAAAGAGUCCCUGUUCUUGAUAUUCAAUCUGUAAACCAAGAAAAUAAUGCAACACACCCAGAUCUUUCAUGUCAAACUCACUAGUUAACUGACUAAUAACAUUCUGAACCUUCACAGCAUCAUUACUAGUGGGAAUGAUAUUAUCAACAUGUAAUAAGAGAACAAUAAUUGAUGAACCAUCACACUUGACAAAUAAAGAAGGAUCUGCAUAUGAUGACUUGAACCCAAGCUUAGGCAAAUAACCUGAAAACCUGUCAUGUUAGGCUCUGGGAGCUUGCUUGAGUCCAUAUAAAGACCUCUCUAGUUUGCACACAUAAUCCGGAUAGGUAGAAUCCACAAACCCUUGGGGCUGAGACAUAAAAACUUCUUCCUCAAGAAAGCCAUGCAAAAAAGCGUUCUUGACAUCUAACUGUUUGAGUUUCCAAUUAUGAGAUGCAGCCAAGGAUAGAACCAAUCGAACUAUGUUUGGUUUGACCACAGGGCUAAAGGUUUCAUAAUAGUUAAUACCAACUUCUUAAGAAUACCCCUUAGCUACAAGUCUAGCCUUGUACCUAGCCACUAAACCAUCUGGAUUUCUCUUAAUCUUGUAGAUCCAUUUACAACUAACAAGAUUUUUGUCAGGUGGUAAGGGCACAAGCCUCCAAGUAUGAUGUUGAAUCAAAGCAUCCAUCUAUUCUUUCAUGGCAUUUUGCCAUUAAACACACUUGACAAUACUAGAAAAAGACUGAGGUUCCUUGAUUUCAGAAGCCUGAUCCACCUUAGCAGAAAACACCUUCUUUUUCAUAAUCCUAGACUUAGACCGGGUUUGCAUGGGAUGACAAUUUUGAGCAUUGAUACACACUGGUUGGAGAUCAUCCACUUGAGACAUUGUAGUAUUUGGAUGAUCUUUUGAAUACACAGUAGGCAAAACCUCUGAAGAAGGCACAAAACUUGUGGAAGAAGAGACAAGAUCACCAGAACUAGUGGGUUGAGAGGAUGAUGACUGAGUAACAUGUUGUGAUUUAGAGGUAAGAGAAGUGGGACCAAUAAAUGGAAAUGUGGAAGAAACACUAGGUGGAUGAAUGAAUGUGUUUGAAUGCACAACAGACAUUGGUGAGGAAGAAUGACCAGAAGUAACUUGAGGAUUGAAACCCAAAGCAUUAGAGUCUGUAGGAAACUUGGAUUCAUCAAAAAUAACAUGUCUAGAUACUAACAGUUUCUGAUCUUUGAGAGAUAAGCAAAUAUACCCUUUGUAUUGUGUAGCAUACCCCAGAAAAAUACACUUAGUAGUUUUAGGUUCAAGUUUAUUGCUUCUAUAGGGUUUCAAUGAAUGAUAGCAUAAACAACAAAAAAUUCUCAAAUGAUCAAGCUUAGGUGGAGAUUUAUAUAGCAUUUCAAAAGGAGACUACAUAUGUAGGGUAGGUGUGGGCAUUCUGUUUAUAAGAAAAGUAGCAGUGGCACACGAAUGGAACUAGAAUUUUGAAGGUUGAAACUUGUUGUAAAAAGGUAAUAGCUGUUUCGACAAUAUGUUGAUUUUUUCUCUCAGCCAACCCAUUAUGUUAUGGGGUAUAAGGACAAGAUUUUUGAUGAACAAUGCCUUUGGUAAGAAGAAAUUGCUUAAACUGAGUAUUAACAUAUUCCCCACCCCCAUCACUUUGCAAAAUUUUUACAUAAGCAUCAAAAUAAUUCGAGACAAAAGCAAGAAAGUUGACAAAACAGUGAGGGACCCCAAACAUCUAUGUGAAUUACUUCAAAUGGAGUAAGUGACUUCGAAGCAAUUACAGGAAAAAUGGAGCUUGGUAAAAUUUGCCUUGCAAACAAGCUUUACAAGUAUGAGAUUGAGAGUUACAAGGAAAAGAUAUACAAGACUUAUUAAGUGCUGCAGUGACAAUGGAAUGUGCAGGAUGGCCUAAUCGACAAUGCCACAAUGUAGAAUACAUCUUUUGACCCACAAAUGCAAUUGGAUUAAAAACAGGAGAAAUAGACCUAUGUGGUUUGAUUAUGGGAAGUGGAUAGACAACAUUAUUACUCAGCCCUUGGAAUAGCACUUUCCCGGUGACCUUGUCUUGUAGAUAGAGAGAAACAUCAUCAAUGAUACAAUGACACUGAUUAUCUUUGCACAACUGAUUCAUAGAUAAUAAGUGUUGUGACAGUUUUGGAACAUGUAACACAAAGUUUAACUUGAAAUUAUGUGACUUAGUGAGAAGAGAAGAGGAACCAAUAUGUUUGAUAGCUAAACCUUCACCACUAGCACUGGUCACAGUAUCAUUUGAUGGAUAAAUUUGUUGCCAUGUGCAAGUUUGACAAAUCUGAGGUCAUAUGGUUAGUUGCUCCCAAGUCAAGAAACCAUAAAUCUUGUUGAAGAGUUGAGGAUGAUGCACCAGCUCGUGCUUGUAUAGCAAGAGGAGGAUUUUGUGAGGAUAUAGUUGAGAGAUACAUAUGUGGUAUGACAUGAUACUGAAACUGGGAGCUAUUAGACCGUGGAAUCAUGCCUUGUGAAGGACCACAUGGAUUCUAGCUAGGUGCUUCGCCAUAUGACCCAGCAGGCAUUGGAGUUGGCAUAGAUGAGGAUAAACCCUGAGAGAAAUGCUUUGAUGUGCCUGUGAAAUUCUUAUUUCGAUCAAAGCAAGUAGCAGCAACAUGGCAAUUUCUGUGACAAAUUUGACAUCCAUGUUGAAAACAAUUCAAUGCAAAAUAAACUUUGCGAUCACAUAUUUGCAGAAAGGCCUUUGCAACCCUAGAAAGAAGAAGGAGCAAAGAAGACCAAAUGUGUACGUUUCUCUUUGGUUUUUUUUCCCUCUUAAUCACGCUGUUCGAAAUCACGGACCUCGGGCCUGGGCCUAGUGGGCCCAAUUAUGAGGCCCAUUAUCUCCGGUCUUCUCGUUCUACUUCUAGUUACCCAAAUUAAGAACGUACUGGUUCGCUUUUAGCGCGAGAGAGAAAUGGAGGCCCUGAUUGCCUCGUACGGAGACUCGUCGUCGGGCUCAGACUCCGAGUCGCCGGCUCCACCUCCAUCACCACCUCCGGAGCUCAACAACCCUCAAGAACCGACCCCUGCGCUGCCUCCACCUCCUCUGUCACUUCUCGACAACCCCAAUUCCUUCGGUAACCUCUGAUUCCCAUCAAUUUUCAUCUUUUAGCUUUCUGUUGUGAUGGCUUUUUCCGAGUUGCCCACCAAGUAUUUGAUGUUUUGCCUCUGAAGGAUUUCUGGACUUCUCGGCAAGCGCCCAGCCGAGCAGAGUUCGGAACUUUCCUCACGUCGAAGGGAACUACGCAGUACAUGUAUACAUCCCAGGUUAUCAAAAUUCUCGAAAUUUUCAGCUCCAUUAGCAAAUGCGAUCGCUUUGCACUUAGUUUUUGCUUGUUUAAUUCUGUGGUCAGUUUAUAUACCACCAGCACCAAGGAAAGAGAUGGCCUUGUUUUUGAACAAGCUAGCUUCUCUGGUGCCUGGUCUCCAUGCGGUUGACGUUGACUUCCUGCUUGACAUUCUGCGUAAGGACGAGCACAAGCUUGAACAAGUUGCUUUAGGCAGAGAGUUCCAUAUAAGUCUCGGAAGAACUGUUCCGAUUCGGGUGCACCAGAUUGAUUCCUUGGUGACAAUGCUGCGGCAGAAGCUUCAGAUUCAGAGGCGGUAUGGUUACAUUUACAUUCUCUUGUCUGCAUUGCGUGAAUUUAGUUCUGUUAUUUAACAUAAUUCUGUAAGCCUGCAAAUUUUUCGUCCAUUUUCAGUUUAACACAUUUUGUUAUUGUGAAACAAGUAUUGGAUUGAUUUUAGCAAGUGGUAGGUUUUUGUUAAUGAUGAUCAGACCCGGACCUUUGUGUCUAUCGAAAUCAUUGCUGCUGGGUUAGCUGAGGUAUGAUUGCUAGCUUUCUCUCUUGGUGCAAUUCUAAAUGUUUUCAGUUGUUAUAUGGGCUUAAGAUUUAGCAAGGACUUGCCGAAAGUCAUGGGAUUUUGAAAUAUCGAGAUCUUGCUUGCUUAUUAGCUUAGAUUUGGUCUUCGAUGCACUUGUAACAUGAAAAACACAAACGAAAACUAAUGCAUGAUAUGCUCAUGGUUUUAACAUGUGUUGUCCUGGCGUAAAUCAUGUUCCUAAUCAUGUCAUGUGAGUAUAAGCCUAUGAAACUUAGGGCAUGUUUGGCGGGCUGGACAAGAUUGGAAUUGGUAUUUCAGACUAGUUAGGUUAGGAUUGAACUGGAUAGGAUAGGUUUUUUGUCUAAAGAUUGGUGUAGACUGUCUUAACCAGACUAGGAACGAUGGGAUUUAAAACGUGAAACAGAUCGGCGACAUCCCAACGAUGACCCGCCCACCCAACAACUCUGCUCGUGACUUGCAACACCUCUCGUACCCUCCACGCCCCUUGCGGCCCGUCAGACCACUCUGAUAUCCUGGAGGAGUGAAACGUGGUUACUAGAAGCAUACCUGUUUUCGUAUUAAUGCACGGUUGAAUCAGCUUUCAUUGUCUACAAGUCUGAAAUAUUUUAACUUCCAUUGAUUUCAGAUAACAAAGCAGAUUCAAGCUGUGAAUGAGGUGUAUAAGCUUCACAAUCAUCCUAAAUUUUACAAGGUUAGCUUUUUCGUCCUUUUCAAACUCGAAUCGCUUCCUGAAUAUAUGACAAUAUAUUGGAUCAAAUGAUUUCUCAAAAAACUAAUUCACUUGAUGGGGUCUUGGUGAUCACAGGAUCCACGCCCUCACAUCUCGGUAGCUUGGGCAUUGGGUGACAUCAGCAAUUCCCUGAACAAAGUGGUUGAAGAAGAAAGACGAAGAUCUACCAUCGGAGGAUCGUUACAGAAAUGUAUUUUUACCAGUAAAUUCAAUGGUAUCGAAUGUAGGAUUGGUAAUAAGACACACAAAAUAUGUAAAUUUUCUGAAGAAUAAUGUAGCCAUUUAACUGUAUUGUGAAAUUCCGAGAAUAUAUCACUGAGCAUUGGAUGAGAAGACAUUUCUUCGUUGGUGUCGAACUUCUUGUCGAAGGUAUUGGCACCAGUGUAAACGUCAUCAUCCAUGUUGAUGGUAAUUACUUCCCAGCUACUAAGGGUGUCGGAACAGCCUUGCACGCAGCCUCCUGUGCAUUACUUGGUAUUGUCUCAGAUUCUCCAAACUUGAAUGCUAAUGUAAACCCACUCUUGACCUUUCCGUCAUCUGCGAUUACCGGAAUGCCGGCUUGGAUGUUGCCGUUGACCUACCGAACUUAAAAUACCGACGAAAUGUUGGAGUACUUAAGUGUACUACUCGUUUUUGUAUGCGAGAGCUCCACCUCUAUCGUUGUAACAGCAUCUGAUGCGGACUAGUCCUUCAUUCCCGUUACUCUUUGCCAUCUCCACUUCGAACUUGGCGUGAUGGCUCCCGGCCUCCUCUCCGGUGAAAUUGAGUAACCCCGGAGCUGGCGUGCCAUCAAGAUUUCCGUCGUGUCUCUAUUUGCUGUUGUGGUUUGGUUUCACCACUAUAAACUUGGCAGAGUUGGCAUUUUCAUUCUGUUGUCUGUAUAUCUUGAUAUUACAAGUAUUUGUUGUGCAAAAUGCAUGCUAAGUUCAACUUAUGUUUAUAUGUGUGUGUGUGUGUGUUGCCACUUUUCCAACGUUUUCUCCAAAAUUGUGACGAGCAACAAAGCAGUUUUGAUUCCGUGCACAACAACGAUACCUCGAAAGAAAUUGAUUCUUCCCCAGAAAGAUGUUUUAAAACAAAGUUGAACAAGGGAAGAAAACUUUUGAAUCGCAAUCAGAUGUCUGGUCAAAUUCUUUAACAGUUGAUGUAUACAGAAGUUCCUUGCUUAUGACACGACUUAUGAGAGGAUGUAUGUAUUGCAUUUGCAUCAAAAGAAAGAAAGAAGGUUGUAAGUGGUAAGGGAACGACUACCGAUGCCGCUCCACUUCUAAUCAAAGGGAUCGAUCCGAGGGUCGUGUUCACUUGCCAUCGCCAUUCCAGUGCAAAGGCAUGUCGGGCACAUUACCUGCCACAUUUACAGACGCAAUGUUAGAUAUAGCUGCCAUUUGGAAGUCAUCUCUCAAAAUUUUGCUACUAAAUCAAUCUUAAACUUCAUUUCCAGUGCAAUUUUUUUCUUCUGAAUUGUCUUUCACAUGCCCGACAAAUAGAAGUAUCACCAAACAUGUGAAUAUAGAGCAUCUAAGCGGCAGGCACUAAAAGGAAUUUAGUAUGCAAUAAACAUUCAACGGACAUAAUUAUAUGUCUAACCUUUCCCGCUCCUGAGCAAUUUGAACAUCGUUCAGUUUUUGGCAGAGAUAGGGGUUGGUUUCCGCCAUCAGCUGUCGAUACUGGUUCAGUAAGAACAAGGGUUCCAGUGCUGGAGCAACGAGCACAAGCAAGAGAUCCUGCGUAAGUAUCAAAUACACAGGUAAGUUGACAUACGAAACCAAUCCGAACAUCUCCAUCGUAUAUAUUUAAAGCUACAGUACAUAAACUAAAAGUCAGAAAUAUAGGACAUUAUCACACCAGUUCCAAGACAAUAUUUGCAUCGUUUAUGCUCCUGCUGUUUCACAUUGUUUAUUUCAACUACCAUCAAUGCUGAGAUCACUCCGACUGCUCCUCCAGAGAAUGACGCCACUAUGGGAUCAACUUGACUGCAGUUUGAAAGUAAAGGAGAUCAAUAAACGAAACUGGUAACAACAUAGUAUCAACAUUAUUUAGCUUCGUUUCAAGAAAGAUGACAUCCUAGGUUUUUCUAAUGUGUAAAAAUUGAGGAUCCUCGUAAAAUUUGACCAUAUCGGUUCCCAAAGCAUUUGAUUCCUACGUUACAGACGGAAAACAGCAACAAUCGAAUUUAAAGAUUCAUAACACGAUAGAUGGUACAAAAUUUCAAAACGAUAAUUACUAGAGAACAGGAGGGUUAAUAGCCUGAGAUAUGAGCAAUACCUCAACUGCAACGGCAGAUGCAUAUUUACUAUAAAGUCUUUAUAUGAUGUGCCUCCUAUUCCCAGCUUCAACUCCAACUGAAAGAUGUAAAGGUAAUUGUAGGCAAAGAGUUACAAACAUAACCGAAUCCAUGUUUUAUAAGCAACAACUACACUUAUUUUGAUAUGUUUCCUCAUUUUUUACUUGCAAAUUCCGAACCAUAUUGUCGGACCAGUAAAAGAAAAUAAUGUUUAUGAUAACUGUUAAAACUAAUUACAACAAGUUAAUGCAUAAAGAACUUACGGAGGGUGCUAUGAGGCCACCGAAAAGGAUAAACCCCACAAUAAUUGAAUAACAAACAGCAUAAUACUGCUUAAGGUUGUCUGAACUCUGCAAGCAAUGAAUUCACCUUGUGAUUAAUACUUUGCACAAACACUAGUUUUCGCAAUUUUUUAUGAAUCGACAAAAGGCUACAACAAAAUAUGGCUAAAACAUGUCGGGGAUAUGAAAAUACAUGUCUUCACAGGGGCACCAGCUUACCAGGGGAGGCAAAAAUGGAAUGAACGAUGGAAAACUAGGAAGUUCGUUUUCUUGAUCUUCAUUUACCGCUCCAAGCUCUGCACGUUUAAUCCGCUGUUGUAUCCUCAGCCUGCGAACCUACGCAUAUCGAAGCUCAUUCUUAAAGAACACAUUUCUAAUGGCAAUUGGAGAGUAAUUUAAAACAUGCUAAACUGAGAAAGUGGUAGCAACUAGUAAUUGCUCUCACCUCCUCCAUAUGCAAGAAAAUUUUGUUGCGACGACUCCGAAUAUUAUCUUGAAUUUCCUGCAGCUCCAUUGUGGCAAAAUCCUGCACUGUUUCAGGCCCCUCUAUGAUACAAAAUCUGCACCAUUAAGCAUGUAAAAAUUAAAAAUUACAGGCUACAAAGCAAUUUCCGUAUAGUUGUUGGGUUAAAUAACAUCAACAGCAAAUAAAUCACAUAGGUUUUUCACAUAAAGUUACAAACUUUCAAGGACUAAUAAGCUGUCUGCAAUCUCAUAAAUUUCACAGUGCAAAGUAACAAUCCAAAGCUUGGAACUUUAAAUUUCCACCUUCUGUUAAUUUUUUAGUGCACCUGGUGUCGUUAGAUUCGAGUAGUAUGUCACAUUAAAUUUUUUUUUUCUGUGCAUGCAUUUUUUUUUAAAAGAAAAUUUUAUAUUGUUAAAGAGCGAGUUCGAAACUAUUACAUUAUGGAAGGACAUAGUACCGAAACUCCGACGAUCAAAAACAAAAUCAUGUACAACCACUCCAAGCAGUCAACAUGGCCAUCACAUAUUGAAUCCAAAAUGUUGACGCCCCAUUCGCUGCAUAUAAUGUACAGACGAGCGGCAGCUUCAACCAGUUCUGCCAUAUCCGGCUGGAUGAGAGCAGCUAAAGACAUGAUUGUUCCCUAAUAACAUGAAUAAAUUGAGUAAACACCAAAAGUAGCAGCAAGGGAAGGAGAUGUGAAGUAUAUGAAGAGGUGUAAGACCUGUGAAUGUCCAGCAACAAAGAUUUUGGAGCUUGUUGUCGAAUAAUGCAACGCAUCAUUUCUGGUAGAUCAAAUAGAGCCAAUUCCCGCCAACUCCAAUUCCAAAAUUUCUACAGUAAAGCAUAAAUCUUAUUCUCUCUUCUGAUAAAGAUGAGUGUCCCAGACUCCAACGUGUUCCACACACAUUCCCUACCCAUACAUCGAAACCUUCAUCUGCAAGGACGAAUCCCAGCGAUUCUUCUGGAGAAUUUAAGAAUCAUGCAUCACCUGGUUAAGAUCAAGAAAAGCCAGUAACCAAGUUCAAUUGAGUUAAAAUGUAUCCCAUGGAUGUUCAUCACUUUGCCCAAUUGUUCUUUUCAAGAAAGGAAAUUUCAACAGAACCUGAAAACUUCAGAUCAGGGGGCACCAAAUAGUGAGCUAUACAUUCAAAAUUUGAAAUAAUCAACUUAGUAGGACCAGUAUGUUGAAAAAAUGGGAAGGAGCUAUGAAAGUAAGACUUUUCACUAAUCAGGCGUCCAGAGAAUCCAUAUUUUACCCGCGUAUCAGUUACGGGGAACACUCCCCACCAGAGCAAUCUCAUUAGUCCUUCACAUCUCAACCGUACAGAAGUUGCACUAACAAACAUGACUCCUAUUAGUCCUUCACAUCUCAAAUCCAGGAAGUACCCAUCUUUCGUCUGAAUCUGGAAAAUAAGCAGCAGUCAAUUUAACAAUCUCGGUAUCUCAAAGUUACUCACUUUAAUCACAAAUUUAGCAAUUAAACAUAUAAAUGGGCAUUUUUUUAGGGAAAUAUUAGUAUAGUACUCACUGUGUGCUCGGAGCAAGAGUACCCAGAAAGCUCAAUGAGCUGCGCACAGAGGACUGCAGUGGUGAACGACAGCGACCAAUUCUGUAAAAUUUAGUCGAGUUUUGGGAAAUUUCUGCAGCGAUUUCGGAGGUCAAGAGGCUGAUAAGGAAAGCCGCGACCAAAGGGCACUGGUCUGGAAGAAAGGCUUUGGUCGCCGCUAUCGCAAUUCGCGAAGGAAGAAGUGCCCCAAAACAAUUUCGGCCCUGGACAGGUGCACUGUUUGCACUGAGCCAGGGCCGGCCCUGAAUCGCGAUAACGUCCUUCUCCAAACAGUAUAUAUACAGAUGCUAGAAAAAUCUACCGGAACUAUUCAAUUCUAGCGUCUACAGCUUUAGCAUUAGUUGGUACAAGGGGCAUUCUUCCAAAGAGGGAGAUGAAAUCGUUGAGGCACCAAAUAGUGAGCUAUACAUUCAAAAUUUGAAAUAAUCAACAUGGUAGGACCAAUAUGUUGAAAAAAUUGGAAGGAGCUAUGAAAGUAUGGCUUUUCACUAAUCAGGCGUCCACAUAAUCAAUAUUUUACUCACAGAUCAUUUACGGGGAACACUCCCCACCAAAACAAUCUUUUUAGUCCCUCACAUCUCAAACCAAGUAGAAAUUGCAGUAACAAACACAUCUCAAACCCAGUAAGUACCCAUCUUUCGUCUGAAUCUGGAAAACAAGCAGCAGUGGAUUCAACAAUCUGGGUAUCUCAAAGUCACUCACUUUAAUCACAAAAUUAACAAUUAAACAUAUAAAUGGGCAUUUAUUUAGUGAAAUAUUAGUAUAGUACUCACUGUGUGCUCGGAGCAAGAGUACCCAGAAAGCUCAAUGAGCUGCGCACAGAGGGACUGCAGCGGUGACGACGGCAACCGAUUCUGUAAAAUUCAGUCGAGUUUUGGGCGAUUUCUGCAGCGAUUUCGGAGGUCAAGAGGCUGAUAAGGAAAGCUGGGACGGAAGGGCACUGGUCUGGAAGAAAGGCUCAGGACACCGCUGUCCCGAUUCAUGAAGGAAGAAGUGCCCCCAAAACAAUUUCGGCUCUGGACAGGUGUACUGUUUGCACUGGACCAGGGUCGGCCCUGGCGAUAACGUCCCCCAAACAGCACAUAUACAGAUGCUAGAAAUAUAUAAAUGUAACCUGAAACUACUAGAACCAUUCAAUUCUAGCGUCUACAGCUUUAGCAUUAGUUGGUACAAGGGACAUUCUUCCAAAGAGGGAGAUGAACUCAUUGAGGCUCUUAUUUAUUCCUCCUCUUGAUGUGCCCUUUUAGGCUGCUAAUUCCACACGAUCCAAUUUCAUACAUCUUCCCUGCAAAAGCAUGUGUGCCUGACUUCAAGAUCAAAUUUUUCCAACAAAAGAAACUUAAAGAUCAAACUCGCUAGCGGAAUAAGUGGUGCACAAGGGUGUUAAAAUCUUGACAUAUGUAUAUUUUUGGCAGAUUUUAUGUGAGCAUGCAACUAAAACUGGCAUCACUAUCAAUGGUGCACAAAGAUUGGUGGAAAACUUUAACAGUUUGAGUUGUAACUUCUCCAUUGUAUUUGUUAAGGCAAGACGGAUGUCAUCUAUUCAUUUUUCUGUAAAACUUAAAAGGCUGCAUAGCAGCUCUUGUUCGUUGUAUUGAAUACCAUGGUUUUACUGAUGAAUGCAGAGUUUGCUGAUGAUUCAUACGACAAGCAAUUGAAAAUCCCAUCAUUAUGCCCCGCAUAUACCAGAAGAAAAAAAAGUCAUUUACACAAAUUCAGAGCGUUCAUCCACUGUAAUUUGCAGAUAUGGAAACGUUAAGAUAAAAGGAAAUGCAAAGUACCUUUCACCCAAAUUGGAGGAGCAACGGUGGCAUUAGCAAGCUAGCAACGGGAAUUGACAUACCAAUAUCUUCACAGUUUCUGCACAAGAACAAAUCAAAAGAAUCCGGCGGUGGAGUUAUGUACCUCUCCUUGGAAAAUGCCACCUCCUGGGAUUUCAAAAUAUACGGCCGUGGCUAGCCGUCUGACCACGCCAAUUCCACCAAAGCCGCCGCAACGUGGCGUAGUGUCCGGUUGAUUGCUUCAAAACAGAGCUUCGUAUCCAUGUGUUUAUCAGCAGAGAGUACCCAAAACCCCUGAAAAUUAUUUCUUUAUUCAGAUAAUAAAAUUUCCCAAAUUUCGAAUUUUAAUUCCGAACAAAAAAAAUAGGGUUUGAAUUUUGAUUACCUAGAAAUUGGGGGGUUGGGGUGGAGAGGGACUCGGGCCAAGACACAGAUAUGCAUCCGUGAUAAGGUGUGCAAGGCUUUUGCAGUUUCUCAGAUCUAAACACUGAAGCCCCGUAAGCCGUUCAAUCCAGGGGGAAAGCUCUUUAAUAGAUGUUCCAUCCAAGAAAAGAAAUCUUAAUCCUUCCAUAUUUUCUUCAAUGCUUGGAAACACCUCAAAUUUUGUACAACCGGAAAGAGAGAGAAAGGCAAGGGACUUCAGCUGACAAAUGCUACUUGGAAGACUCUUAAGUUCUUUACAAUUUUCUAGCUUCAAAUGAUUCAAUCCCAUGAGAUUAUUAAUUGAUAAGGGCAGUUCUUUAAUUUUCGACCCAGAUAAAUCAAGAACUUUUAACCCCUCAAUCACUUCUGAAAUCUCUGGAAACAUCUCAAGACUCCAGCAACCAUAAAGAUCAAAGGUUUUGAGAGAUUUCAUAUGAAUGCUGCUUGGAAGACUCUUAAGUUCCUUGCAAUCUUGUAGAUUCAAAUGACACAACCUCGUAAGAUUAUUAAUUGACGGGGACAGUUCUUUAAUUUUUGAGCAGGGUAAAUCAAGCUUUUCUAACCCCUCAAUACCUUCUGAAAUCGAUGGAAACAUCUCAAGACUGGAGCAGCCAUAAAGAUUAAAGGUUUUCAGACAUUUCAUAUGAAUGCAGCUUGGAAGACUCUUAAGUUUCUUGCAAUCUUUUAGGUUGAAAUGACUCAACCCCGUGAGAUUAUUAAUUGACAGGGGCAGUUCUUUAAUUUUGGACCCGGAUAAAUUAAGCUCUUCUAACUCCUCCAUACCUUCUGAAAUCUCUGGAAACAUCUCAAGACUGGAGCAGCCAGAAAGAUUAAAGGUUUUGAGAGAUCUCAUACGAAUUUUGCUGGGUAGAAUCUUAAGUUCCUUGCAAUUUGAUAGGUUCAAAUGACACAACCCCAUGAGAUUAUUAAUUGACUCGGGCAGUUCUUUAAUUUUGGACUCGGAUAAAUUAAGCUCUUCUAACUCCUCCAUACCUUCUGAAAUCUCUGGAAACAUCAGAAGACUGGAGCAGCCAAAAAGAUUAAAGGUUUUGAGAGAUCUCAUACGAAUUUUGCUAGGUAGAAUCUUAAGUUCCUUGCAAUUUGAUAGGUUGAAAUGACUCAACCCCAUGAGAUUGUUAAUUGACUCGGACAGUUCUUUAAUUUUGGACCCGGAUAAAUCAAGCUCUUCUAACCCCUCAAUCACUUCUAAAAUCUCUGGAAACAUCUCAAGGCUCACGCAGUUAAUAAGAUCAAGAGUUUUGAGAGAUUGCAUACGAAUUUUACUAGGUAGAAUCUUAAGUUUUUCGCACCCAUUCAGAUCCAAUAAAACAAGUUUUGUAAGAUUCGAAAUAGAUGGGUGAACCUUAACUAACCCUAUACAACCAUGAAGAAUUAGCCUCUCAAGAUUUGGCACAUUUGUGAAGUCAGGGGUUUCCUUAAGGUAUUCACAAUAACUUAAAUUGAUGAAUUUCAACUUUUCCUGCGUCUGUUAAAACAUUCAGGAAAACAUGCAUUACUUAAUAAGACAUCUCACUCAAAGCCCAAACAUUUAAAAGAAACAAAUACAUGUAAAUGAUUGUACAUACCUGGGUUCCUUCCCAAAGUCGGUCAAUGUGGCUAUAUUGCAUGUCAAGUCCAACAAGAUUUUCGAAUUGAAAGUUGGAUGGCAAAGACUUGAGCGGGAAACAAGACCAGGAAAGAAACCUCAACUCACUAGAAACAAACUUUAAGGACCCAGUCAGGUGUUGUAUGCUGAAAGUACCGAUCUUGAGAAGUCUUAGUUUAGUCAUCCUAUCAAAAGCUUUAACAAUUAAGCAUCCCUCAUAUGAGUGCCCCAAAUCUAGGAUUAUGCUUUCAACUGUUUCUGUACCCUGUGCAAAUCAAAGGGAAGGAAAAAGCAGAGAACCUUAGUUUAGAUUAUGAAGUUAAUGCUUGUUUCUUAAGGAGUUGUUUGAUAAUAAUUUUGUUUUCACUUUUCACUUUUGUUUUGAUUAUUUAUUUAGAAAUCUGAAAAUUGAAAACAUAUAACUUGUUUGUAAUUGUUUUCAAUUUUCAAUUAUUAAAAAAAUGAAAAUUUAAAAAUAUAAAUGGAAACAAAAGUGGUUAUCAAACGAGCUUAAGAAAUUGAUUUUGGUCAAAAGUUGAAGCUUUCUACUAAACAUUGCAUAAGAAAAGAAAUUAUCACCGUAUUUUUAGUUAUCACAUGAAAAACAUCUUCAUAACUCCACAACCUACUUCGUCUCCCAGGCUCUUUGAUAGAUUCUUGGUAGACGAUUUUCUGACCCAUUUCCUCUAGUAAAUCAUGCAUCUCCAGUUCCCCCCUCCAUGAGACAGUUACUAGAGCUCGAUCGAUUAGAACUUUUAUUCCAAUAUCAGGAUAGGAACCACAGCUGUGCAGAACUGUGGUUGCAUAGUCUUUUCUCAUUCCUUUAAAGAAACAUGCAAUAUCUAGAAAGAUAUCCUUCUCCGUGUCAUCUAGUCCAUCGAAGCUUGUUUUAAGCACAUCAUGAAUUCCCUUUUGCGGGAUUUUCUUUAUUUUUUCUAACUCAUUUUCCCACUGGCGUACAUUUUUGUUAUAAAGAAAAGCUCCCAAGACUUUGAGUGCUAAAGGCAGACCUUGAGCAUAAUUUACAGCACGACUCGAGAUCAUCAUAAUCUCUGUUGGGUUGGUUUUUUCUAAAGGCGUACCGCCUAAAGAGUUCCAGAGCUCCAUAAUCACUUAAAAUCUUGGGAUUAUAUAUCCCAUCAGCUAUGCUUAGUAAUUGCGAAUCUCUGGUUGUUAUAAUAAUUCUGCUUCCACCACCAAAGGAAUGUGGCUCUCCAAGUAAAGCUUCAAUUUGUUCUAAUUCUUCCACAUCAUCAACAACAAUAAGAACUUUUCUCCGACCUAGACUAUUUAACAUCACCUGGAAACCUUUAUUCGAAACGUCGGAACUCCCCACCCUGUUGUUCGAGAUACUCGAUAGAAGUUCUGCCUGCAUAUGUAGUUUGCCAUGCUUCAUGAAACCUUCCUUGAAAUUUUCAAGAAAGCAACAAGCUUUAAAUCCACCAGAGAUUUCAUUAUAAAUAGCUCUAGCGAUGGUUGUUUUGCCUAAACCACCCAUACCCCAUAUUCCAACAAUGCGAACAUCAUUAGUUUCAACUCCAGGAGGAUGCAGUAAUGAAUGCAUGUUAUGCAUAUGAGAGUCCAUUUCAACCAAGCCAUUAUAUUUGCUUGAGGAUGAUGAGAUGUAUCGCCGACCCCACUUAGUGGGAAAAGGCUUUGUUGUUGUUGUUGUUGAUGAUGAUGAUGAGAUGUGGAUCAAUUUCUUAAAAACAUCUUCUACAAUUUUCUCAAUAAGCUCUGCAUCAUCCCUGUCAAAUUUAAAACACAAUAUAAUUACAACACCAAAUGAUACUUAAUGGGUCGUUUUGAUAACAAUUUCGUUUGCAAUUUUUUUUAAAUCUAGAUUUUAAGUUUGCAGAUUUUGUUUUCAGUUUUUAGUUUCAAUGAAAGUAGUUAUUAAACAAGGUUUCCAAUUUUUCUUUCAUGGUAUACAGUACGUAGUCCCAAAUAUCAGUAGUUAGAUCUUGCAUUUAGAUCUAAUGGGUAUUUACAACCUUUUUUCCUGAGAAUUUUGUACCAUUGUAGCCAGAUCACAUGUUUUCAUCCGUUAGUUUUAUAAAAAUGGAAACUACAAACUUAAAAAAAAAAAAAAAUAUAUAAUAUAUAUAUAUAUAUAUAUAUAUCAAAUGGCCCCUAAAUGCUAUUAAAAAUCUCAAAAAUUAACAGGAAACUAAAACAAAUUAGAAUUUAUUCAUGGUUUCGCAAAUCCCAGCCGGAUAAACUGGUGGCCGUUGUAAGAGAGGACCUCCAGCCGGAUAAACAUUUUCGAGUUAUUUGAUAUUUGUAUAGUAAAAAUACUUUAAUAGCAAGUGCGCGUGAGUGAAGAAAUUGAACUUACUUAUAUUCUUUCGAAUCCCAACCGGAAAAAUUGCAGGCUCUGGGAAGAGCGGACCUCCAGCUCUGCACCUCCUUCACGUCAACGUUAGAACGACCUUCAUGUUUAGCAAAAGCUUCUGCAAAACUUCCCUCGAGUUUACGAAUAUUGGACGGAUCGACUUGGUAGAAAAUGGGGAAUACAAUCUGGUUCUUGGAAUGGUUGCAUUCCAAGAUUUCCACGAGUUCUUUCAAGCACCAUGUGGAUGAAGCAUAGUUUUGAGAGAAAACUACAAUCGAAAUCCUUGACUCUCGAAUCGCUGUCAGGAGCUCGGAAAGGCGGUCGCCUUUUCUGAGGUCUUCGGCAUCAAUGAAGGUGUUGAUUGGUUUCUGACGCAGAGCUUUGUAGAGAUGGCUGACGAAGCCCGUGCGAGUGUCUUCCCCUCUAAAACUGAUGAACACAUCGUAUUCCCAACCAAGGCAAGAAGAAGAAGAAGAAGCAGCCAUUAAUCGAUCUCACCUGGGCAGCGAUGAUCGAGCAGCUAAGACUAAGAGAAUUGUAAGUACAGAAACACUCAAUAGAUCUACAAAUUGGAUCACCAGAAAUUAGUCAAUGAGUCAAUGCAAAAGGGAAAAGGGCAAUUAUGCUUUUUGCGUUUUCACAUCUUCUUCAGGAAAUUUCGGUGUGAAAGGAAUCCGCAUACUUUUGAUUUUUCAACCCAAGAAAAUGCGAAGAAAGGGGACAAAGUAGUAAAUUUAAUCUACAGUUAGUUACCUACUCAAUAACCUCUUGAUUUAAUAUAUAUUUAAUUGGGAAAAGUAGUUUAGAGCAAGGAUGUUAUCUCCUUUUCUUCUCUCUCGAUCAGUCAAUCUUCCCGCGUGCGAUUUAAUCAUGAUUAAAGCUAAGCUUAAUCUUAGGUCGUAUUAUUUAGGUCUAAUUGGAUUCUUAAUUCUUGUGAUAUAGUAGUUGGAAGAUUAAAAAAAAAUUAUGAUUUAAACGUUUGUGAUGAAGUCUGUUACGAUUUAAAUUCAAAAUUGAAAAUUUCGUUAACUCCAUUAAUUGUUAGCACAUGAGACUCACAAAUGAAACUAAAAAUAUAAAGUUAGCCUCACAUGUAAUCUUCACGUGCUAACAAUUAAAAGAGAGUUCCGUUUUAGCUUAAUAUAUGUGACUCACGUGUUAAUAAUUAACAAAAUAUUAACAAAAAUUUUAAUUUUAAGCAUAAAUUCAAAUAAACUUCACCACAUAAGCUUAAAUUCUAAUUUAGAUAUCUUCUAAUUUAGAUAAUUUUUAACUGCAAGAUGUACGAUGAACGGAUAUAAUUCACAAAUCUCCAAAAUCCUUACAAAAAAUAUCCGAAAAAGAGCCAAAUUCAAUGGAAAUAAGCUAAUUUUGAAUCAAAUAACAUUACUUUAUUUUGUAAAUAAAUUAAUUUUGAAUUGAACAACAUUCAUUUAUUAUGUAAGUAAUUCAUUUUGUAUGUAUCAUCAUAUAUAUUAGGCACAUUUUAUCAUAGGUGAUUUUGUGAAAAAUUAAUAAAAAGUUACAAUAUUAACAAUAGAUCAAUAAUAUUUAUGUUAAUUAUAAAUAGGCUAACCAUGUAUUAUGAUACUUAAAUGCAUUUAAAAUAAAUAAAAAUUACAAAAUCUACUACUACAGCUAGCAUUCACUUCAACUAAAGCAAUACGUAGUUUUUAUAUUUGGAAUAAGUCAUACGAAUCAGAGACAUGAAGAGGUGUAAGAACUGUGAAUGUCCAACAACAAAGACUUCGGAGUUUGUUGUCGAAUAUCUGCAGCGCAUCAUUUCUGAUAGAUCAAAUCGAGCCAAUUCCCGCAAACUCCAAUCCCACCACCACCUUUCAAGCCGGACUCAGCCCUCCGGGCGGCAUUUGGCAGGACAGCACUGGAUCAAACAAGAUUGAGACUGGCAGUGGGAGCAAUGAACGAGCACACUCAGCAGGGAAGUCCAUCAUGGGUUCUAACCACACAUUGUUUCUCUACUUUGUGGCUUCCAACACGAUUGGAUUUUUUGUUUCACUUUACAUGAUCAAUGUCCUCACCAGCAAUUUCCCUCUGCAGUUGGAGCUUCAAAUUUGUAUUGUCGCGAUGUACAGCACGUACAACACUGCAGUUUUCAGCAUUGCACCGGAGAACGUGCGCUUCUUCGUCCUUCUGUUCUCUGUAGUUUUCCCAACUUUGGUUACACUUGCUGUCCAAAAUGAUCGUCUUUCGACAUACAUCACAAUGGCGAUCUUUAAUCAUAAUGACUUGUACUGCUCGAUCAAACGAGACGCAUGGAGGCGCGACGUAGGAGCCACGGUGCAGCCCAAACUUUGCAGAUAAGAAAUCUGGUAAUUCACAGCAUCACAAACAUGUUACUGGGUCUCCUGACCAUCGUAGAUGCCAAUGUGUGCACAAGGAAAGGAGUAAGGUAAUCAAAUGCUUGAGUCUUGUGUACCUGUUUCGGUGUUGGUUCGGAUGAACCCAUUGAGUUCUCGAUCCUUAACUUCUGGAAAUGCUCCUGAAAGCAUAAAUAUAUGUACGGAUUUAAACCAAUGGCAAAUGGACAUAAUUUACGGACAAUGAUUGAAGAAAAUACAGAUAUAAACGCCUCAGUAUUCCAUUGACGAAAGUUCUAGAUUUGAUGAAUCAAACGUCCCACGUUGAGACUGCGUUAAGGCAAAUGGUUCUCAAACACAAAGCAAUAGUUUGCUACCGAAAACAACCAAAGUCUGACAAAGGGAACCGUCUUACACCUAACCUGUUUUUCCCUCAUCAAAUGAGCGCGUUGAUCUGCAGGUAUUUUCUGCCAUCUCAAAACCUGUUACAAAGAAAUAUAACGUUGAUGUUGAGCUGGAUAGCAUAUUAUACCAAUUAUGUGUACAAACCUAUUGAAAUAAAGUAGCUGUAGUUGCAUAUUACGACAGAUAUUAACGAAAACAAAAGAAGGCUCGCCUAUUCAAGAUCCUAAAUCCCAUGAUUCUUUUGUUUUUAGUUUCAGAAAUUUUCAGAGCACAAACUGGAAAGUACCAAGAUACUUACAUAUUGGGCAUAAUGAAAUGCAUCUUCAUCUUUCAAGCAAGAUUUCAGUGAGCGCAAACCAUCCUGGGAGUUACAUAAGUCAAUCAGUAAUAUAAAAACGUAGAUGCAUCACAUCCAAACACAAGUAUUCAAACACCAACAACUUCUUCAUGCGGUGAGGCAUGUUAAAAAAUAGGGAAGAACAGUUAUUGAAUAGGAAGUUAAAGGACUAAAUUUAUGACCUUGUGUUUGUAGUUCUUGGCUCGUAUGCGUUCAUCUAUUACAAAACCAAUCUGUAACAGGUACAACAGAAAAUAUAAGCAGUAGUCAGAACAUUAAGCAUCGGCAUUCAAAUUGCCGCCAAUCCAAAGUUAAAAGUCUAAAGGCAAAACAGUAUGAUUCUUAUCUCUCAAACAAAAAUGAAACUAUACCCCGGUCUCAGACAUAAAUGAAAUAAGUUCUACUGCCUCAACUGAGUACUGUGAUUAUAUAUAAAUCCAAUUCACCUUGUCAAGUAAUCUCUUAGGAUCUUGAAAUGCUUGCUUCUUAGCCCAGUCAUUAAAUACAUGCGAGAUAAUCGAUCUCUCAUCCACACUGAAUCUAUUGCACAGUGACAGGAGAAUAAAGUCAAACAUGAACAUAACCAACCAAAAAUGCUAGUUAUAAUAGUACACCCAUAAUUGCAAGCAAAACCUUUUUAAGAAGCCAUUUCCAUGGUUUUCCUCCCCAAAUUCCAUCAAUUCUGCAGAGGCAACGUCAAAUUUACUAUGAUGGAGAUCAUUUUGCACCAUAACAACUUCAGAAGGUAGGAGAUUUGGUUUGAGAUCAUCUGUUGACGGAGUAGUUUCUUUUGAAGUGUCAUGAUGCUUUGAUUGCAAGCCUUCUGUACUUACGUCAGCCUACAAAACAAAAAUUGCAUUCAUCCACACUAGACUUAAUAAGAUUAGAAACACUUCAGAUUCUUCACUAUUUGUAAGUUUGACUAAACAGCAGAACAACUGAGGAUAAUGAACAGUAAUACACACCUGGACUUCUCGUAGAUGAUUUGGAAUUUCUUUCAGAAAUCGCGAAGGUUGAAGCAUCUGAAGGAGCCACCUUCUCAGUCAGAGCAACAACAACAAAUAAGGAGGACAGGAAUUCAAGCUAAAACGAACCUGCCAACUGGAAUCCAUCGUAACAUAAAGAAUGAAAAGCUUUUUUCGAGCACGAGUCAUUGCAACAUAUAAUAGGCGUCUUUCCUCCUAUGAUUAGAGUGGGAUUAUUGAGUUAUUGACCAAAAGAAAAAAGAGUGGAAUUAUUGUGACAAACACUUCAAAGCUCUGCAUAUAACUGAAAAAUGUUGAACAAUUUACCACACACCUCAAUGGAGGUCCCAUUUUCUUUUGCAACGCCAUUGAAUUCAUGCAACAACGGAAUCUCAGAUUCAUUUACCUGUGUUAUUGGCAUGAGCAUUAAAGCAAGCUAAGAUGAUUUGAAGAGGUUGAUAUUGUCAUGAAUAUAGUAGAAUAGAAUACCAAUUUCAAGCCAUCAAUUAGGUAUAGCAUUGGCAUGUUUAAUCCGUAAAUCUAAUGACAGAACACCUCAACUCUACACAUAAAUAAAUAAACAACCUGAAAAAUAUUACAGCCACUUGUUAAGGCAAAUACCUUAAUUAUGAAAACUAUAUCCCACUCUAAACCUUUUGACUGCAAGAGAAUGAAAAAGAAAGACAGUAAGCCAAGAAUGUUUUGUAGAACUCCAAAGGAAGUCCAAUAGGGAAAUCAUCGCAAGUAUAAGAGUUAGCGAGGUUCGCAUAAGAGGAUAUCAAAAAGAUCUAGAACCUGAUGAAUAGUAGUCAAAGUGACAGAACUUUGGUUGUCAUGUCUUCGGGAGUGAAAAUUUUCACUCUCCCGCUCAGAUAUGUAGUCGAUGAAAGCUUUGAGUAAAUUAACGCAGCCUUUUUCUUCUGCUACGACUUCUCUCUCCCCUUUUCCCGCAACAAAAUGAGUUGAUAAGAAAUCAGAUACGUCGUCUAGUAGGUACUGAAGAACCUGCAAUGAGAAUAAUCGCAUCAAAACAACAGGGUUGGACCAAGAUUUAAGUGACAACAAUGAUUAACUAACUAAAAUAGAGAAAUUAUUCAUUUAAGACCUUGUUGACUGAAAAAAGGGUUUUCCAAGCAGCGGGUCAUUUAAGCUUAUUGUAUAAAUGACAAUCAUCACAAACGGCAAACUUACAGAUCUCACGUCAUUGUCUUCAUUCAGCAGUUUUCCUCCAUCUACAUCAACGACUGCACGUUGCUCAAGAAGGUACUUCUAAAAACUGAAAGUCAAACGAUAAAUUAUUAAGAAGCAUUGAAUAUAAGCAUGAAACGAAGAAAAUGUUAUGGAAUGGUGAUCCUCAUCCUCAAAGAUGAUUAAAAGCAAUUUGAUUCAAAAAUGACAUAUCAACUCUGGAGAAAUGGAAGACAAACCUGUGGUACCAUAUUCGCAACUGAGGUUAUGACAGCUGAAAUCGAUUGUUCCUGUGUGCAUUGAUAAGUGAGACUACCAUAGAGAUUCACAACUAAAUAAAGACAGGUAUUCCACAGAACAACCUUUACCUCUUUGGAAACACAGAUCUAACAAAAACUAUAACAUUUUGGAUUAAUAUUGACGAAUCAAGAAUAAUGCAAGGGAGCAAGAGAUACUCUUCCUUCUAAUAACAAGGAGGCGUGAAAAGUUUACAGAGUUCCAACAAUUAGAGAACUAAAAUCAAACUAAAAAAAUCACCAAAGUAGACAGAAUCCCACUUCGCCAAAAAUUUGAAAAUAUAUCCUUUUUAUCCAUUGAGAUUCAUGAACUACUACUACUACAUCAUGCCAAUAAGCAAUGCGUAAGAGGUGCUACAAUUUACCGAAUAUAUUUACCCUGAGAACAAGUUUUGAAAUCAUCUCUAGUGUUAACAGCACCUUGCGUCCUUGGGUAAGCUGAGUCCUAUUAUCAAGUAAAGAGACCAAUCAGUACAUAUCCAAAAGAUCUUAAAUGCUUGUAAUACCAAAUAAGAAAGAAACAUGAGUAUAUCUUGAAUUAACAAUGCAAAAAUGUAAUGUUAAAGCAUCUUGUCAUACAGACCUCUUCAAGGUACCAGAAAUUUUGGCACUAAAGAUGUCACAAGCAGCUGAUAUGAAGCUGCAUUUUCUGUGAGUUGAAAUUUUGUCAAUAUAAUCAAUCACCUGAAGAGAGAGAGAGAGAAAGACAGUGAUAUCCAGAGAUGUGAGCCUAAAUGCUGAGUGUGUAAAAAAAGAAGAUUAAAUGGAUAGCAAGAAUAUACAACUUUAAUGCUGAAAAGAACAUUGAAUAUGAUGCUCAUUCAUCAUUGCCAUUGAACGUGUACCUUCUUCUUUUCCUCUUUCUCAAAAGCAAGUAGAGCCUUGAAGACUCGCCUAUAUGAUCCAUCAUCACAACCAGGCAAAGUUGUUUUAAUCAUAGCAACAAUGGCUCUAACUACCUGCCAUAAGAAACAUGCUACAUCAACAAGAUCACAGAGUGUACCAGAAACCGUAAUGUAGCAAAAUCUUAGAUAAAAUAGCUGGCCAAAAGGGAAUGGAAAAGCAAGCACAAAAAACAAUGAAAAGGACCAGUGAUGCCAAAAUUCUGGUGGAAAAGGUGAAAAGCUUACGUCUAUUACAGUUCUUGUAUGCAUUCUUUAUAACUUAAGUUCUACGCAGCAAAAACCACCUUAUGCACAACAAUAUUGGAAAAAUUAGAUACAUACAACUGAGAAGAUAGGUUUUCAUAGCUGGACAAGUGCUAACUACCUUCUUCCUAUAAACUGCCACUCCAUGAACAUUAAAUGGUAUUUUCCUUUCACGCAAGGCUGUCUGGAAGACUUUUCCUGAUACCUGUAGUAUAAAAUACAAAAGAAAAUGUGAGCAAAAUGUCUUAUAUGAUUCACCUCAUUCACAUUAGCACUAAGGCAAGUACGCUUGACCUGCCUCCGGUAAAGGAUUGCUAUAUUUCCAUAGGAGCACCCUGCUUCUGACCGUUUAGAUGCAGUCUCCAGGAUCUUGUCGACAACAAAGGCGCAUUGUGCAUCCUCAUUGUGACUUUCCUUGAUAAUUACCUACAUUUUGCCAGUAAAACCGGUGUCACUAACUAAAAGGACUGAAAAAUGACAUCAAAUUGUACUUGUUGGAGCAAGGAAAGAUUAAGUACCUUAGACCCAGAAGAAUUGUCCGUGUCAACAUUCUUUAGUUGGCAUCGCUUCUUAUUGUUUUUUAUAACAGAAGAUGCAGCUUCCACAAUAUAGCGUGUGGACCGAAAGUUUUUAUUAAGCCUAAUCUGAACCAUAAAGUUAUGUCAAAUCCCACAGAACCCCAUAAAAUAAAACUUACUUUCCUGUAAUUGUACAAUAUAUUUGUUCUAUACUAUAUAUAAUGAAAAAAGACACUGUGAAUGACAUAAGAUAACAUAGCAGUCAAGUGCGAAGCGAACCUCUUUGUUAUUUGAAAAAUCUUUACGAAAAGAAUCAAAUCCAGAAAUGUCCGCCCCAUUGAAACUGAAAAUGGACUGCAGCAGGAUAUAUGUUAUUUGAUUUAGAAAAGAUAAGGGCUGGAUUAAAAUGAGCUGAGAGAGAGAGAGAGGGAGAGAGGGAGCAAUAACAUUGGAUUUCCAUAAUAAAUCAACAACAUGCCUGAUCAUCAUCACCAACAAUGGUUAUGUGGUUAUGAGAGGCGAGAAUCCGCAAAAGACUAUAUUGCAUAGCACUUGUGUCUUGAAACUCGUCUAUUACAAUAGCUUUCCAUGACUCCUGGCACUCCUUCAACACUAAUUAAAAGAACACCAUGUAUCAACAUUUAGCAUUACUUGUAAAACUAGAUAAAUCAAUGAAAUAUACUUAGAUGAUAGAGACCUUCAGGAAAAUCACUUAGCAGCUUCACAGAGCAGCUAAUUAAGUCGUGGUAGUCCAAAGCGUUGCACGAUUUCAAGAUAUCAUUGUAAUUCCUAAGAAUUUCACCCUGAUUCAGAUUGAGAGCUAAAACUCAUAAGCAAUAGUUUCAAAGAACUGAAAUCAUAUCUGAAAUUCUAGUUCUGAGCGUACUCCUGUCACAUCACCCAUUCUUCGGCAUUCAGCGGGAGUCUUUCCAGAAGCUUUUGCCUGAAACAUAAAUAAAUUUAUUGCCUAAUGCCACAUAUUGUAAGACACACCAUUGUAUUGGUCAUUCUAGCUUGAUUGUAGCUAAUAUUUUUUAAAUCGAAUGAUUAGAGUUCUUAAUCCACAAUAAUCUGAACAUUAAAUUUGGUAUUCAAGACUGACCUGUGUCACAAACUUCAGCCAUUUCUUUGAUGCAUCCUUAAAAUGAUGUGGAGAUGUUACGCCGUUAGACUCUUCCCCAUCUAUAGCAACAUUAAGAUUCGUUUUACUCUUUUCAUCUUCUGAUAAACGCACAGCUUCAAUGAUUGCUCUUCUCUGUUGCCCAUGUCCAUAUAUCAAAAAUUCUGGUCUGCGCUCGAGUCUAAAACACAAGGCAACAUAACAGACUCAGCUAUACCACCAUAUGUAUGGUGUUCAAAAUCAAGGGAGGUGAAUCAAUAGCUUACUUCUCAGCAUGUGAUCGGCAAAGUUGCAAUGAAAAUGAAUGAAAUGUACUGAUUGUUAGUAGUUUGCCGUUGCUUUCCCAGUCACAGAUCCAAUUCGAUCUCUCAUCUCGGAAGCUGCUGCUGUAGUGAAAGUCAUUGCUAGAACGUUCGACGUGCUAAUGCCCUAAGAACACCCAAAAAAAAAAAACGAAUAAGAUUUCGAUCAUAAACAAGAAAUGUAGAGAAACAGACAAUUAUGAAAGAAAAAGUUAAGAGGGAAAGUAGCAACACCUCAUUGAGCAGCAUUAGAACGCGCCCAACUAUCGUUGAAGUCUUUCCACUUCCAGGGCCGGCAACAAUCAUCAAAGGUACUGAACUAUCGCUGCAAGCUGCCUCGAGCUGCCUUUCGUUGAGAGAAAGCAAAUACUUCAAAUACUCAUCCGGCAUGUUAGGCAAUCCAUGGUUAACAGAAUCUGUUUGGUUUUCACUACUCAAAGGCGGCGCUGAUGCGGCACUAACGACACUACCACAACUCCCAAUAUCAUCACGCUGAAUGUCCACACUCGUUUUCUGCUCGAUUAAAGCGUCAAUUUCCUGCAAAAUACUCUCAUCGAAAUCAUCAUCGUUAAGAAUUCCAGAUGCAGAGAAAGAAUCAAAUGAAGUCAGAAACUGCGGUUGUCUGAUUGGAGUUGUGAAAGAAUCCGAUUUUGACACGCUUGAUUCGGUCCGGCUAACGCUUAAGCUCCCGGAACACGAAGCACUGCCAUAUUCACCACGCGCUGAAUUGUACCGGCUUGCGGAAAUCGGAGGCGGUGUUCUUUGAACUCUAUUGAGCUGAGUUGGCGUUUGGAUUCCAUUUCCGCCACAGAUUCUGGAAUUUGAAAAACACAAUUGAAUUGAUUUAAAUUGAAGCAAGAAAACGGCCGAGUAGCAAAAAAAUAGUAAGAAGAUGAAACCUUUGAUUCCUGAACGACUUACUUGGUAUGAGGGAGGUGAUGAUCAGGUGAAACGGCGUCGUUGCGGGGGCGUUUGCGAUCAAUGAGGGCCUUGGCGGCUCUGCAAUUCCGAGAGAUGCGGUUUCUUUGUUCCGCCGUGAGCCCUCCGCCGUACGCCUGAACGUUUUCCUUGGACAUUGCUUCGAAGAUUCCAACGGAGGAUUUGGCCUGACGGCCUGACCAGGCUGAUAACAGUGUAAAACCUUAGGAGCUAAGGAAAAACUAAGAGAGAGAUCGUAGAGAGGGGAAAGUUUUUUGUUUUUUGGAAACUUAGAGAGGGAAAGUUUGUUAAACCUGCAUAAUAUUCUUUUCGUUCAACUUGUCUACAAUAAUUACCACUCUUGGUAUUUAUACAUUUGUAACACACCUCACUAACUAACUAAGACCACUACCAAUCAUACAUAAACACUUGUCAUAAUCCUAUGCACUCAUAGUAUCAUCACUCUAACAUCCCCCUCAAGCUCGUGUGGCAGAUUGCCAAGUAUGAAAUUGGAACAAUUACGAGUGAACUGGGGUGAACACAAGCCUUUGGUGAACAUGUCGGCAUAUUGAUCUGCAGAGGUAACAAACUGCAAAAUAAUUGUCCUUCGAUGAACUCUUUCACGAACAAAGUGGCAAUCAAUCUCUAUAUGUUUGGCUUUAGAGUGCAAUACAGGAUUAGUCGCAAGAGCCAUUGCUGAAAUGUUAUCACAAUUCAAAACUGGAACAGAAGGAUAACCAACAUGCAAAUCUCGAAUAAGUUGUUGUAUCCAGAUAACCUUAGCAGUGGUUGUAGCCAUUGCUCUAUAUUCAGCUUCAGUGGAAGACCUACUCACUGUAUGCUGCUUUUUAGAACUCCAAGAGAUAGGAGUAUCUCCCAAAAAAAUGACAAAACCCGUGGUUGAACGACGAUCAUUGGGAUCCCCUGCCCAAUCAGCAUCUGUAUAAGCUUUCAACUAAGAUGAACCUAAUUUAAAACACAAUCCCAAAGACAUAGUGCCUCUGAGAUAUCGCAGAAUACGUUUCACAGCAGCAAAUAAGUGGCUAAGGGUGAAUGCAUAAACUGACAUACUUGAUUGACAUAAAAAGAAAUAUCUAGUCUUGUAAAUGUUACGUAUUGCAGUGCCCCAACAAUACUUUUAUAAGUGGUAGGAUCAGAAACAGGUUCACUACCAUGAUUCAGAAGCUUCUAAUUAGGAUGACAAGGUGUGGGAAAAGGUUUAUAGUCCAGCAUAUGCAUAUUUUGAAGGAGUUCUUUGACAUACUUGGUCUGAUGAACAAAGAGUCCCUGAUCCUGAUACUCAAUCUGUAAACCAAGAAAAUAAUGCAACACACCUAGAUCUUUCAUGUCAAACUCACUAGUUAACUGACUAAUAACAUUAUGAACCUUCACAUCAUCAUUACUAGUGAGAAUGAUAUCAUCAACAUAUAAUAAGAGAACAAUAAUUGAUGAACAAUCACACUUGACAAAUAAUGAAGGAUCUGCAUAUGAGAUUGAGAGUUACAAGGAAAAGAUAUACAAGACUUAUUAAGUGUUGCAAUGACAAUGGAAUGUGCAGGAUCGCCUAAUCAACAAUGCCACAAUGUAGAAGAAAUCUUUUGACCCACAAAUGCAACUGGAUUAAAAACAGGAGAAAUAGACCUCUGUGGUUUGAUAUGGGAAGUGGAUAGACAACAUUAUUACUCAGCCCUUGGAAUAGCACUCUCCCGAUGACCUUGUCCUAUAGACAGAGAGAAACAUCAUCAAUGAUACAACGACACUAAUUAUCUUUGCACAACUAAUUCAUAGAUAAUAAGUGUUGUGAUAGUUUUGGAACAUGUAACAAAGAGUUUAACUUGAAAUUAUGUGACUUAGUGAGAAGAGAAGAGGAACCAAUAUGUUUGAUAGCUAAACCUUCACCACUAGCAGUGGUCACAGUAUCAUUUGAUGGAUAAAUUUGUUGCCAUGUGCAAGUUUGACAAAUCUGAGGUCAUAUGGUUAGUUGCUCCCAAGUCAAGAAACCAGAAAUCUUGUUGAAGAGUUGAGGAUGAUGCACCAGCUCGUGCUUGCACAGCAAGAGGAGGAUUUUGUGAGGAUAUAAUUGAGAGAUACAUAUGUGGUAUGACAGGAUACUGAAACUCGAAGCUAUUAGACUGUGGAAUCAUGCCUUGUGAAAGACCACAUGGAUUCUAGCUAGGUGCUUCACCAUAUGACCCAGUAGGCAUUGGAGUUGGCAUAGACGAGGAUAAACCCUGAGAGAAAUGCUAUGAUGUGUCUGUGAAAUUCUUAUUCCGAUCAAAGCAAGUAGCAGCAACACGGCAGCCUCUGUGACAAAUUUGACAUCCAUGUUGAAAACAAUUCAAUGCAGAAUGACCUUUGCGAUCACAUAUUUGCAUAAUGGCCUCUGUGAUCACAUAUUUGCAGAAUGGCCUUUGCAACCCUAGAAAGAACAAGGCGCGAAGAAGACCAAAUGUGUACGUUUCUCUUUGUUUUUUUUUCCCUCCUAAUCGUGCUGUUCGAAAUCACGGACCUCGGGCUUGGGCCUAAUGGGCCCAAUUAUGAGGCCUAUUAUCUCCGGUCUUCUCGUUCUACUUCUAGUUACCCAAAUUAAGAACGUGCUGGUUCGCUUUUAGCGCGAGAGAGAAAUGGAGGCCCUGAUUGCCUCGUACGGAAACUCGUCGUCGGGCUCAGACUCCGAGACGCCGGCUCCACCUCCACCACCACCUCCGGAGCUCAACAACCCUCAAGAACCGACCCCUGCGCUGCCUCCACCUCCUCUGUCACUUCUCGACAGCCCCAAUUCCUUCGGUAACCUCUGAUUCCCAUCAAUUUUCAUCUUUUAGCUUUCUGUUGUGAUGGCUUUUUCCGAGUUGCCCACCAAGUGUUUGAUAUUUUGCCUCUGAAGGAUUUCUGGACUUCUCGGCAAGCGUCCAGCCGAGCAGAGUUCGGAACUUUCCUCACGUCGAAGGGAACUACGCAGUACAUGUAUACAUCCCAGGUUAUCAAAAUUCUCGAAAUUUUCAGCUCCAUUAGCAAAUGCGAUCGCUUUGCACUUAGUUUUUGCUUGUUUAAUUGUGUGGUUCCAGUUUAUAUACCACCAGCACCAAGGAAAGAGAUGGCCUUGUUUUUGAACAAGCUAGCUUCUCUGGUGCCUUGUCUCCAUGCGGUUGACGUUGACUUCCCGCUUGACAUUCUGCGUAAGGACGAGCACAAGCUUGAACAAGUUGCUUUAGGCAGAGAGUUCCAUAUAAGUCUCGGAAGAACUGUUCCGAUUCGGGUGCACCAGAUUGAUUCCUUGGUGACAAUGCUGCGGCAGAAGCUUCAGAUUCAGAGGCGGUAUGGUUACAUUUACAUUCUCUUGUCUGCAUUGCGUGAAUUUAGUUCUGUUAUUUAACAUAAUUCUGUAAGCCUGCAAUUUUUUCGUCCAUUUUCGGUUUAACACAUUUUGUUAUUGUGCAACAGGUAUUGGAUUGAUUUUAGCAAGUGGGAGGUUUUUGUUAAUGAUGAUCAGACCCGGACCUUUGUGUCUAUCGAAAUCAUUGCUGCUGGGUUAGCUGAGGUAUGAUUGCUAGCUUUCUCUCUUGGUGCAAUUCUAAAUGUUUUCAGUUGUUAUAUGGGCUUAAGAUUUAGUAAGGACUUGCCGAAAGUCAUGGGAUUUUGAAAUAUCGAUAUCUUGCUUGCUUAUUAGCUUAGAUUUGGUCUUCGAUGCACUUGUAACAUGAAAAACACAAACGAAAACUAAUGCAUGAUAUGCUCAUGGUUUUAACAUGUGUUGUCCUGGCGUAAAUCAUGUUCCUAAUCCUGUCAUGUGAGUAUAAGCCUAUGAAACUCAGGGCAUGUUUGGCGGGCCGGACAAGAUUGGAAUUGGUAUUUCAGACUAGUUAGGUUAGGAUUGAACUGGAUAGGAUAGGUUUUUUUGUCUAAAGAUUGGUGUAGACUGUCUUAACCAGACUAGGAACGAUGGGAUUUAAAACGUGAAACAGAUCCGCGACAUCCCAACGAUGACCCGCCCACCCAACAACUCUGCUCGUGACUUGCAACACCUCUCGUACCCUCCACGCCCCUUGAGGCCCGUCAGACCACUCUGAUAUCCUGGAGGGGUGAAACGUGGUUACUAGAAGCAUACCUGUUUUCGUAUUAAUGCACAGUUGAAGCAGCUUUCAUUGUCUACAAGUCUGAAAUAUUUCAACUUCCAUUGAUUUCAGAUAACAAAGCAGAUUCAAGCUGUGAAUGAGGUGUAUAAGCUUCACAAUCUUCCUGAAUUUUACAAGGUUAGCUUUUUCGUGCUUUUCAAACUCGAAAUUACUUACUGAAUAUAUGACAAUAUAUUGGAGCAAAUGAUUGUGCCUGAAUGCUACUCAUUGCUCAAAAAACUAAAUCACUUCAUGGGGUGUUGGUGAUCACAGGAUCCGCGCCCUCACAUCUCGGUAGCUUGGGCAUUGGGUGACAUCGGCAAUUCCCUGAAGAAAGUGGUUGAAGAAGAAAGACGAAGAUCUACCAUCGGAGGAUCGUUACAGAAAUGUAUUUUUACCAGUAAAUUCAAUGGUAUUGAAUGUAGGAUUGGUAAUAAAACACACAAAAUAUGUAAAUUUUCUGAACAAUAAUGUAGCCAUUUAACUAUAUUGUGAAAUUCCGAGAAUAUAUCGCUGAGCAUUGGAUGAGAAGACAUUUCUUCGUUGGUGUCGAACUUCAUGCCGAAGGUAUAGACACCGUGUAAACGCCAUCAUCCAUGCAGUCUCCUGUGCAUUAUUUAGUAUUGUCUCAGUUUCUCCAAACUUGAAUGCUCCUAUAAACCCACUCUUGACCUUUCCGUCAUCUGCGAUUACCGGAAAGCUGGCAAGGAUGUUGCCGUUAACCUACCUAACCGGCUAGGAUGUUGCCGUCAUCUCCAAACUUUAAAUACCGGAAAGCCGGCUCCAAACUUCAAUGUGCUACUAGUUUUUGUAUGCGAGAGCUCCACCUCCAUUGUUGUAACAGCAUCUGAUGCGGACUAGUCCUUCAUUCCCGUUACUCUUUGCUAUCUCCACUUCGAACUUGGCGUAAUGGCUCCCGGCCUCCUCUCCGGUGAAAUUGAGAAACCCCGGAGCUGGCGUUUUCAUUCUGUUGUCCGUAUAUCUUGUAUUACAAGUAUUUGUUGUGCAAAAUGCAAGCUAAGUUCAAUUUAUGUUUAUGUGUGUGUGUGUGUUGCCACUUUGUCACUUUUCCAACGUUUUCUCCAAAAUUGUGAUUUUGGUGAAUCCUAAUAACAAUUCCCUCGUUAAUCAUUGGGACGAGCACCAAGGCAGUUUUGAUUCCGUGCACAACGGCGAUACCUCGAAAGAAAUUGAUUCUAACCCAGAAAGAUGUUUUAAAUCAAAGUUGAACAAGGGAAGAAAACUUUUGAAUCGCAAUCACAUGUCUGGUCAAAUUCUUGAACAGUUGAUGUAUACAGACGUUCCUUGCUUAUGACACGACUUAUGAGAGGAUGUAUGUAUUGCAUUUGCAUCAAAAAAGAGAGAGAAGGUUGUAAGUGGUAAGGGAACGACUACCGAUGCCGCUCCACUUCUAAUCAAAGGGAUCGAUCCGAGGGUCGUGUUCACUUGCCAUCGCCAUUCCAGUGCAAAGGCAUGUCGGGCACAUUACCUGCCACAUUUACAGACGCAAUGUUAGAUAUAGCUGCCAUUUGGAAGUCACUUCUCAAAAUUUUGCUACUAAAUUAAUCUUAGACUUCAUUUCCAGUGCAAUUUUUUGCUACUAAAUUAAGCUUGUGAAUAUAGUACAUCUAAGCGGCAGGCACUAAAAGGAAUUUAGUAUGCAAUAAACAUUCAACGGACUAACCUUUCCCGCUCCUGAGCAAUUUGAACAUCGUUCAGUUUUUGGCAGAGAUAGGGGUUGGUUUCCGCCAUCAGCUGUCGAUACUGGUUCAGUAAGAACAAGGGUUCCAGUGCUGGAGCAACGAGCACAAGCAAGAUAUCCUGCGUAAGUAUCAAAUACACAGGUAAGUUGACAUAUGAAACCAAUCUGUGUAAACUACACUGUAAUAGCAGAAGAAUAUGCAGUACGAGAGAAAGAGAGAGAGAGAGAUUUAGAGAGAGAAGUUAAUACUUCAUAUGUAAUAUUUUCUAUAUCAUCAAUCUUACAAUAUUAAGACUAUAUACUAUAUGAAACUGCUAACUAACUCUAACAACCUCUCUAACAACCUUUCUAAUCUUUUGACAAGUGUCUUCAUAUUCUACCAUUGGAUUACUAUCCUUAACAUCCCCCCUCAAGCUCAGGAGAGGUAGAAUCCAAACUGAGAUUGCGACAAUGAAUCUGAAAGAGAGGAGCAGAUAAUCCCUUGGUCAGUAUGUCUGCAUAUUGCUCACUGGAAGACACAAACUGAACAAGCAACUGCUUCUUUGCAACUCGUUCGCGAACAAAAUGAAUAUCAACCUCAAUGUGCUUUGUGCGUUGAUGUAGAACUGGAUUGGAUUAAGCAAUUACUGACCUUUGUGCAUCUUACUAUUCCUACUUCACCAGUUUUGUAUUGUGAUAAUAUGUCAGCAAUCGCAUUAACAACCUCUCUAACAACCUUUCUAAUCUUUUGACAAGUGUCUUCAUAUUCUACCAUUGGAUUACUAUCCUUAACAAUCUGAACAUCUCCAUCGUAUAUAUUUAAAGCUACAGUACAUAAAACGAAAAGUCAGAAAUAGAGGACAUUAUCACACCAGUUCCAAGACAAUAUUUGCAUCGUUUAUGCUCCUGCUGUUUCACAUUGUUUAUUUCAACUACCAUCAAUGCUGAGAUCACUCCGACUGCUCCUCCAGAGAAUGACGCCACUAUGGGAUCAACUUGACUGCAGUUUGAAAGUAAAGGAGAUCAAUAAACAAAACUGUUAACAACAUAGUAUCAACAUUAUUUAGCUUCGUUUCAAGAAAUAUGACAUCCUAGGUUUUUCUAAUGUGUAAAAAUUGAGGAUCCUUGACUAUAUCGGUUCCCAAAGCAUUUGAUUCCUACGUUACAGACGGAAAACAGUAACAAUCGAAUUUAAAGAUUCAUAACACGAUAGAUGGUAGGUCUCGGGUUCGAGACUUGGGAGCAGCCUCUCCAUAAAUGGGGGUAAGGCUAGCCGACAUUCACCUCUCCCAGACCCUGCGUAAAGCGGGAGCCUUGUGCACUGGGUACGACCUUUUAUAACACGAUAGAUGGUACAAAUUUUCAAAACGAUAAUUACUAGAGAACAGGAGGGUUAAUAGCCUGAGAUAUGAGCAAUACCUCAACUGCAACGGCAGAUGCAUAUUUACUAUAAAGUCUUUAUAUGAUGUGCCUCCUAUUCCCAGCUUCAACUCCAACUGAAAGAUGUAAAGGUAAUUGUAGGCAAAGAGUUACAAACAUAACCGAAUCCAUGUUUUAUAAGCAACAACUACACUUAUUUUGUUAUGUUUCCUCAUUUUUUACUUGCAAAUUCCGAACCAUAUUGUCGGACCAGUAAAAAGAAAAUAAUGUUUAUGAUAACUGUUAAAACUAAUCACAACAAGUUAAUGCAUAAAGAACUUACGGAGGGUGCUAUGAGGCCACCGAAAAGGAUAAACCCCGCAAUAAUUGAAUAACAAACAGCAUAAUAUUGCUUAAGGUUGUCUGAACUCUGCAAGCAAUGAAUUCACCUUGUGAUUAAUACUUUGCACAAACACUAGUUUUCGCAAUUUUUUAUGAAUCGACAAAAGGCUACAACAAAAUAUGGCUAAAACAUGUGAAAAUACAUGUCUUCACAGGGGCACCAGCUUACCAGGGGAGGCAAAAAUGGAAUGAACGAUGGAAAACUAGGAAGUUCGUUUUCUUGAUCUUCAUUUACCGCUCCAAGCUCUGCACGUUUAAUCCGCUGUUGUAUCCUCAGCCCGCGAACCUACGCAUAUCGAAGCUCAUUCUUAAAGAACACAUUUCUAAUGGCAAUUGGAGAGUAAUUUAAAACAUGCUAAACUGAGAAAGUGGUAGCAACAAGCAAUUGCUCUCACUUCCUCCAUAUGCAAGAAAAUUUUGUUGCGACGACUCCGAAUAUUAUCUUGAAUUUCCUGCAGCUCCAUUGUCGCAAAGUCCUGCACUGUUUCAGGCCCCUCUAUGAUACAAAAUCUGCACAAUUAAGCAUGUAAAAACUAAAAAUUACAGGCUAUAAAACAAUUUCCGUAUCAUUUUUGGGAGCUCUCUCUCUCUCUCAAACCAGAAGGCAGAGCUUUCUGUUUCUCUUGAGGUUUCUUUCACUGGUAAAUUCCAGAGAAGCAGAGAAGAAGGCUCUCUGAGAAAUGGCGAUGGUGCAAGUGGAGACAAAACAAAUGUAUAUCUUGAAGCACCGAAAUUGUGCAGAACACUUGUCAACUACCGAACUCUAGGAUUAGGAGAGAGAGAGAGAGAGAGAGUGAGUGACCGGCAAAAAAAAAAAUGAGGGAAGAAUCACCCACAUUUAAAAAUGAUUUUUAGGGGACCUGGUGUCGUUGGAUUCGAGUAGUUGUUCGGUAUGUCACAUUUAAAAUUUUAUUAUCUGAUGAUAAACGUCGAAACAUAAAGAUAGGUCAUCUCUAACCGAAUGAGGACUAAAAAGUCAUGUUUAGUACUAUAAUCCUGCAAUGAAUUAUAUUUUAAUAAAUAAUAUCAGGUUAUAUUUUAUACCAUAUCUAACCGAGUGGGUCAAAUGAUCAUAUGCCAAACAUAGCCUUUUGACAAAAAACUCAUCUCCAACCGAGGGGGCUAAAUGGUCAUAGACCAAACAUAAUUGCUCAAUAAUUUAUUAUUCUAAUUGAAUUAAUAUGAUUAAUUAAAUUAAAUUACCAUAUUAAAAUAAGAUUUCAUGAUAUAUUUUGAGUGCCACUUGCCACAAUACCGAAGAAAGCAUGGUAUUAUUGCACCUGCCACAAAGUCAAGCUUGACAUUCUGCUGCUGGAGGGCUGGCUGGCUAGCUGAAAAUGGCCAGCCUGCUGGCCUGAUUUGGGAGGUUUUGGCCCAAUGGGGCCCCAAGCCCUUUGGCCUAGCCUUCGGUUGGAAACGGUUUUCGUGUUAUUCUGAGUUAUUUUUAACCCUAUGAUCCUUUGGCCGGAUCGAUUGGAGAUGACCUUAGGUGUGUUGAUUGUCUUUGAGACAUCGGAGGUUCUGUGUGAUUGAAUACUUCACCCUCCUCCAAAGGCGCCACUCUUGAGAAGGUUACUUGCCUCAUGCAAACAUUGUGAAUUGCAAGUGAUGAAUUGUUCUGAUGAUGAGGUUUAUUUUUUAACUCAUUAUGUUUCAAGUUUAAACAUUUUUCCCUCUCUUAGUGUAAAAUAUUGUUUGUGAUAAAAAAACUUAAAAUGAGACACUCUCCUUCAUAUAUAAGAUGAUCAAGUGUGAGAUUAAUACUUUUAAUGAGUGACUCAAUUAACCAUUUUCAUUUCUUACGCGUUCAAAAUUAGACAAAUUCUUUGCAUACAUUUAAAAAAAAAAGAUAUUAAGGAGAGUAUAAAAUUAUUACAUUACGAAGAGAGAGUUUCGAACUCGGGACGUAUGAGUAGAACCCUAACGCCUCUCCACUAGGAUAUUAGACCAAUACUGGUCUUGAAUUUUUUUGGUGCCCGGAGCGAAUGCUCAAAACGUGUCUUUUUCCAGUACAACAUAAAUUAAAAAGAAAUAUUUAUAGAGGGCUAGAACCCAAUCGAAGCUGGGGGACUAGGCCCUUACGCCUAUAUUAUAUUACUUACCUAAUACAAACAUUUCUGAUAGAUUUCAGAGGCUCUAAAUGGUCAAACACUUCGUCCUUCCCAAAACCGUUACUGUUGAGAGGGUUCCUUACCUAAUACAAACAUUUUACGUUUACUUAGAACUAGAAAAAUAAGAAUUGCAGGUGAUGAAUUGCUCUAAUGAUGAUGUUUAUUUUUUAACUUAUUGUGUUUUAAGUUUAAAUAAUUCUGUUUCUUUGAUAUAUAUAUUAGUGUAAAAUCAUUCGUAAUAAUAAAAAAAAAGAAUAAAAAUGAUACUCUCAUUUAUAUACAAGUUGAUCAAGUGUGAGAUUAAUAAUUUUAAUGAGUGAAUUAACUAUUUUCAUUUCUUACGAGUUCAAAAUUACACAAAUUCUUUGCAUACAUUUUUUUUUUAAAUAGAAAAUUUCUAUUAUUAAGGAGAGAGUCCUAAACUAUUAGGUUAUGGAAUGUGAGUAGAAACCUAACGCCUAUCCACUAGGAUAUUAGACCACCAGAGCUGAUCCUGAGAUUUUUGGUGCCUGCGUCAAAAUAUGUCCUUUUCCAGUACAACAAUAUAAAUUAAAAAGAAAUAUUUAAAGAGGGCUGGAACCCAGUCGAAGCUGGGAGGCUAGGCCCUCACGCCCAUAUUCUAUUACUUGAAGAAACAAUAUACAACGGGGGGAAUCAUAGUACCGAAACCCCAACAAUAAAAAACAAAGUCACAUGCAACCACUCCAAGCAGUCAACUUGGCCAUUACAUAUUGAAUCCAAAAGGUUGACGGCCUAUUCUCUGCAUACAAUGCACAGAAGAUAACAAGAUUACUAAUAUAAAAAGAACAUCUGAAAAGAUGAACAUAUGCAUCAACAAAUAAGCAGGGGCGGAUCCACAGUGGGGUCGUCGGGGUCAAACGACCCCUUGGAAACCAUGGAAACAACCUUGAAGCUCCCAUAUGCGACCUCUUGGAGCUGGGGUUGUCGGGGUUGUCAGGAAGAGGAAGAAGAAGACUCGGCAGGAAGAGGAAGAAGAAGCAGCUCGCGCGACGUGUAGGUUCUGUGUAGAGUUUCUGACCUUUAAUUCCCACUUCACAAAGACGAGAGAAAGAGAGAGAGGGAAGGAAAGUCCUCGGGGUGGUGGUGAUGUAGACCUUCGUCGGGGUAGUGGUGUGGGUGUGCGUGGGUGUGGAUUCGAUCGGAGAGAGUGAGAGGGUUAAAGAGUGAAAAAGAGAGAGAGAGAGAGAGAGAGAGAGAGAGAGAGAGAGAGAGAGAGAGAGAGAGAGAGAGAGAGAGAGAGAGAGAGAGGAGAGUUCGGGGAGAUGAGAAGGAGGACAAUGGGGACUUGCCCCGUGGCAAGUUGUGAUAGGUAGGAAAUCCCAAAAAGGGAUCCGGAUAGGGUAAGUAAGUGGGGACCAAAUUGUAAACUUCAUUUAACUGUAGGGAAAUUGUGAAAUUACAAGGAAAUCUUUGGGGAGGGGUUUUACAGAAACCCUUCUCAACACUUAAAAGCAAACUGCGUGCUUUUAAUCAGGUUUGGCUCUAUAAUUGAACUUGUAACCAUGCCUUUCCCUAUGACGGAAUUGUGAUAUGCUUUGCCAGAUAUUCACAAGGAAUUCAUUUUUCUUUUUCCAAUUGCAAAAUAUUAGUGAACAAGUUGUUUCUUCUAUGAGAGAUCCAAGCAUAAUGGUUGGGUAGAUGCAGAUGAGAAAAUCAGCAGUUGCUGUAUUUGGCACAGUAAGAUAUUAACUCUUACAUCUAAAUUGAAAAACAUGAAAAUUUCCUAGUUCUCAAGGUCUCACGUGCAUGCUCAGAUACAUUUGUGCUUCAUAUUUGUGUGUUUGAUUCCGAGAAGGCUGACAAGUUGAAGCAAUCUCUUCCUCCAUGUUUGAACAUUCAGGACCUUUGAACAAGGAUUUUGGAGUAGCUGGUUGCGCUAUCCUACCAAGACCCGAUGAAAUGACGAUAUGCAUGCCGUUUCUGUUAAAAAAAAAUAUCCUUAUUGACCCCCCAAACAUUAUUUCCUGGAUCCGCCACUGCAAAUAAGUAAACCAUUCUAAGUGCAAUUUUAGAAGUGAUACGCUCCAAGUGUGAUAUUGGACAGAAGAGCGGCAGCUUCAACCAGUUCUGCUAUAUCCGGCUGGAUGAGAGCUGCUAAAGACAUGAUUGUUCCCUAAUAACAUGAAUAAAUUGAGUAAACACCAAAAGUAGCGCAGCAAGGGAAGGAGAUUUGAAGUAGAUGAAGAGGUGUAAUACCCGUAUAUGCAGCGCAUCAUUUCUGAUAGAUCAAAUCGAGCCAAUUCCUGCCAACUCCAAUGCCGAUAAUCCUACAGUAAAGCAUAAAUCUUAUUCUCUUCUGAUAAAGAUGUGUGUCCCUGACUCCAACGUGUUUGACGCACAUUCCCUACCCAUACAUUGAAACCUUCAUCUGCAAGGACGAAUCCCAGUUAUUCUUCUGGAGAAUUUAAGAACCAUGAAUCACCUGGUCAAGAAAAGCCAGUAACCAAUUACAAUUGAGUUUGAAGCACAUAAGAGCCUAAUUUAAAAUGUAUCCCAUGGAUGUUCAUCAAUUUACACAAUAGUUAGUUUCAAGAAAGGAAAUUUCAACAGAACCUGAAAACUUCAGAUCAGGGGGCACCAAAUAGUGAGCUAUACAUUCAAAAUUUGAAAUAAUCAACUUAGUGGGACCAAUAUGUUGAAAAAAUUGGAAGGAGCUAUGAAAGUAAGGCUUUUCACUAAUCAGACGUCCAGAGAAUCAAUAUUUUACUCACGGAUCAGUUACGGGGAACACUCCCCACCAAAGCAAACUCUUUCGUCUGAAUCUGGAAAACAAGCAGCAGUGGAUUUUAACAGUCUGGGUAUCUCAAAGUUACUUUAAUCACAAAUUUAACAAUUAAACAUAUAAAUGGGCAUUAUUUAGUGAAAUAUUAGUAUAGUACUCACUGUGUGCUCGGAACAAGAGUACCCAGAAAGCUCAAUGAGCUGCGCACAGAGGACUACAGCGGUGAACGACAGCGACCGAUUCUGUAAAAUUCAGUCGAGUUUUGGGUGAUUUCGGAGGUCAAGAGGCUGAUAAGGAAAGCUGCGACCGAAGGGCACUGGUCUGGAAGAAAAGGCUCAGGUCACUGCUGUCCCAAUUCGCGAAGGAAGUGCCCCCAAAACAAUUUCGGCCCUGGACAGGUGCACUGUUUGCACUGGACCAGGGCCGGCCGGCCCAGGCGAUAACGUCCCCCAAACAGUACAUAUACAGAUGCUAGAAAUAUAUUAAUGUAACCUGAAACUACUAGAACCAUUCAAUUCUAGCGUCUACAGCUUUAGCAUUAGUUGGUACAUGGGACAUUCUUCCAAAGAGGGAGAUGAGCUCGUUGAGGCUCUUAUUUAUUCCCCCUCUUGAUGUGCCCUUCUAGGCUGCUAAUUCCAGACGAUCCAAUCUCAUACAUCUUCCCUGCAAAAGCAUGUGUGCCAGACUUCAAGAUCAAAUUUUUCCAACAAAAGAAACUUAAAGAUCAAACUCGCCAGCGGAAUAAAUGAUGCACAAGGGUGUUAAAAUCUUGACAUAUGUAUAUUUUUGGCAGAUUUUAUGUGAGCAUGCUACUAAAACUGGCAUCACUAAAGAUUGGUGGAAAACUUUAACAGUUUGAGUUGUAACUUCUCCAUUGUAUUUGUUAAGGCAAGAUGGAUGACAUCUAUGCAAUUUUCAGUAGAACUUAAAAGGCUGCAUAGCAGCUCUUGUUCGUUGUAUUGAAUACCGUGGUUUUACUGAUGAAUGCAGAGUUUGUUGAUGAUUCAUACGACAAGCAAUUGAAAAUCCCAUCAUUAUGCCCCACAUAUACCAAAAAAAAAAAGUCAUUUACACAAAUUCAGAGCGUUCAUCCACUGUAAUUUGCAGAUAUAGAAACGUUAAGAUAAAAGGAAAUGCAAAGUACCUUUCACCCAAAUUGGAGGAGCACCGGUGGCAUUAGCAAGUUAGCAACGGGAAUUGACAUACCAAUAUCUUCACAGUUUCUGCACAAGCACAAAUCAAAAGAACCCGGCGGUGGAGUUAUGUACCUCUCCUUGGAAAAUGCCACCUCUUGGGAUUUCAAAAUAUGCAGCCAUGGCUAGCCGUCUGACCACGCCAAUUCCACCAAAGCCACCGCAACGCGGCGUAGUGUCCGAUUGAUUGCUUCAAAACAGAGCUUCGUAUCCAUGUGUUUAUCAGCAGAGAGUACCCAAAACCACUGAAAAUUAUUUCUUUAUUCAGAUAAUAAAAUUUCCCAAAUUUGGAAAUUUAAUUCCGAAUCAAAAGUAGGGUUUGAAUUUUGAUUACCUAGAAAUUGGGGGGUUGGGGUGGAGAGGGACCCGUGCCACGACGGAUCUCUGUGUCUGUUUUAACUCAUGCCAAAUUAUAGAGAGUGUCAGGAAGACUUAAAUACUGAAGCCCCGUAAGCCGUUCAAUCCAGGGGGGAAGCUCUUUGAUAGAUGUUUUAUCCAAGAUAAGAUAUCUUAAUCCUUCCAUAUUUUCUUCAAUGCUUGGAAACACCUCAAAUUUUGUACAACCGGAAACAGAGAGACGGACAAGGGACUUGAGCUGACAAAUGCUGCUUGGAAGGCUCUUUAGUUCCUCGCAGUCGUUUAGCUUCAAAUAAGUCAAUCCCGUGAGAUUAUUAAUCGACCAUGGUAGUUCUUUAAUUUUUGAUCCGGAUAAAUUAAGAAAUUCUAACCCUUCAAUCACUUCUGUAAUCUCUGGAAACAUCUCAAGGCUCGAGCAACCAUAAAGAUCAAAGCUUUUGAGUGAUUUCAUACGAAUGCUGCUGGGAAGACUCUUAAGUUUCUUGCAGUAUAGUAGAUUCAAAUGACUCAACCCCGUAAGAUUAUUAAUUGAUGGGGGCAGUUCUUUAAUUUUUGAGCAGCGUAAAUCAAGCUUUUCUAACCCCUCAAUACCUUUUGACAUCGAUGGAAACAUCUCAAGACUGGAGCAGCCAUGAAGGUUCAAGGUUUUGAGACAUUUCAUACGAAUGCAGCCUGGAAGACUCUUAAGUUCCUUGCAAUCUUUUAGGUUGAAAUGACACAACCCCGUGAGAUUAUUAAUUGACAUGGGCAGUUCUUUAAUUUUUGACUCGGAUAAAUUAAGCUCUUCUAACUCCUCCAUACAUUUUGAAAUCUCUGGAAACAUCACAAGAUUGGAGCAGCCAUAAAGAUUAAAGGUUUUGAGAGAUCUCAUACGAAUUUUGCUGGGUAGACUCUCAAGUUCCUUGGAAAAUUCUAAGUUUAAAUGACUCAAUCCCGUGAGAUUAUUAAUUGACUCGGGCAGUACUUUAAUUUUUGACGCGGUUAAAUUAAGCUCUUCUAACUCCUCCAUACCUUCUGAAAUCUCUGGAAACAUCUCAAGAUUGGUGCAACCUCUUAGAUUAAAGGUUUUGAGAGAUUGCAUGCCAAUGUUGUUGGGUAGAAUCUUAAGUUCAUUGCACCAAUUCAGAUCUAAUAAAACAAGCUUUGUAAGAGUCAAAAUCGACCCGUGAACCUCAACUAAGCGUGUACAACUUUGAACAAUUAGCCUCUCAAGAUUUGGCACAUUUGUGAAGUCAGGGGUUAUCUCAAGGUUUUGACAAUGACUUAAAUUGAUGAAUUUCAACUUUUCCUGCGUCUGUUAAAACAUUCAGGAAAACAUGCAUUACUUAAUAAGACAUCUUACUCAAAGCCCAAACAUUUAAAAGAAACAAAUACAAGUAAAUGAUUGUACAUACCUGGGUUCCUUCCCAAAGUCGGUUAAUGAGACUACAUCGCAUGUCAAGUUCAACAAGAUUUUUGAAUUGAAAGUUGGAUGGCAAAGACUUGAGAGGGAAUUGAAACCAGGAGAGAUACCUCAAGUUAGGUAACUUAAAACGGAGCCCACUCAGGUGGUGUUUCCAGUAAUCACGUUUAAAAACGGAGCCCUCACUACUGAUCUUGAGAAGUCUUAGUUGAGUCAUACUAGCAAAAGCUUUAGCAUUUAAGCAUACCCGGUCUGAGUACGAGAAAUCCACGAUUAUGCUUUCAACUGUUUUCGUAGCCUGUGCAAAUCAAAGUAUUAGAAAAUACAAAGAACCUUAGUUUAGAUUAUGAAAUUAAUGCUUGUUUCUUAGGGAGCUGUUUGAUAAUCAUUUCGUUUUUAGUUUAAUUUUUUUUUCAAUUUUCAAUUAUUCAAACAAUGAAAACUAAAAAUUAAAAAUUGAAAACAAAAAUGGUUAUCAAAUGGCCUAAGAAAUUGAUUUUGGUCAAAAGUUGAAGCUUUCUACUAACAAUUGCAUAAGAAAAAGACUUCUCACCGUAUUUUGAGUUAGCAUUUGAUUAACAUCUUCAUAACUCCACAACCUACUUCGUUUCCCAGGCUCUUUGAUAGAUUCUUGACGGACGAUUUCCCGACCCAUUUCCUCUAAUGAAUCAUGCUUCUCCAGUUCCCCCUCCCCUGAGACAGUUAUGAGAGCAUGAUCGAUUAGAACUCUUAUUCCUAUAUGAGGAUGGAAACCACAAUCGUCCAUAAUUCGGGUUGCACAGUCUUUCUUCAUCCCUUUAAAGAAACAUGCAAUAUCUAGAAAGAUGUCUUUCACUGUGUCAUCUAGUCCAUCGAAGCUUGAUUUAAGCACAUCAUGAAUUCCCCUUUGCGGGAUUUUCCUUAUUUUUUCUAACUCAUCUUCCCACUCACGGAUAGUUUUUUUAAGAAGAAAAGCUCCCAAAACUUUGAGUGCUAAGGGCAGACCUUGAGCAUAUUUUACGACACGCUUAGAGAGAUCAUCAUAAUCUCUGGUGGGUUGGUUUUUUCGGAAGGCGUGCUGCCUAAAGAGUUUCAGAGCUCCAGAAUCACUCAAAGUCUUGGGAUUAUAUAUCACAUCAACUAUGCUUAGUAACUGUGAAUCUCUACUUGUUAUAAUAAUCCUACUUCCACCACCAAAGGAAUGUGGCUCUCCAAGUAAAGCAUCAAUUUGUUCUGAUUUGUCCACAUCAUCAACAACAAUAAGAACUUCUCUGACCAAGGCUUUUUAACAUCACCUGAAAACCUUUGUUCGAUAUGUCAGAGCUCCCCACCUUGUUGUCCGAGAUACUAGAUAGAAGUUGUGUCUGCAUAUGUAGUUCGCCGUGCUUCAUGAAACCCUCCUUGACAUUUUUAAGAAAGCAACAAGUUUCAAAUCGACUAGCGAUUUCAUCAUAAACAGCUCUAGCGAUGGUUGUUUUGCCUAAACCACCCAUACCCCAUAUUCCAACAACGCGAACAUUAUUCGUUUCAACUCCAGGAGGAUGUAAUAAUAAAUGCAUUUCAUGCAUAUGAGAAUCCAUGUCAACCAAGCCAUUCUCUUUCCUUGAUGAUGAUGAGAUGUCAAUCAAUUUCCGAUAAACAUAUUCUACAAUUUCCUCUACGAGCACCGCAUCACUCCUGUCAAAUUAAAAAAAAAAAAUAUAAUAACAACAAAAAAUAAUAAUUAAUAGGUCUUUUUCAUCUGUUAGUUUUAAAAAAACUAGAAAUUAAAACCAAAAUCUUGUUGUGGUCUAUUUUAUCUGACAGAGGGACUAGGGCCGGCGGCAGAGAGAGAGAGGAGAGAGAGGUGUGUUUGUAGAAUUGUAGGGGAAUGUGUGUGUUGUUAUCCCUCCUACAUUGUGCCUUUAUUUAUAGUAGUAAAGGGAGAGAAGAUAUUCCUUCUUCUCCAAGUAAUACAAGUUGUAAUAGGAAAGGAUAACUAGAAUCAAAUCUUAUCUAGGAUUUACACAAUCAUACUUAAACUAGGAAUGUUUACAACACUCCCCCUUGAGUGGGUAAAUACUCAAGGUAGAUUCAGCAUCAUGCAGAAGUUGAGGAAGUCGACUCGUCGGCAUUGAUUCCAAGGAACAACGCUUAUUCUCAAUAAGGUAGGAACUUGCAUAAGUAGUAAGUCUCACUAAAAAACCCUAAGGCUAUGGCAAAAACCCAAGUAGGGACAAAAUCCAUAGUCUAAGGAAAAAUGCGUGAGGAAUGCAAAGUCAAAAGAAACGUCUACAGGACAUCAUCAGGGAUAUGACCAGCCCAAGGUGGGUGCCUCGUUAAAACCUAGUUAGGUAGCAAAAACCCAGUGGGAAAAAUGCUCCUAAUCGUAGGGAAAAAGAGUACAUUAAGAUCAAGCAAGUAUCCAGAAGAAACUCCCCCUGAGUUUGACAUAAUUCCAAAGAGAAAUAGCAAAGUUACAACUCAGAAAGUUUUUACGCAUACCAAUUCCAUGAACAAGCUUCUAAAAACGUCGCCUUCGGUAGUGAUUUGGUGAAGAGGUCGGCCAGAUUGUCUUGUGAUCGGAUUUGCGUGACUUCAAUCUUCUGAUGCUCUUGUUGUUGAUGUGUAAAGAAGAACUUCGGCGCAAUAUGCUUGGUGUUGUCUCCUUUGAUGUAACCCUUCUUGAGCUGUUCGAUGCAAGCUGCGUUGUCUUCAAAAAUCGUCGUCGGGGCAUUAACGGCGGGAUGAAGAUCACAGGAGCUUCGAAUAUGGCCCACUACUGCUCUCAACCAAAAGCAUUCCCGAGUUGCUUCAUGUAAGGCGAGAAUUUCAGCAUGGUUAGACGAAGUGGCAACUAAGGUCUGUUUAGUUGACCUCCAAGAUAUUGCGGUGCCUCCAACGGUAAAGACAUAACCCGUUUGAAGAACGCGCCUUGUGCGGAUCAGAUAAGUAUCCAGUGUCGGCAUAACCAACAAGGCGAGAAUCAACCCGAUGAGCAUAGGGUGCGGCAUCACUCGAGGAUUCGUAGGGAUAAGAUAAAGCCCAAAUCCGUAGUACCCUUAAGGUAACGGAAGAUGUCUUUCACGCCAGUCCAAUGUCUGCGUGUUGGUGCAUUGCUGUAUCUUGCCAAAAGAUUAACAGCGAAGGAGAUGUCGGGUCUAGUGCAUUGAGCUAAGUACAAUAAAGCGCCUAUCGCACUUAGAUAAGGAACUUCAGGCUCCAAAAUCUCUUCAUCAUCCUCCUUCGGACGGAAGGGAUCUCGCUUUGCAUCUAGCGUACGAACGACCAUAGGAGUACUCGAAGGCUUCGCUUUAUCCUCAUUAAAACGGCGCAACACCUUCUGGGUGUAGUUCGAUUGAAGUACUAGGAUUCCAUCCGAACAAUGCUCUAUCUCGAGGCCGAGACAGUAUCGAGUCUUACCUAGAUCUUUCAUCUCAAAUUCCGACUUCAGGUGCGAAGCAGUUCUCGCGAGCUCUUCAGGAGUUCCGAUGAGAUUCAUGUCAUCGACAUAUACUGCAACAAUCGCAAAUCCGGAAUGUGACUUCUUAAUGAACACACAAGGGCAUAGUUCGUUAUUCACAUAUCCCUGACUAGUCAAAUACUCACUUAAACGGUUAUACCACAUUCUUCCGGAUUGUUUCAAACCGUAUAGUGAACGCCUCAGCCGAAUUGAGAGCGUGUUCCGAGGUUUGGAAAUAUUUGAACCAGUCAAUGUAAGUCCUUCGGGAACUUUCAUAUAAAUUUCCGUAUCAAGAUCCCCAUAGAGAUACGCGGUUACUACGUCCAUCAGCUGCAUAUCCAGUUUUUCGGAAACUACCAAACUGAUAAGGUAUCGAAAAGUAAUCACAUCCAUAACGGGUGAGUAAGUUUCGUCAUAGUCAAUCCCGGGGCGUUGUGAGAAACCUUGUGCUACAAGACGAGCUUUGUAACGCACAAUUUCGUUCUUCUCAUUACGCUUCCGAACGAAAACCCACUUGUAGCCAACGGGCUUCACAUGUGGAGGAGUAGGAACUACAGGUCCAAACACCUUACGUUUCGCAAGUGAAUCAAGUUCGACUUGGAUUGCUUGUUUCCAGUUUGACCAAUCAGCUCUACGUCGACAUUCAUCAACGGAACGCGGUUCAAUGUCAUCGCUCAACAUGAUCUCAGUAGCUACUGCAAAUGCUAAUGCAUCGUCGACAAUCAUCUCAUUUCUACGCCACACAUCAUCUAAGCUAGCAUAAUAGACCGAAAUCUCACGAUUCUCGGGAGGAGGAUUCGUCUCUUCAAGGACGCUUCCAUAAUCUAGAAUUUCCUCAUGAGUUGGGUAAAAUGAGUAAGCGAUAGUCGGAUUCACGGUAGGCUCUUCAGGACCUUGUGCCGUGGUUUUCCUCUUCCGGGGGUGUGAAUCCUUUGAACCAAGGGGUCUGCCACGCUUUUGUGUAGGGGCAGAUGAUUGGCUAGCCGCUAAUGUACGUGGAUCACCAGAAUUGGCGUCCCGGGCUUCCAGGAGGGUAGUCCGUCGUACAUUUGGUACAUCCAUCUUUGCAGGCGUUUUCGCAGCUGGAAUAUGUGAUCUUGUCACGCGCGCUAGAUCGGUGAAAGCAUCUGGCAUGCUCUGAGCUAUGCUCUGGAGAUCUAAUAUGCGCUGCACUUCAGCUUCAGACUGAGCGGUGCGGGGAUCUAAAUGAGACAAAGUGGGAGUCAUCCACGAUAAUUCGCGUCGUUCAUUAGGAACGUUGACGUUCUUAUCUCCCCCUAACGACGGGAAGACUGUCUCAUAGAAGUGACAAUCCGCGAAACGAGCGGUAAACAGAUCGCCUGUCAAAGGUUCUAAGUAACGAAUAAUCGAAGGAGAAUCAUAUCCGACAUAGAUUCCCAUCCUUCGCUGAGGCCCCAUUUUUGUACAUAAGGGCGGCGAGAUCGGCACAUAGACCGCACAACCAAAAACGCGCAGAUGAGAUAUGUCGGGUUCGCAUCCGGUGACCAACUGAAGGGCACUAAAUGGUUGUGUCGCAACAGGCCUCAGGCGGACCAACUUUGCUGCGUGCAAUAUUGCAUGGCCCCAAGCAGCGAUCGGGAGCUUGGUACGUAUGACCAACGAUCGAGCAAUCAUUUGUAAACGCUUAAUGAAAGCCUCUGCCAGGCCGUUCUGGGUGUGAACAUGGGGUACAGGAUGUUCAACUUCAACCCCAACCGACAUGCAAUAGUCAUCAAAAGUUUUAGAUGUGAAUUCUCCAGCAUUAUCCAAUCGAAUAGAUUUGAUCGGAUAAUCAGGGUGGUGAGCCCUGAGCUUGAUAACCUGAGCCAACAGUUUGGAGAAUGCAGCGUUCCUUGUGGACAACAAGCACACGUGUGACCAACGUGUAGAAGCGUCAACCAAAACCAUAAAAUAUCUAAAUGGUCCGCAGGGAGGUUGAAUCGGUCUACAAAUGUCCCCCUGAAUCCGUUGUAGAAAAAUGGGAGGAUUCGAACGAAUCUUGUCAUAAGAAGGCUUAGUAAUAAGCUUUCCCAUAGAACAUGUUUGACAUGCAAUUUCAUGGAUCGAACCUAAGCUUCGGGUUAGUGGAUGCCCGUGUGAAGUUUUGAGGAUACGGCGCAUCGCUAUUCGUCCAGGAUGUCCCAAACGAUCAUGCCAAAGUGUAAUUUCGUGCGCGGUCCCUGUGGUAGGGCCGGCCACAUAGUGGCAUUCUAUGGGGCGUAUGGUCGUAGUAUAUAGACCACUCGGGUUACGCGCCAUCUUCUCUAGAAUACGCUUCUGGCCAUAUUCGUAGGAAGUUACGCACAGAAAUUUAACUCCGUUUUCUACGUGGGUUUCAGCGUGGUAAUUGUUAUCUCUAAUGUCCUUGAAACUUAGUAACGUUCUUCCGGAACGUGGAGAAUAGAGUGCCUCAGCAAUGGUCAAGAUUGUACCAUUGGACAACAUUAUACGUGCCUUACCGUAUCCUUCGAUCAGGUUGGAUGGGCCUGAGGGGGUUGUCAGAGGUGCAUUCUUAGGUACGAAGUUAGUGAAAUAGAUGCGUUCACGCAAAACAGUAUGCGUGGUUGCACUAUCUGCCAGACAACUAACUUUCCCACUAUUCAUACCUAGAAUUAAUUUGAAUUGGUCACAUGCAUAAAAGUUUAUAAAACAAGUAUCAAUUCAAAAUAAUUUCAUUUAUUCAAGGAAAAAACUUAAUAUCCAAAAUAAAUCGCCAACUAAUAAUCCAAAACAUAAAGGAAAAUUGUUCAAAAUCAACCAAAAACAAGGUGGGGUUCGGCCACUAGGUGGAAUUCGGCCCCAAUUGUCUUAUUUUAACUGAAAAAUAAGUCUAUGUCUAAGAUUCUAAUCUUCCAUAGGAGUGGUAUCCUCCUGAAAAUCAGAAACCUCCAUCUUUGUAAUCUCCGGUUCGUCCACUUGCAGGAAGUUUGAUUCAAACUUCGUACAACGAGAAUGAUAUGCAUCCACAACCUUCUUGGGAGUACGGCAAAUACGGGACCAAUGGUCCUUGGAACCACAACGAUAGCACAUAUCGUCAUUCAUUGUGGCAGGUGCUUUGCCCUUAUUCUUGAAGUUCGGGGCCUUGGGAGUGAGGUUUGGGCGCUUCUGGGCUUUGUUUCCUCCCUUGGAUGGGCCUUGGCUCUGUUGACCUUGGUGGGAUGGCUUCUGGCCGCCCUUACCACGCCUCUUUUGGCGUUUUGGGUGCUGAUUAGUGCUAUAAUGUGCUUCAGGCACAGCAGUAGCCCCAGUAGGUCGAGCUUGAUGAUUUUUCAUCAACAGCUGGUUCUGCUUUUCAGCAAGAAGUAAAACAGAGAUCAAAUCAGAGAACUUAGUGAACUUCUGAGCUCUAUAUUGUUGCUGCAGGACAAUAUUAGAAGCAGAGAAGGUCGAGUAGGUCUUCUCCAGGAGAUCCUCUUCAGUCAAAGUUUCAUUGCAAAACUUGAGAAGUGAUCGGAUUCGACAAACUUCAGAAUUAUAUUCAUUCACAGACUUAAAGUCUUGGAAGCGCAAGUGCUGCCAGUCGUGUCUUGCUUCAGGCAAGAAUAUGUCCUUUUGGUGAUUGAAACGAUCAGCCAAAGCGACCCAUAAUGCACGUGGAUCCUCCUCAGCAAGGUACUCAGUUUGUAGAGCGUCAUGGAUAUGUCUUCGGAUGAAGAUCAUAGCAGUGGCUUUUUCAGCCUCGCCAACAGGUUUAUCUGUUACUUCUUCAAUAGCAGGACGCAAGUUCUUUGCAGUGAGGUGGAGCUUCACAUCUUGAACCCACUUGAGGUAGUUCCUUCCAGAAACCUCCAAAGCGGUGAAGUCGAGUUUGUUCAAAUUCGACAUGUUCCUAUCACAAAAUGGAUGAACAAGAUGUGGUUAGUGUAAUGGAGAAAAAUCAAUCCAUUCACAUAGGAGUAGAACAUACAGGUUCUAAUAGACAUGUAUUGGUUUAAUUUUGCAUGAAAAACUUCGGGUUUUCAUGGGUGAUAUAUUUAAGUGAAAACUUCGGGUUUUCAAACAAGGCAUGUGUAUAAGAAACUUUGGGUUUCAAAGUAAUUAUGAACUUCAGGUUCAUAUAUUCCUGCAGGCAAACACAAAUAUAUAUGCAAACAAAUAUGCAAAGAAUAUAUGUAGAAAUAUUGUAUAAUGAUAAGUGAAUUAAUUUAUUUUUGGUCUUCGGGGCCAAAUUAAAGUGUGGGUGAAAAUAUAAAAACCCAUAUUAUUUAAAAAAAAUUAAAUAAUAAAAUCUCGGGGCCUAAAAAUAUAGGCCAAGAACCCUCGGGUGGGAUUACAGGCCCACGGGGUGAGAAAAGGGGAAUGGGCUGCUGUGUGCAGCCCUAAAAUUUUUUUUUUCUCGGGCCGUUCCAGGCGAGCCCAUAAUUUUUUUUUUCUUUUCGGGCCGUUCCAGGCGAGCCCAGAAACUUUUUUUUUUUUUUUUUAAUUUAGAUGCAUAUAUAAUUCAAUGAAUCACAUAUUUACUUUGAUGCAUAUGCAAAUAAUAGUUUCAAUGCAUGUACAUAUGUAAGAUUCAAUUCAUGGCAAAUAUCAAAUUCACAUAAUUGUAGCAAUUUUGAUUAUGAAGCAUACACAAUUUAUGUAGAAUCUAAAAUACGUAAAACGUAAAGUUGGGUCAUGCAUCAUGGUGAAUGUUCAUGCUAUCAGGGCUUGCAAAAUAUCGAGUUAAAAGCCGUUGUUUGGAAAGAACCUGAUUGCGUGAUGAUAUGGAUGAACUGGUUUGAUGCAGAAAAAAUCUCCAACGUCAGAUUCCUAAGCGCAACGGUAGGAGCGUGCUGAUAACGUGUUGUGGUCUAUUUUAUCUGACAGAGGGACUAGGGCCGGCGGCAGAGAGAGAGAGGAGAGAGAGGUGUGUUUGUAGAAUUGUAGGGGAAUGUGUGUGUUGUUAUCCCUCCUACAUUGUGCCUUUAUUUAUAGUAGUAAAGGGAGAGAAGAUAUUCCUUCUUCUCCAAGUAAUACAAGUUGUAAUAGGAAAGGAUAACUAGAAUCAAAUCUUAUCUAGGAUUUACACAAUCAUACUUAAACUAGGAAUGUUUACAACAAAUCUAAAUAUUUGUCAAAUUAUCUAAAUAUAUAAAGAGAGAGCCCCAGUUUGGUGAAGCAUUCCAAAAUGCCAAGAAUAUCCCUAUGUUUCCUUCACAAUCAAAAUCCAAAAAAUCCAAAAAAAAGGAGGACAAACUGGUAAAAAACUUAUAACCGAACAUAAAAUUGUAUUGAAAGAAAAAACUAAAUUUUUACUAAAAAUUGAGAGCAAGAAAUACAAAAAAAAAAAACAAAAAAAAGGGAAAUUAAACCGAAUACUGGUAGAACAAGUCCACGUAAUUGAUAAUUGACGAAUGCAAUGUUGGUAACUGGUCUUGAUUUAAAAUAAAAAGUUGAAAACACAAAGAGACAGAUGCAGUAAAAAACACCAAUAAAAAACAAAAUAAAAAAAAAAAUAUUGGAAACUGAGGAAAGAAACGUGGGAGAGAGACUGCUGUUUUCAAACUGCAUUAAGUUUAAAGGCUCUCAUGUUAUUGCUAAUGGAAUAAAACAAAAAAGAAAAUAAAAAGAGACCUAAUACGUUUAGAAUAGAACUGCUAUUCGACAGUUGCAGGCUUGAAGUGUGUGAAGGAAACAGUUUUGAAGAACGAUAAACUCGAACGUUCAUGAAAAUAAAAGCGAACGUGGGAGAGGAACCAGUUUUGCGGGACAUGUAAAUAAAACACAAAAUAAAAUAACCUCAAGAGAAUAAAUUGAAAUUGUUGUGCCAGAGCCUGAAGGAGAAGAUCAAAUUGGCGAAAACCAACAAGAACUGGUAGUUCUGUAGUUCUCAAUUAUUAAAUUUGUGUGUUUUGUUCUCUAUCAAAAUGCUUCUUAUUCCUUAAUCUUCUCAUGCAUUUUCACAUGAUUAUUGAAAAUUCUGCACGUUAAUUGUAAUGGUUUGAUUGUGGUUUUUGUUCUCUGCAGGUUUUUCUUCCCUUAUCUUAUCAAAUAAAUCAAUUGAUAGGUUAGGCUUUCAUUUUUUUUUCUUCACAGGACUUUUAAGGACAUCCUCAAGUCAAAGUGAUGGAAUCAAAGUCUUCAGGUUUGGAUGCUUUUUUCCUUCUCUUUUUAGAGUAAUUUUCGAGUUUCUUCUCGCAUUUUUCGGGUUCCUUUCCCCAGUCCCCCAAAAUAACAAUAACAAAUUAGGCUUCUUCAUUUUUAGACUCUCUUGGGGUUGGCAGAUAAGGGGUUGCUUGCAUUUAAACCUCACCGUCCGGCUUCUUCUUUCUUAUGAAUUUUUAUCCCUUUCCUACGGCCAGUUCGUGAAGGCCGUUUUCAAAUUGAGGUUUUGUAUAUUCUGUCUCUUAAGAUUUGAUUCUUUCUAUUUUGGAUUAUUUUUUGUCUGAUUUCUCAAACAAUUUGGCUAAUGAAGAGUUUAUGGAUAUACAAUGGGACAAUAUUAUUUUCUCUCUGUUUUAUGUGUUUAUUUAGUUUUACUGUAGUUUUCAUCUAUGCCUUGAGUUUUGGCUUCUCUAUCUUUUUAUCUUUUGUAGCGUUCCAGGUAAAUGGUGAGAAUUAUUCAAGUAUGCGACAUCAUUUUAGUUUCAUGUGAAAAAUCUUCUCUUAUAAUUUUGUUUGAGUGAUUGAAUGUGCAUAUGUGAGCUCUAAGGUUUGGUUCCAUAUUUAUUGUUGAAGAAAAACAGGAAGUGAGGAACACAAUAACCCUACCACGAUUAUGUAUGAAAUAAAUUGGAUCUAUUAAAAACUCAUAUUUUGGGUGUGUUGUUAGGAAGAAAUGCCUAAACUCCGAAUUUGUAUGGAACAUACUCAUUAUAGAAUAGAUUAAUUGUAUGUGUUAUUGCUUUUAGUACUAAAAUUGACUUAUUUGCCCUCCUACAAGUCAUAGCUUUGCUAAUAAAUUGAGAACAAUGUCUGAUUUAGUUUUUUUUUUUUGUCGAAAUGUCUUAUUAGUUUAACUCUUUUCAUUUGAUAAUUCUCUUGCCCUUGGUUUGAGAUAUAAAGUAUUUCAUUUCAGUCAUCAAGUGUCACAGCCUGUCCCGAAAUAUUUUAUUGAUGUUGUGAAAUGACGAAACUGCCUUUGAGCGUUUUUUGACAUUUAAACUUUAGGGUUUGUUUUGGUAACCAUGGUUGUGUUUAGGGUUAGGUGGAAGUGUGAGGACACACACAUCACCCUUUCCCUUUCUUUCUCUUCUCUCCCGUGCACUCUCUCUCUCUCGGAAACACUCUCCCUCUCGGAAACACUCUCCCUCUCUUCCUUCUUUGUACGGACAACAUCAAAACCCUCUCAAACCUUGUAGAUCGAGGGUGUAAAGAACACCAUUGGGUUCGUGAGGAUCAUACAAGUCAAAAGGUACCAGUUUCAGGUAAGGAAACCUUCGAUUUCCCGUGAAAACCCUAACCCUCCGAUUUUGUCACUGUUUAUGCUCAUGUAAAACCUUGUGUUUUAGGGGAUUUUAAGCUCAUAGGGAGCUUUAGGAGGUCCUAAGGAAGAUCAGAGUGGUUUGUUGGAAGAAUUUGGACGUCGAAAUAGUGAGAUCGACGAGUUGCAGGGUUUGGCCUGAUUAUCGAGGUUUUUUUCCAGCGAGUUGGAGGUCGAGGCAUGUAUGGUUUUGUUCGUCUUUGUGAGAUCUUCAAAUUGGUUCAAAUUUCAUUGAAAAUGGUGCAAAAAUGAAGAAGUUAUAGGCAUUAGAAAUUUUUCCAUAAACCGGUGACUCACCGGAGAAGAAAGGAGUUGACGGAAUAUACUAACGGCGUCAUGUAUCUUUAACAGAUUCAGUUAGUUUUAACGGAAUAUUCCUGACGGCGUUAACUGACGCCGUCAGUGUGCCAAGCACAUGGGCGCACGUGGGGGCGCAUCUGGCCGUGCCUUGGCCACGUGGGUGAUCAGAAAAUUAUUCUAAAAAUAUGGGGAUGUUUCUGAGGUUGUGUAGAUCAUUUUGGUAUAUUCAAACACCCCGAUUGAGCAUUGUAUGAGAAGUUGUUACCAAGUUUUGUGUUUGUGCUUUAAAAGUAACGUUUAUAUAGUUGUUUCGCAUAUAGGUGAGACCUAUCCCGAGGACGAGCGAAGUCAGGGGCAACUCGGGGGUUACGACCCUUCCACAUACCAGUGAGUAUAUAUAUAUAUUGAAUAUUUUCCUAGAAAAGCGAUUUAAAUGUGUGAAAUCCCGUUUCUGGAUUUCAUUGUUAUCACCUACAUAUUUGUAUUAUUGAGAUUUUAUAUUAUUUCUCGAGAAUUUAUUUUAAUUUGUUUGAAUUUAAAUUUAAAUUAAAUUAGUUAUUAACGUUUGAAGUUUGAGGCAUUUUAGAAAUAAAUAGAAAAAUCUGAAAUUUUCUUAUGAAAUCUGGUGUGCCACAUGGGUGGCCCAGAUUCAAUGGAAAGGAAAAUGGAUGGUGGAGAUGCAAAGGAAAGGAUUUAAAAGAGAGUGGGCGCUGCCCAGUUAGGAGGGGGGAGAGAAAGAGGUGACCAAUUGGGCGAAGAGGAAAGGAGAGUAAGGAGAGAAGAAGAGGAAGAGGGAACCGGCCGGGGUUUACUAUGGCCCAUGACCCGACCCGGUUAUAUCUCCCAACUCCGGCCACCAUGGACGGCUAGGAUGGUGUCAAAAUGAUCCUUAGCUCGAGGCCAAUCGAUCUCUCUUCCAUUUCUACACUUAAAACGACGAGGGGGAGUCCAAUUUUGAGGAAAUACCACGGUGGGUGCGUCGGGCUUAUGUGGAAAUCCAUUAAAUCUUGAAACGUUUUCUUCCAAUUACAACCACCCAUAGCAUCCUCAUGAGGCCUAGAACAAAGCCCAGACAAGUUUGGGGGCGGCAGAGUUGUUUUCGAGUCGGAUCGAACACACCUAAAAACAAGGGUUCCGUACGGUUCGAGUGAAAUUGGGGAUUUUCCCGGCCAAAUUGGACUUGGCCACAGGUAUAAAAAUUGCUAUACUCAUUGAAAUCUUCAUUUCUGUAAAUUUUGAUAAUUUUUAAAAAUAGUUGAAUUUUUCCGGCAAGUCGGGGCGGCCGACGGCCACCCGUGGCGGCGAGUGCGGCGGUUUCCUGGCCAGUGGGCCGAAAAUAUCAUUUUAAGUUCAAUUAGAUGUCUUGAUUUCAUAAUUGAUAUCCUUAUGAUAUGGUUUGAUUGUUUGAACCUAAUUUCAUUACGAUACGUGGUUAGGUCAAAAUAUGAUUCGACGAUCCUACCGUUGGAUCGUCACCAAACCUUAAUGCGUGAUAGAACAUAAUAUUUUUGGAUCAUAGAAACUUACGGAUCGAGAAUCUGACGUACGGAUCUUCCCUAAUUGGAUUUCUAAGUUUGUAAAAUUAAAUGUCGACCGCCACUUGAAUUUUGAAAUUGGCGGAGAUCCAACUGUCGGAUCAUGUUGAGAUUUCAGUAUGUUGUUAUUUGAGCAUAAUGUGGACUUUGGAAAGUUUCGGAUCGGAAAUCCGAGGUGCGGAUCUUCCGAAUCAAAUUACAUAAGUUUGUGGACCCUACUGUUGAUCGAGAGUUGACUUUUGCUCAACAUGUCAUGAAACGUCCUAAUUACUAAAAUUAGUACUACAGGGGAACUAGGUGAAGUCUAGUGGGCAUGCAUUGAUUAGAGAGUGACUUGAAUAUAUGUGAUAUGAUUAUUACCUUAAUUUCCUAUUAGUAUCCUUUGUGAAGAUGAAUUGGUUUUAUAAAUGUGAUUUCUAUUGAAAUGUGAUUUUUAUAUAUUUAGCCAUAGGCCUAUGAUUAUUAAACAUGAUUUGGCUUGGUACUGAUGAUGGUUGUGACAUAUGUGAGUUAAAUUAUCUUUUUAGUAAUGUGAAUGAUGUGUAUGAUUAUUUUCAUGACAAUGUGAUCCUAGAAUCCUAUUAAAAGUAUGUUGUAGCACUUAUAUGCUUGGGUGCCAUAUUAGUGGUGACCUUGAGAAGUUGAUGGUGUAGGUGACUACGUUGUAACUCAUAGGGUUGAGAUGUGAUGUGGAUAAGUUGAGGUGUUGAAAUUACUACACCAUGUAGUAGUUGUACAUUGAUGGUCCUGCUUGGUAUAUCCGCAUUGGGGGACCAUACGCAUUCUAGGAGUGAUCAUGCUUGGUAUAUCUGCAUUGGGUGAUCACUACCUACCUGAUUAUCUUGACCCUGCUUGGUUAAUCCGCAUUGGGGGGUCACAAGUGGUCCUGCUUGGUUAACCCGCAUUGGGGGACCAUACUUUAUAUGGAUCGCGCUUGGUUAAACCGCGUUGGGCGAUCCUUAUGGCCAUGUAUGCUUAGGAGUGAUCAUGCUUGGUAUAUCCGUAUUGGGUGAUCACUGCCUAGGAUAUUAAACUAUGCAUACGGUUUUGCUUGGUAUAUCCGCGUUGGGGGACCAUAUGCAUUCUAAAAGUAAGGAGGAUUAGUUGUGUUGAUGCACAAAAUCAGCGAAGACUUUGGUACAACAGAAAGUGUCAGGUUUUGUGACCUUCGCUUGGUUGCUUCGGUCACUAGUGAGGAUAAAUACGUAAAUAAAUAGAGACAGAGAAGCAAACACAGGAUGUACGUGGUUCACCCAGAUUGGCUACGUCCACGGAGUAGAGGAGUUCUUAUUAGUAGUGAAGGGCUUACACAAGUACAAAGGAUCAAGCUCUCAAUUUAGUGAGUUCUUGUGAAUGAUUUACACAAAAUGGCAUUAGGCAAUAUUGUGGGGGAAUGACCCCUAUUUAUAGAAAAACUUGUAGCUUUGUCACAUUGACAUGUGUCAUGUUAUGAUUGGUUCUUGAUGUUGACACGUGCUGCGCUCUGAUUGGCUUCUAAUCCUGACACGUGUCGAGUAGUGAUUGGCCUCCUGGUCGGAGGGGAACUCUUCUGGGUCCUUGACAGUAUAGCGUUGGCUGGUACUCGGUAGUUUCGGGAUUGGUCAAGUAUGGUACAAACAGUGCUCCCCUAAGUUCCCGAGUGAGGGAAACUCCUCGGUUGGGGACUUGCAAGAUCCAAUCCCUUGAGUAAUCACGAAACUUCUAAGUACCGAAGUGUGGUCUGAUCUUCAUCUGCCCUUCUCUGGAAGUACCUUUCCUCCAUCCGGGAAUGGUGUAUUUAGCUGAUGUUGACGCACAAGCUAAUGUAUCAAUUUCACUUGAAGCUUAGUUGUAGUUUCGGGCUUAGUCAAGUGUGAUACAAACCCUAUAGUAGGAGUCCCCCAAGUCGCCGAGCUAGGAGAUCUGCCGAAAGAGGUGACAGACAAGGUAAGCAGUCAAACUUCCAAGUAAGCAACCCAGGAUCAGAGGUUUGACUUCGGCUUCCGGUUGAUUGUUCUCAUUCUCCUUGUCUCUCAUUCAACUGCCAGGAUAAGGAGAAGCAAAUGGAUAAGAGAUGAUAUGAGAUACUUUUGCUUUUGAAGAAGUAACUUUCCACAGGCUUAUUCUUGAACUGUGCUGGAGGGUUUUCUGGUGCCCUUCAGAGUAUAAGGCCAACUCAAAAAUUUGAGGGUCAAAACAAGUCCAUCAAAUCUAGAGUACGUUCGACCUUGAUGAUAUGGGAUACUUUUGCUGUUGACGGAAUAAUGAAUGUGGUAUGGAAAGGUGUCGUGCUGUAGUGAUCUGUUUCAGCUCACCGUUUGAACCUUCUGCUUCAAUCUUUUGCAUGGCAGAAGUGGUGUGCAACCUUUGCAUUUAAAUGGUCCUUCAGAACAUUCCUUCAUAGUGACUCAUCCACGCUUGGCAGCUUCAGUGUAAAGAGCCAAUAUCUGAUCAACUGUCAUGAGGUAUUUGCCGGUGGAAUUCGUGACCUUGACAGCAGUUGAGGAUGAGUACUCGAGAGCAAUGCUAAGUAAGCAACCAGGCAAAGGCUCCAGGCAGUCAGUUCCAAAUUGGAGGUUUGAUUUCAGGUUCCGACUGACUGCUCUCUUUCUCCUUGUCCUGCAGGUGUGGACAAGGACAAAGACAAAGACAGGGAGAAAGCAUGAUAUGGGAUACUCUUGCUUUCGAUCCUGAUGAUAUGAGAUACUCUUGUUCUUGGUGUGGCUUAUUUGCUGAGGUAUUAUCGGGGGGAAAUAAAGCUGAGUAUUUCGAGAGGUUAUGUUGAGGGUGCCUUUUCGAAUGCGAGAAAGGGUUGAGCAUUUUUGCAGGUUUGCCUGUCCGUUGAGGAGGGAGGUCAAUGUAUAUAGGGAUUUCCCAAUAACAAGUAGUAAUGCUAUUCCUUUACCCUUCUUGGUCACAGCAAUGUAGUGGGAGCUGCCAGCUUCACGUGUUUUAAUUUUGUCAGAGCACUUUGAAAAAAGUGGUAUGUGGUAUCUGGAAAGCUGAUGUUACGUGUGAAGAUUACAGACAAGCUUUAUCUAAGGAAAUCUGGCUCUCGAAGUUCUGAGAGUUGUGCCUCUUCGGUUUUCGAACAAGCAAUCCCGUCGAGGAUCUGACUCUCGAGAUUCGGAAAGCGGUGCUACUCCGGUUUUUUAGAAAGUAAUUAUGUUGGGAGUCUUUUCUUGAAUGUGAGUAAAGGUUGGACGUUCUUGCCAACCUGUCUUGCCGCAAAACACGGAGGUCGACACACAUAGGGACUUUCCAGUUGUCAAGCAGUGGUGCUGUUCCUUUACCCUUAUGGGUAAUAGUAGGGUAGCUGGAACUUCGAAAUUCUCGUGCCUAAACUUUGUCAGAGAUCUUUGACAAAGUUAUAUGUGGUACCCGAUGAGUUGAUGGUGCAUAUGGAGAGCGGUGAUUGAACAGUAAGAUUCACGUGCUUUCUACUUCACCAGAAAUCUUCGACAGAUUGCCCGUAAUUUCUGCAAAGCUGAGUGUGCAUGUGACAGGUGCUGACGAGGCUGAAAAAGCAGGUGCUUCUUUGAUUUCUGAGAUCGGCCCUCGUGGUCUCUGAGCAGCCCAGCUUUUGAGAAAGCAAACGCCUCUUCGAUUUCUGAAGCUCCGUCGAGUGCAGAUUUUUAUAGAGGCUGGCAUUAAGUUCCACAGCACACUUGAAUCUCUACCAGUAGAAGCUCAUUUCUUGCACUUCUAAGAUCUUGAUUUGUCUGACCUCUUCCCUCUUCAACACAUUUGAAAAUGUCUGGACCCUCCGACCGUCGUUUUGACUUGAACCUUGGAGAAGAGACAGCCACGCCUUCUCCAGACAACAUAUGGCGCCCAUCAUUCAUAUCCCCUACCGGUCCUCUUACCGUUGGGGAUUCUGUGAUGAAGAAUGAUAUGACCGCUGCAGUGGUGGCCAGGAACCUUCUCACUCCCAAAGAUAACAUACUACUUUCCAAACGGUCUGAUGAGUUGGCUGUUAAGGACUCUUUGGCCCUUAGUGUUCAGUGUGCAGGUUCUGUGUCUAAUAUGGCCCAACGCCUAUUUGCUAGAACCCGCCAAGUUGAAUCAUAUUGGCUGCUGAAGUGAUGAGUCUCAAACAGGAGAUUAGAGGGCUCAAGCAUGAGAAUAAGCAGUUGCACCGGCUCGCCCAUGACUAUGCUACAAACAUGAAGAGGAAGCUUGACCAGAUGAAGGAAUCUGAUGGUAAGGUUUUACUUGAUCAUCAGCGGUUUGUGGGUUUGUUCCAAAGGCAUUUAUUGCCUUCGUUCCUCUGGGGCUGUACCUGGUAAUGAAGCUUCAAAUGAUGAACCUCCAAUGCCUCCUCCUUCUGGGGUUUUGUCAAGUACUGAGGCUCCGGAUAACCACCCUCCGGUGCUUUCUCUUUCUGGGGCUCUACCGACUGCUGAGACUUCCCCUAAGCAACCUUUGUGAAGGCUCCCUUUUGUUUGUUUAUUUUGACUCAUGUAUAUGUACAUAUUUGUGGCUUAUCGAAAAUAUUAAUAAAAUAAGCUUUGCUUCAUUUCAACAUAUUGUGUUAAAUACACCAAAGCCUUCUUCAUAAAGUUCUUUGAAUUUUUGCUUUUGUUGAAACCUGUAUUGUUGAAGCUUUGUGAGUGAAGCAUGUAGUUUGAGGUAGUGUUCCCUUAAUUUCUCGAGUGAGGAAAACUUCUCGGUUGGAGACUUGAAAAAUCCAAGUCACUGAGUGGUUGUGAGACUGCCGAGUAUCAAGGUGCAGUAGCAUAUGGUGGGAGUCCCCCAAGUCUUCAGGCGAAGAGAGUUGCCGAAUGAGGUGUCUCGCGUGUUACUAAUUUGUCAAAGUAACGAAUUCUUGUUUCGAUGUCACACAUUCGUAUAUGCUUUAUCUAAAAAAUAUUUCCAACUUUUGUGUGUGUUUGAUGCUGCAUGCUAUUGACUAGACAAGAUCAAGUGCAAUUAGUAGCUUUCUCUCUUUUUCAUCUUUUCUUUGGUGGAAUUGCUUUUCGUUUCCACUAAUCAGCCUGAGUGGAUGCAAGAUAACACCUUUCUCUAUAGCUCAGAUUGCAAAGUCGUCUUCAUGAAAGUUUUUCCUUAUCUUGUGAACUACAAUAUAUCCAAAUUUGAGAUCCAUCGGAGUAGUACAACUUCAGAAAUUCAAGUAUGAUGAGUAACUGUUCAUCAAUGUUCUGUUAAUCCGUCAGACUUGUUGUGAGCUUCGAAACUCCAUUUUCUCUUGUUCAGAUCAACAUACUUUCUUUCUUCAUCGAAGUUGUUCCUCAGCUUGUGAACUACAACAUAUCCAAAUUUGAGAUCCCUCGGAGCAGUAUAACUCCAGAAAUCCAGGUAUGAUGAAUGACUGGUUAUUAUUUUUCUGUCAACCCGUCAGAUUUGUUGUGAGCUUCGAAACUCCAUUUUCUCUUGUUCAGAUCGGUAUGCUUUUCUUCAUUGAAGUUGUUCCUCAGCUCGUGAACUACAACAUAUCCAAAUUUGAGAUCCCUCGGAGCAGUAUAACUCCAGAAAUCCAGGUAUGAUGAAUGACUGGUUAUUAUUUUUCUGUCAACCCGUCAGAUUUGUUGUGAGCUUCGAAACUCCAUUUUCUAUUGUUCAGAUCGGCAUGCUUUCUUCAUUGAAGUUGUUCCUCAUCGUCUCUUUCAUAACAUAUCAAAAAUUCAGAAUGAACUAAUGGUUAAAUAUUUCCAGAUCUUUGAAACAUCACAGCAGCUUCGAAAUCUGCAAGAAUCCGACUGUCAUGUUUGGAACUUCAACACUUUAAUUUCCGUCGCUCAAACAGAAAUGGUUCCUUCUUGAAAGUUGUUCAUAUGCUCAAGAACUAUAGGGUGUCCAAAAUUCAGCUCCAUUGGAGAAGAGCAGAGGUUGCAGAAAUUUGAUAGAUGAAAGGAGGCGGAAGAGGGAGAGAGAGAAAAAGUCUCUUGGGUUGGAUUUCUAUUUUGGGGCAGAUUCCAAUUUUUGUAGCACCUUCAUUAUUGAUGAAUUGCUUGUACUUUUGUCCAUUAUGAAACUUGGGACUUUGGCUUGUUGUUGGAUCUAUUAUAAUAUGUUUGGGAACAUAUAUAAGUGAAUAAAUAAGAAGGAAAAUUUUGGGCCCUUGUGGGUGUAAAACAAAAAAUGUUUAUGUUUACCCAAGUGGUUUUGUGAACAAAAUUUGUUUAUUUGGAGCAAGGUUUUGUGUUGAAGCUUUGUAGGUGAAGCUUUGUAGAUGAAGCUUUCGAGGUGAAGCUUUGAUGGUGAAGCUUUGUAGAUGAAGCUUUCUGGGUGAAGCUUUGAUGGUGAAGCUUUGUAGAUGAAGCUUUCGAGGUGAAGCUUUGAUGGUGAAGCUUUGUAGAUGAAGCUUUCUGGGUGAAGCUUUGAUGGUGAAGCUUUGUAGAUGAAAGUAUGUAGAGGGAGCUUUCUAGGUGAAGAUUUUUUAGGUGAAGCUUUGUAGGUGAAGCUUUUUUAAGUGAAGCUUUUCGGGUGAAGUUUUUGUUGGGUGAAGCUUUGUGGGUGAAGCUUUUUAGGUGAAGCUUUGUGGGUGAAGCUUUGGAGGUGAAGCUUUUCGGGUGAAGCUUUUUGGAUGAAGCUUUUUUUUUUUUUUUUUUUUUUUUUUUUUUUUUUUUUGGCGCUUGACACGGUCUUCAUUUGCUUGUUUUGUAGUGACUGUGGAAGACGGAUUGCUUUCUGAAUUGAGAAGGGUUCCGGCAUCGCUUGCUAUGAAUGUAAAAGAGUGAGGGCUGAGUUGGCUAAAUUACCUCUUUAUUGAAUUCAUUGCCAAAUGGCCUUCAUUACAUAGGAUGCCGAACGGCUAUAGCUCAACACUUGUACAUCGUGAGUCUAUUUGUAGUAGUACUUCAAGUGAUCAGCGUUCCAUGGAUGGCCAAGGGUCUUGCCAUCGGAGCUUCUAAGUGUGUAAGAGCCAGGGCGACUGAUGCCAAUGACUUCAUACGGUCCAUCCCAGUUUGGACUAAGUGUGCCUUCACUCGGGACUCUGUCGCAGAGUAAUCUUUUCUUUUAAGACCCAGUCUCCUAUUUUGAAAGAACGAGGCUUGACCCUAGAGUCAUAAUAGUUGGAGAUGCGCUGCUUGUAGGCGACAUUCCUCAAGUGAGCUUGGUUUCUGUGUUCCUCGACUAAAUCCAAGUUGAGGGUGAGUUGUUUGUCAUUUUCACUUUGAAUGUAGUUCUGGACUCGGAAUGUUGCUUGCUCGAGCUCAACAGGGACAACCGCCUCUGUGCCAAAGGCAAGUGAGAAUGGAGUUUCUCCUGUUGAAGUCCGAUAUGAAGUGCGAUAUGACCAAAGAACUUGGGGUACAAAUUCUGGCCAACAGCCUUUAGCUUUGUCCAAGCUGGUUUUCAAAGUGCGCUUGAUUAUUUUGUUGAUGGCCUCAACUUGUCCAUUAGACUGGGGAUGAGCUGGAGAGGCAAAGCAUAAGUUGAUGUUGAACUUAGAGCAGAACAACCUGAACUUCUUGUUGUCAAACUGUCGCCCAUUGUCAGUGACUAUCGCAUUGGGAAUGCCGAAUCUACAAAGGAUGUUCUUCCACACGAAGUCUUCUAUCUUUGCCUCAGUAAUGGUUGCCAAGGGUUCUACUUCGGCCCACUUUGUGAAGUAGUCCACUGCAACGACUGCGUAACAGACUUUGCCCUUCCCUGCCGGCAUUGGGCCGAUCAAAUCAAGUCCCCACUGGGCGAAGGGCCAAGGGCUGAUCAUAGGAGUAAGAGGCUCUGGAGGGGAAUGAGGAAUAGUUGCAUAUCGUUGACAUUUGUCACAUGAGCGGGAUACUUUGAUGGCAUCCUGGUGGAGUGUUGGCCAGUAAUAUCCUUGGCGAAAAGUCUUGUGUGCUAGGGACCGAGAUCCAGCAUGAUCUCCACAGACUCCCUCAUGUAUUUCCCGAAGGACGAUUUCCGCCUCGGCAGGCGUAAGACACCUUAAGUAUGGCAGGCUAAAACCUCGCUUAUAGAGUUGAUCAUUGAUGAUCAGGUAGCGGGUAGACUUGUAUCGAAUUUGCUUAGCCUGGACUUUAUCAUUUGGGAGGGUGCCAUGAGCAAGGAAAUUAUAGAUCGGGGUGAUCCAACUAUCCCCCUGUUGUAAGUUGCAUACUUCUGCGGCCAUGGUGCUUGGUGUUGCCAACAGUUCGACAUGAAUUUUUCUUCCAAUCUUGUCUUCCACAGCUGAGGCGAGGCGAGCCAGGGCGUCUGCAUGACUGUUUGCCGCUCGAGGAACUUGGGUGAUCUGGUAGUGGAAGUGCUUGAGUAAAAGUUGUGUUUGCGCAAGAUAUGCUGCCAUGGAGCUGUCCUUAGCAUCAAAGUUGUUGGUAACCUGGUUGACCACUAAUUGGGAGUCACUGAAAAUAUCAAUUUGUUUAACCCCGAGGUGUUUGGCCAAACGUAAUCCUGCUAGAAGGGCUUCAUACUCGGCCUCAUUAUUUGAUGCCUUGAAUUUGAAACGAAGAGCAUACUCCAUUGCUACUUUGUCGGGUGUAGUCAAGACUAGUCCCGCUCCACAGCCCUGUUGGUUGGAUGAGCCAUCAACAUACAGACUCCAUGCUGGGGUUGUUGGUUCUAUCUUCUGAGCUUCCGGGGGUAAUGAAGCCACUGUUUCAGGUGUAGAAGCAAUGUCAACCGGAUAUGUGAAGUCGGCAAUGAAGUCUGCCACUGCUUGGCCCUUCUCAGCUGGCUUUGGUUGGUAGGAGAUGUCAAACUCACCCAACGCUAUUGCCCAUUUGAUCAUUCGCCCUGAAGUGUCAGGACUUUGGAGUAUCUGUCGAAGAGGAUAAUUGGUAAGCACGAUGAUGGAGUGCGCUUGGAAGUAAGGGCGGAGUUUUCGAGCAGACAUGACCAAUGCCAGAGCCAAUUUCUCAAUGUUAGAGUACCGUGUCUCCGCAUCUUGUAAGGCUUUGCUAGCGUAGUAGACAGGUCGCUCAAUAUUCCCAUCCUUUCGAAUGAGAACGGAACUUACGGCUGAAGCUGAUACCGAUAGGUAGAUAAUGAGAAUGUCUCCUACCUCGGGCUUGGUGAGUAGAGGGGCUUUACUCAUGUACUCCUUGAGGUUUUUGAAUGCCUCGGCACAUUCAUCAGUCCAUGUAAUGUACUUCCUACUUCCCUUAAGUGCUUUAAAAAAGGGAGCACAUUUGUCUGUGGCCUUAGAAAUGAACCUGGUUAAGGCUGCCACCUUGCCAGUAAGGCUCUGGAUGUCCUUUGAAGUUACCGGUUCCUUCAUGUCGAGGAUUGCUUUGAUCUUCUCGGGAUUAGCUUCAAUGCCUCGUUGGCUAAUCAUGAAACCUAAGAAUUUGCCAGAGCCUACGCCGAAGGCACAUUUGUUGGGGUUUAACCUCAUUCGAUACCUCUUCAAAAUAGUGAAAGUUUCAGAUAGGUUGGUGAUGUGUUGGUCAGCAUGUUUGCUCUUGACUAACAUAUCAUCAACGUAAACUUCCAUGCUCUUCCCAAUCUGCUCGGCGAACAUUGAGUUGACUAGUCUCUGAUAAGUCGCUCCUGCAUUCUUUAGGCCGAAAGGCAUGACUUUAUAGCAGUAUAGUCCUCUGUCGGUAGUGAAGGCUGUGUGUUCUUGAUCCGAAGGGUUCAUGAGGAUUUGGUUGUAUCCUGAGUAAGCAUCCAUGAAGCUCAGGAGUUCACACCCGGCCGUAGAGUCUAUAAGUCUGUCAAUAAGAGGAAGAGGGAAGCUAUCUUUCGGACACCCUUUGUUUAGGUCGGUGUAGUCAACACACAUUCUCCACAAGACCUUUUGAAGCGAAAGACUUUCUUUGGUCGGAUUUUUCCUAACAAGGACCACAUUUGCUACCCAUGUCGGGUAAUUGACUUCGCGGACAAAGCCUAUGCCUUUGAGUUUUUCAACUUCUGCUUUCAUUGCCUCGUAUCGUUCAGCGUCAUAAGAUCUUCGCUUCUGUCUCACCGGCUUGAUCUUGGGGUCAAUACUCAAACGAUGACAGAUGACAUCGGGAGAGAUGCCUGGCAUGUCCUCGUAUGACCAGGCGAAGACUUCAGUGUUCUCUUUCAAAAAAGAUAUCAAUGCUAACCGAAGGGGUGGUGACAAUGUGGUGCCAAUCUUCACCAUGUGAUCUGGAUAAUCUCUUGAGAUAGGUACCUUCUCCAACUCUUCAGCAGGUUGGGCUUGCUGGGUGAAAGAGUCAUCUCGAGGAUCAUCGGGUUGAUUGUUGCUAUCAGGAAGAUCCAAGUUCGCUUCAUCUAGGCUGGUCUUUGUGACUUGGUCAUGUACAGACAGGGUUUCCUUGGGUCCGGGCAAGUGUUGUUGCUUAACUGAAGUGUUGUAACAUGAUCGUGCACUAAGCUGAUCUCCUCUGAUGUAGCCGUUGCCAUGGGGGGUUGGAAAUUUCAUCAACAGCAUAUGCGUGGAUACCAUAGCCUUGAGAUCAUUGAUGCCUGUGCGCCCAAAGAUGACAUUGUAUGCCGUUGGGCAGUCAACCACUAGGAAGUUAGUGGUAAUGGUAGCCGUGUAAGGGCCUGUACCAAUAGUAAAGGGUAAAUGUAUGCUCCCUAAGGGUUGCACGAUAUCACCGGAGAAGCUUAUCAGAGGAGAAAUCGAGCGAUCGAGCAAGUGUUCAGCUACACUGAGUGCCCUGAAAGCUUCGGCAAACAUGAUAUUGACCGAAGCCCCUGUGUCUACGAGGAUUCGUCGAACAUCAAAGUUGGCUAUGUGAGCCUCCACGAUCAAUGGGUCGUUAUGAGGGUAGAUGAUGCCUCUUUCUUCCUCAGGGUAGAAACAUAUCGGAUCCCAGUUAGGCUUUUGAUACUUCCCUCCCCUGAUGUCUUCCACGUGAAACACUUGGUGACCAGGCCUCAGAAUUCGUUCACUGUUUUUCAUGGCCCUAUUGGAAGAUUCAGAUAUGGGUGUGCCGCCGCUUAUGGAAUAUAUGACAUUCACCUGGCGUUGGUUACGGUUAUCCCUUUGAGGGUGAAGGAGGAAUUGAUCAAUUUUUCCUUCUCGUGCCAAAGCUUCAAUACGAUCACGGAGGAUGAUACAUUUCUCGCUAUCAUGGCCGUUAUGCUCAUGGUAGCAACAAAACAUGCCCGCGUUAUUCGGGGGCGUGUAAUCUGGGUGCCUCGGCUUUGGCUUUGGUAUCAGGUGAGCUAUGCUGGGGUAAAUGGCCGCGCAUGUGGCAUUCAAGGGCGUGUAUGUCUCAUACCUUGGGGUAGGGGGUAUCUUGACGCGGGUUUGACCCACUGCAUUGACUGCCUGGGGGCGAGCGUUAUUGUGGCGAUACCCUUGGUUAUCGGGAUAGUGUCCCUUACUCUUUUUUACUGAAAUGAGAGUGGUGAGGAUGGAAAUCCUUCCUCUUGCCUUGAAAUUGAUAUGUCUGUUGAUUCGGCGAAGCAUUAUGCAAGGCAUGGGGAGGUGCCACUGCUGUUUGGAAAGUCGAGGUCUUCUCAUUUAGGUGAGUCUGGCUUCCACCUCCCACUUGUUGAUAAAGGAUGGUUGUAGGGGGUUUCUCCUGAUAUGUCUUUGCCUCGGCGGAGGCAUGGUUAUAAGCCUGCGCCAUCACCUCAGAGUAAGUCUUCCAAGUAUUGGCAUUGAUCAUGUAUUUAAAGAAACAAUCACGUAGGCCUGCCGUGAAGGCUUUGAGGGCAGUCUUGUCGUCUGCCUCGGCACACCGGGAGUAUUCAUGGCUGAAGCGGCCAGCAUACAUACGUAAUGACUCGUCUGGCUUCUGGCGGAUAGUGUACAGGUCAUCUGCAGAGUGCAAGCGAUCGGUUUGGAAAAUGUGUUGGGAAACAAAUAGUUUCCUCAAUUCCUCAAAUGAGUCUACCGUCUCAGGUGUAAGACGACAAUACCAAUUUAGAGCUCCGCCAGAGAGGGUGGAGGGGAAGAGAAGACAUCGCUCUUCGUCGGUGUGCAUCCGGUAUGCCAUGGUGGACUCAAAGAGGUUAAGGUGCUCAAUCGGGUCCUCUUUUCCAGUAUAAAGUUGCAAGCCAAGCUUUUUGCUUUGUCUUUGCUUGAAGGGGGGUGUUGAGGAUCCUCCUUGUAAGAGGGCCAGGCCUGGGUUGGUUCCAGUCAGGUAUUUCAGCCUGACGUUCAGCCUUCAACUUGUUUACUUCCUCAAGAAGUUGUAGGACAAGGGGGUCCUGAGCGGAGUUAUGUGCCACUGGAGCUUUCUUUCGUAAAUCUCCAUCUUCUCUUGGAAUUAGGAAGGUUUGAUCAAGGGCAUGUGAUUUUUCCCUGGACUCGCUGUACUGGCUUCCAGGGUAUGUCUGUCGGAACACCUCUGAGUCCCCUGUACCCUCAUGUCUCUCUAGGACUUGUUGCCCCUUCCCCAAAUUGGUGGCCGGCUUGGGCCGUGGCAGGGGACCGAGUCUCUCAGAAAUCCUUGGGUCAUUAAUCUUUGAGCUUAUAUGGAUGGAAUUCUCUCGACGUUGCUUCAGGAAAUCCCGACAAUAGCGAAAGACAGCUUUCGAUCCUUCUGCCCCUUCAGCAAAGAGGUGUCUCCCUCCACUUCUCAUGGUUCGGGUUGAAGCAACUGGGUUAAGAGAAGCCUCAUGUUGAUUAUCAAGUCGAGGGGUAAUCUGUUCCCUAUCAGGGAUAUCUAUGUCGAAUGCAUGUGACCCUCCAUGUUGGAGGGCACCCAGUUGAUGGUUGACUUCCACGGGGGCAACAAGCUCGCGUGUCUGAGCUUGCCUAGCUUCGUGGAGUGUCUCGAAGAGCUUCUCAUAUUGCUCCUGGAGGACCUCAUUCCUCAUUGCUAUCUUGUUGUUCUGAGCUUCCAACUCAUCGACUUUAGCUUGAAGAAGAACUCGUUUUCCUUCCUUCUUUCGUUGUUUCGCACUAUGUGCAAGGGGGGUGUCAUUCUGUGUGCUGUGGCUUCCUUCGCUUCCCAUGUUGGAGAGGGAUGCCUGGUCAAAAGAAAGUGUACGAAUGAUAGAAACCAGCUUGACACAGCUGAAGAGAGUAGGAAUAAGUGUCGUUUCCCACAGACGGCGCCAAAUGUUGAUUAUCAAAAUCAGCGAAGACUUUGGUACAACAGAAAGUGUCAGGUUUUGUGACCUUCGCUUGGUUGCUUCGGUCACUAGUGAGGAUAAAUACGUAAAUAAAUAGAGACAGAGAAGCAAACACAGGAUGUACGUGGUUCACCCAGAUUGGCUACGUCCACGGAGUAGAGGAGUUCUUAUUAGUAGUGAAGGGCUUACACAAGUACAAAGGAUCAAGCUCUCAAUUUAGUGAGUUCUUGUGAAUGAUUUAACACAAAAUGGCAUUAGGCAAUAUUGUGGGGGAAUGACCCCUAUUUAUAGAAAAACUUGUAGCUUUGUCACAUUGACAUGUGUCAUGUUAUGAUUGGUUCUUGAUGUUGACACGUGAUGCGCUCUGAUUGGCUUCUAAUCCUGACACGUGUCGAGUAGUGAUUGGCCUCCUGGUCGGAGGGGAACUCUUCUGGGUCCUUGACAGUAUAGCGUUGGCCGGUGCUCGGUAGUUUCGGGAUUGGUCAAGUAUGGUACAAACAAGUUGUACUUAGUACAUUUGAUGGGCAAUCAUAUUUUAGUUGGUUCCGUUGAGUGGUCCGGAAUCCUUUUUGGUGUCUUGGUUCCGUUGAGAGGUCCGGAACCCGAUGCUGAUGGAUUUCGUUGAGGGGUCCGAAAUUGCAUCAUUUGAUUCAUUUAAGACAGCUUCAGCAAUGUAGACUUAUGUCGAAUUGUGUCGCUCUAACCCGGCAUUCCGAUGAAUUGUAUGUGUUAUUGAUGAUAUGGUGAUUGGCAUUAUUGAUUGAUGUGAUAAUUGGAUGGUAAUGGAAUGCAUAUGUGAGGAUGAAUGACGUUAUGAGUAGAGAUUAUUAUUGUGCUUUGUUAAAUGUUCCUUAAGGUGCUACAUAAUUGAAUUGUGGUAUUAUGUUGAGACCUAGUGGUCUAUGUGACGAAUGUUCGAUAGUAGUGAAAUGUGAACUACGAAUGACUUGAUCCCUGUUGAGGGUACGUAGGUAGUCUAACGAGGAGGUUAGAUGCAGUCAUAAAAUACACAAAAAUUACAACGAAAUUCGAAUAUUGAAUUAUGCUUUGUAAAUAUUUCGGGCGGGAUAUGUGAGAUAUACGGGUUUUUAAUGACGUCACGUGCUGAUCUUGGACGUAUGUCGGGAUCAGGGCGUGACAAAAUGAGUUUUAUGAAAUGAAAUGGCAUGCCAAUUAUAUUUAUAUUAAGAAUGUGCAUAUGUGAUUAUAUAUGUUGUGAUUCGAUGCUAUGGGCGCUCAGGUAAGUUUCAAGUAAGUUUAUGUGUUGAGUUUAAGGUGUGGAAAAAUGAUGAUUGUUGAGAUGUGUUGAGAGCUCAUUAACCUGCACCCGGGUGUUAGUGCUCCUGCCCAUGGUUAGGGGCACAGUCUUUCACGUGAUGUUUACCUCCCGUAGCACACGCUCAUCUUGGAUCCAAGUUAGGUGCACAAUCCUGUUGUAUAGACCACUUUCAGUGGGUUCGACUCGUUGGUGACCUGCAAUCAUUCGCACAGUCUUCACGUGAUUGUAGCAUUAGAGCAUAUUUGUUUUACACCCAGUCAUGUCGUAUAGACCACUAUAGGUGGGUUCGACUCGUGUGCAGACAUGAUUUAUGAGAUAGAAUUCAGUUGAUUUGAUAUUCUCACAUGUUAUCACUCCUUGGGGUACUUACCUUGUUAUUUGAGAUGAUUGGCAUGGUAUAUUCACGUUUUGACUUUGGAUUUUGAUAUUGCUGGAUAUGUUGAGAUUACGAGUAUAUGUAUAUGCUAUUUGCUGGGAAAUUAUACAGGUUUUACAGAGAGGGGUUAUACUUUUGAGAAAUGAAAUGAUUUUGAAAAGUUUUGUUUUUUGCCCACUCACGCGUUUUGUUUUGCGCCCCUCUAGGUUUUAGGUAGCGUUGUUGGUGGCUUACGAGUUUUCAGCGGAGGUUCUGACAGACCAUCACUUAUGUAGAAUCACCUUUGGGUGUUGUUAUUUAGUACUUUUAUGCUUGACUGCACUUAGGCUAGUUAAGCUCUGAUUGUGUAUUCACACUUAAUUUCCACUCUUGCAUCUUAGUCUUGUCUAGUACUAUCAGGAUUUGGUUUCUAUUCAAUUGUAUUUCUCUAUAUUAAUCUUGCUUCCGCACUGUGCAUAUGGCUACGUCACCCUCACGUGACGGUUAGCAUGUCUCGAUCUUGGUCGGGGUGUGUCAUCAAGUCACCUUUUAACUUCUAUUAUGUUGAUUUUUGUCUGUAGGUACACAAAAAUAUGCAGAUUUGGCUUUCAAAUUGAGAGGCCUAAGGACAAUCUCUGUUCAUAGAAAAAAAAGUUGGACAUAGAAGGCAUGGGUAUGGGAACAUGAUUGGUUGUUAUAUUGCUUUGGGACGUUUUGAUAUUUUAGAGAUUAAUGAGUUUGUGGAGAUUUUGUUUUUCACAUCUUGCUUUGUAUUUGAACUUAAGCACUAUAACUGAACUUACUUUAAAAUUAUAGGACUUCAAAACGCGACCGCGGUUAGGAUUAGAAAGGGCCAAGUAUAUAUGUUGAGAAACUAGGCAUUGCAAGCAUAUAAAUUCCAAUUUUAUUAUUGCUAAACCAUAUAUCAAAUGUAGUUAGGAAUUAAAUUAAGUACAAACUACAUGGGGAUGGAGAAAGUUAUGUAUAGGUGAGAGCCUAAAAAUACUUGAGAAUCAAAUACUGCACAAAUUUGUGAUAAGUUAGAUGAGUAAAGAUCGCCUUUUGUCAAGCAGUUUUUGACUUUUCUGCAUUCUUUUAUAUAGUUUUUUCUUUUUUUCUUCCUAUUUUGUCAGAUUAGAUAGAUAGGGGCGCUAAUAAAAAAAAAGAAAGAAAGUAUUUUUGCAUUUUGCUGCACGUGAUGAUGUUGAUGAUAUACAAUAUUCAAUGACUAAACCCUAUUCCCUAUACUAUAGCAAAAAAUGAAGCAUAAUUAUACAAUAGCUACACACAAAACAUUGAAAGUAUACAUGCGUGCAGUAAGAAUGAAUGGUAAAAAUGCCAUGUUCCUUUUAACAUUGCGAAUUACCGAGCUUUAUGGAGGGAGUAUAAAUACGAAUGCUCUUGGUGGUCUUCAUCUAAUUUCUUAUUAGUAUCAUCUCGAUGUUUUGGAACUUUUGACAGCCCUCUCACCGAACAUAUAAUUUUUAGGGGCGCGCAGCGCUCGUAAUUAAAAAAACGCGCAUGCGGAGAGGCUGGUAUAUACUAAAGUCCUACGCCCAAAAAUGCUGUUCAUAAGAGCAGUGUAAAGACGCAAAUACCCCUCCUCAACUGAUCUUUUCCUUCCUAUAUUUCAUGAGGCUACAGUAAAAAGACGAAAAACCAUGUUGCACACGUGGCGUGCUAGCGAGAUUUCUCUCUUCCACCGCUUCCUUCCUCUGCAGUCUACACCUCUUGCGUUUUUGCCUUUCCUCUCCAGCUGUCGGCCAUCACAGAGUCUUAUGGCAUCUUCCCGUUCUUUUCGCUGUUUUUCCUUCGGUUGCUUUUCACUUCUUUUCCUCUAAUUUGACUUCGUUUGUUUUGUGUUAUGUGGUUUUUAUUGAUUUUCAAUGUGUAUUGAUUGAUACUAACAAUUACAAGAUGAAACUUAUAUAUAGGGAAAGAAAGAUGACAUAAGCCUAACUUGCCUAACUUGCCUAACUUACACAAAGAAAGUUGACUAGCCUAACUUCACUAGUCAUCCAAUACAAUUGUUCCAACAUGUUUAUUUCAUGCAUUUUAACACUCCCCCUCAAGUUGGAGUGUGGAUGUCAAUGAUACCCAACUUGCUAAGUAAGACCUCAAAUUGCGCCGAGCUUAGUGGUUUGGUGAACAAAUCUGCAGGUUGAUUCGAGGUUCGUAUGUAAGCUGUUUGCACCAUUCCCAUCUGAAUCUUCUCACGUACUAAGUGACAGUCGAUCUCUAUAUGCUUCGUUCGUUCAUGAAACACUGGGUUCGAAGCAAUGUGCAUGGCAUCUUGAUUAUCACAAAACAAUGUGACUGGUUGUGCAUGAUUCACUCGUAAGUCCUUCAAAAGGUUUCUUAGCCAUAUAACUUCACAACAGGUGAUAGCCAUAGAACGAUAUUCUGCCUCUGCACUAGAACGAGAUACUGUGCUUUGCUUCUUUGUUUUCCAAGAUAUCGGUGCUUGCCCAAGGAAGAUACAAUAACCGGUUAUUGACCUUCUAGUGUCUUUACACCGAGCCCAAUCAGCAUCACAAAAAGCUUGUAAUUGUAGUGAACCUGUAGAAGGCAAAAGAAUUCCCUGGCCAGGAGAUUGUUUGAUGUAUCUGAGAACCUUAUACACUGCAUCAAGGUGUGGUUGUCGCGGCUUGUCCAUGAAUUGGCUUAACAUAUUAACCACGUAAGUCAGGUCAGGCCUCAUGAUGGUUAAGUAAAUUAGCCUCCCUACGAGUCUCCUAUAUGAAGAAGGAUCAUGUAGGAGCGUCCCUUCAGUUUAUGUAAGGGACAAGUUUGGUUCCAUGGGCAAUCGUGAGGGCUUCGCACCAAGGAACCCAACAUCUUCUAGUAUCUCCAACGCAUAUUUGCGUUGGCACAAGGCAAUCCCUUGUUUAGAUCUUGCAACUUCUAUCCCCAAAAAAUAUUUGAUUUUUCCCAAAUCCUUUAGCUUAAAAUGUUGGGAAAUGAAGAGUUUAGUCUCUUCAAUUUCUCUCAAAUUGUUACCUGCAAGUAUUACGUCAUCAACAUACACAAGUAAUGCCAUGAAACUGCCUUGAUUGAUGAAAACCAGCAGUCUUGAGAGCACUAGACAGCUUAAUAAACCACUGUCUUGAGGCCUGUUUUAAACCAUAAAUGGAUUUGUGUAAUUUGCAUAGUUGUGUCUCCCCCUUUCGUCCGAACCCAGGAGGUAUAUAAACCUCAUCGUAUAAGUCACCAUGCAAAAAUGCGUUGUUUACAUCAAGUUGGUGAAGAUGCCAACCACAGAUGAAGGCAAUACUGAGGAGGACAUGGACGGUGGUGAGCUUGGCAACUGGAGCAAAUGUUUCCCGAUAAUCAAGCCCUUCAAUUUGACUAUAGCCUUUAGCAACGAGACGGGCUUUGUAGCGUUCAACACUGCCGUCAAGUUUAAGCUUCACCUUAUAGAUCCAUUUGCAGCCUAUGGGAUGUUUGUGAGGUGGUAAGGGCACAAGAGUCCAAGUGCGAUUGUCAUGGAGGGCAUCAAUCUCUUUUUGCAUGGCGUCACGCCAUUUUGGAUCCUGAACAGCCUGCGAAAAACUGGUGGGUUCUUUGAUAAUGGUGAGGGUGGUGAGAAAGGUUUUGUGAGGGGGGAUACAUGGUCAUAGGAUAAAUAACGAGAUAGGGAGUGAGAUGUACCUGAGGACUGAACCAUGCUUGUGGAAGAUGUGGGUGCAACACGGGAUGGGAGGGCCACCUCAACAUGAAAGUCUUGCAAAAAUAUGGAAGUUUUGGUUGGUCGAGUGCUAGGACGGAGUGCAGGGGUUGGAUCUGGUGAUGGAGUGGUUGGAGGUGGGGAAGAGUGUAGGGUAGGUGAAGGUGUUGAUAAGGUAUCUGGUGGUGGAGUUGUAGAGGGUAAAGGAGAUGAGGGUGGUGUGAUGUCGGCAAGUGUGGGAGAUGUGGUGUUUAUGUCUGCUGGUGCAAGGCUUGAAUGCGACUCAAUGGGAGAGGUCGAGUCAAACGGGAUAGGUGUAGUGUUUGAUGGAGACGGGGCAACGGAAGUGUUACAAUGUUGGAAUGGAAAAUGAUCUUCAAAAAAUACGACAUCCCUAGAAACAAAAGUCUUAUUGUGUUUUAUAUCAAACAAUUUAUAACCCUUUUGACCAUAAGGAUACCCAAGAAAAAUGCAUUGGAUUGCACGAGGGUCAAAUUUAGAGGGCCUUUGGGCAUGUGUAGAAGCAAAACACAAGCUACCGAAAACCUUCAAAUGAGAAUAGUUAGGUGCUUUGUGAAACAGUUUUUCGUAUGGUGUUUUACCUUGGAGAAGUGGAGUGGGUGUUCUAUUGAUGAGGUAGGCUGAGGUUAGGAUUGCAUCUCCCCAAAAACAUUUUGGCAGACAAGCUUGAAAGAGCAAAGCCCGAGCAACAUUGAGCAAGUGCCGGUGUUUACGUUCGGCAACACCAUUUUGUUGUGGUGUGUUGACUCAACUAGAUUGAUGUAUGAUGCCUUUGAGAGCAUAAAAUUGCUCAAGUUUAAACUCAGGGCCAUUGUCACUUCGUAUGAUUUGAACUCUGGUAUUGAAUUGAGUCUCAAUCAUUUGAAUGAAUUUGACUAAAAUGUCUUUUGUGUCAGAUUUAUGUUUCAUCAAAUGAACCCAAGUGCUUCUAGUGUAGUCAUCUACGAUGGUAAGGAAAUACUUGGCACCUGAAAUAGAAGCAACUUGAUAACCACCCUAAAUAUCAAUAUGCAAUAAUUCAAAACAUGAUUUGGUAGAAAUAGAGCUCAAAGGAAAGGGUGAUCGUGUUUGUUUGGCCAAUGGGCAAAUUGAACAUUUUUCCAAAUCACAAGCUUUAUUGUUAAAGAAAGGUAAUAACGAAGUGGCUUUAUGAGAUGGGUGUCCUAGGCGUUGGUGCCAAAGCUUUGGUGCGAUGGUUUGAAUAUUGUUGCAUGUUCUUUUCCUUGAUGAGUCGAGGUAGUAGAGUCCAUCCCUUUCAGUUCCCAUCCCAAUCAUCUUCCCCGAGCGAAGGUUCUGAAUGACACAAAAUUGGGUGAAGAAAAUUGUGACAUAUAAGGAAUCAUAGGCUAGUUUACUGAUGGAUAUUAAAUUUAAUUUAAAGAAUGGCACACAUAGGACAUUGUCAAGGAUAAGAUUAUGAGAGAAAACAACUUGUCCAAUGUGAGUGACUUUGGCAACGGAACCAUUUGGCAGUUCAACUGUAUGAUUUUCAACAGCUCGUGAGUGUGUAAAGAGACUAGGGUUGAAAGUUCUUCAUGACUAGAAGGAUUACCGACUUGAUUGGCAAAUGAUGAUUUGUUCUUGUUCAACAUUUGAAGGAUUUGCUUGCAAUCCUCCUGAGAGAACGGGAAAUUGGGCAACAUCUCUUGCUUGUUACUUUGUGAAACUUGAUUCCCUUUUGAAGAAAAAGGACGACUGCUUUCCGUUUCUGUGGCUGCUUUUCGUUUUCGACAGAAAUCGAAGGUGUGACCUUUCCAUCCACAAAAAGUGCACUUGAGAUGUGCACGACAGUUUUUGGUGAUGUGAUUUGUUCUAUUGCACUUUCCACAUCGCAUCUCUUUGUCUUCCGGUGUAGGUUCUUGCGACAAAUUCUUCACUCCAAAGACAACAGCCUCUGGUUGUGUACUCUUCCCAUUGGAAACCUCUGCCUGGCGUUCAUGUCGAAGGACCAACGCAUAUGCCUUGUUCACCGUAGGCUGUGGUUCAAGAAGAAGGGUAUUGCUUCGAACCGUAGCAUACGAUUCGUUCAAUCCCAUAAGGAACUUCAUGGUUUUCUGAGUUUCAACAUAUGAGUUCAUCUCAUUCUUUGUUCCACAACUGCAUGCUGGAAUGGAACACAAAGUAUCACGUUCAUCCCAUAAACUUUUAAGUUUAGUGCAGUAAGAACUUACACUCAUAUUGCUUUAGACGCAAUCAUGGAUCUCGUUCUUAACAUGGAACAGCUGAACUAUAUUCACAUGUGAGAACCUCUCCUGCAGAUCGGUCCACAUUUGUCGAGCAUCCUUGUAGUUGAUGACACUCCUUGAAAUCUCCUUUGACAUGGAGCCUAGUAGCCAUGUCUUGACCAAGUUGUUGCAGCGAUUCCAUUGUUGCAACUCCUCAGAAUUGUCCUCACUUGGUUUGUUGAUUGUCCCAUCAACAAAACCAAGUUUGUUCUUGACCGUUAAGGCCAUACUCAUGGAUUGAACCCAUGUGCUGUAGUUGUCUUCCACCAAUGGUUGUGGUACGAGGAUUGCACCAGGUUGGUCCGAGUGGUGGAGAUAGAGUGGGUGGUUGGGAUUUUCCCAUUUUGAAUGAGAAGCCAUGCCUGGAAUGGUUGACCUCAUGACUGCCUUAGAGCUUGUGUUUUGUGGUUUUCCCAGAUCACAGCUCUGAUACCAUAUUGAUUUUCAAUGUGUAUUGAUUGAUACUAACAAUUACAAGAUGAAACUUAUAUAUAGGGAAAGAAAGAGGACAUAAGCCUAACUUGCCUAACUUGCCUAACUUACACAAAGAAAGUUGACUAGCCUAACUUCACUAGUCAUCCAAUACAAUUGUUCCAAUACAAUUGUUCCAACAUGUUUAUUUCAUGCAUUUUAACAGUUUUGGUUUCGUUUGCUCUCUUUCCCUUCUUCUCUGUUGGUUUCUGUUGCUUCUCCAUCAGUUCACCCAAACCACCGCUUGCUUCUCCACCAGUUCACCCAAAUCCGACGAAGGGCGCCACAACAAACGUGCCAAUCUUCCUGCACCACCGGUCUCCGCAACGUUUUCCAAAACCCGCUUGACCGAAGGUAAGCGAAUUUGGUGUUCUGGAUUAUAUCGGAAUUGAAAUAGGUUUGGUUUCAUUAACUUUUUGGGUUAAUAAAUUUGUAUGCUCUGAUUCUUUUGAAUUUGAGUUUGGAUUGGAAUUUAAUUUUGAUUUACAAAUCUCUGAUAAAACCUCAACAAGAAACUUAAACCCUCAGCAAGAAACUUAAACCCAAUGCAUCAUCCUAUUAAUUCCAACAUCUCCUCAAUAAGUAUUCUAAGAUAUAAAUAUUACAAUUCUGGUGAUCAUAGAAAAAUGCAUAUUUGAGUGAUCAUGGAACACUGUUAGUAGCUACACAUAUCAUAAUAAUUUAGGAUAUGGACGUUAAAUUAUCUUAAACUGCAGAAUGUGGCUUUUACAUUGUUAUAUGGAAUUUCCCCUAGGAAGAAAUAGCAUUGAACUUAUAGGAUGGAUACAUAAAUAGCCUAUGUACGCAUUACAAAAUGAUUUAGUUGUUUGGGAUUAAACAAAGUUUGGUUUUUCAUGGUGAGUUCUCAACUGGGUUUUACUUAUUUUUUUGCCUCCGAUAUAAGUUUUAGAUGCUUUUCUUUGUUUUUCGCUAAUUUUUAAAUUUAUUUUUUUUACUAUUUAGUGUGAGAAAAUGGCUUCAAAAUUGGAUUUCCAAUGUCUGGGCAGAGGAAAACAGGAAGAGAACACCAAUGGUGGUUACGAAGGAGAAUCCCUUCUUUGCGGUGGAAAUUGACGGUCCAUGUGCAACAUUCAACCCAGUUUAUAAGAGCAGGGGUCAAUAUGAAGAACCAAUGACAUGGGGUUUUGUUUAAUUUUAUUAAGUUUUGUACUGAGGUAAAAUUCUCCCCAUUUAACAUAGUUUUAAAUGUUGAUUAGUAUAUGUGUAAAUAGGAUUGUGAGUAUGGUUGUAUAUGUAGUAGUAGAAUUGAAAACAUUGUUGUAAUUAUGUGUAAGUAGAGUUGUAAACCCGACGCAUCGCGCGGGCCUUUUUGCUUGUUACCCCUAAACGUUACAAAAAUCCCAAAAAUUAAAAGGAAACUAAAAAAAAUUAGAAUUUACCCAUAGUUUCGCGAAUCCCAGCCGGAUGAACUGGUGGCAGUUGUAAGAGCGGAUCUCCAGCUCCGAACCUCUUCUAUUUCAGCGUUAGAAUCAUGGUCGUGCUGAUCAAAAGCUUUCGCGAAACUUCCCUUUAGUUUACGACAUCAGACGGAUCAACUUCAUAGAAAAUGGGGAGUACAAUCUGUUUAUUGGUAUCCUCGCAUUCCAGGAUUUGCACGAGUUCUUUCAAGCACCAAGUGGAAGAAGCAUAGUUUUGAGAGAAAACUACAAUCGAAAUCCUUGACUCUCGAAUGGCUGACAGGAGCUUGGAAAGGCGGUCGCCUUUUCUGAGGUCUUCGGCAUCAAUGAAGGCGUUGAUUGGUUUCUGACGCAGGGCUUUGUAGAGAUGGCUGACGAAGCCCCUGCGAGUGUCUUCCCCUCUGAAAUUGAUGAACACAUCGUAUUUCCAACCAAGGCCAGAAGAAGAAGAAGAAGCAGCCAUUAAUCGAUCGAGCAGCUAAGUCCUAGAGUAAUGUAAGAACAGAAAUACUCGAUUGAUCAAUAAAUUGAAUCACAGAAAAAACUGGUCUGAUCGAUACGAAGUCAACGAGGACAGAAAAUUAUGCUUUAUGUGUUUUCACAUCUUCUUCCGGGAAAUUUAACGAAAAUAAUUUUCUUGCCGGCAAAAUUGACUUCAAAAUAUAAAAAUAUUCUUCCAGGUAUGGACAUAUGAAGUUUCAGUGUGAAACGAAUCUGCAUACUUUGGUUUGGUUUUGACCCAAGAAAAUGCUAAGAAAGGAUGGUUUAGCAGCUUUGCAUGAGGGGACUGGGUCAAAGUACUCUGUUGAAUCUGCCCUUGCCUACCCAACAACUUCUUUGUAAGUCGGAAAUAAAUCCCGAUCUUCCUAUUCACACGAAAAAUGAGUGGGGUGACAGGAAAUAUUUCUUGUUAAAUGUAAGCAUCUCACACAUGUGGUAUAUUCAAAGGUAUUGAGGCGACAAACGAGCGAUUAAUAGUUUGGCUUUUAAUUUGAUGUCACGGUAGUAACGGUACUUACUAUGAAAUCUUUGAUAUAUUUGCUUUUAGCUACAAAACAACUAAAACUCCACAAAUUGCUUAUGAAAAUAAAAAAUAUUGACAAGAUUUGAACUUGUAUUAUCUACAUCUUCACUACACAUUGUUGCUCCGCUCGUGUUCUGAAGUUGACAAUAGCUAGAAGGUCACAGCAAGAAGCAGAGGAGGCUAACUGUUACAGAAAAUUUGUUUAUUCAAAGCAUUAAUAAAAACACAUUGAAAUUAAUUCACGCAAAAAAUAAAUAAUACAGUGAAGGAUUUACAGUGGUGGCAGCCACACUUCAAAAAUAGGGCGUCUCACCCUGUGGAGAAAGCAUUUUUUGCUAUGAAUAAAAAUUCCACUGCGUAACAAAACAGGAGAUUAAUGAUUGAGUGAUAGCUGAGUUGUUUGCAAUGAGAGAGAUGUUUUUACUUUUAUUGAUAAGGAGUCUACAUAUGCGAUGUUCUCAUAGUAUAAAACUUCGCCGACAACAAUUAUAACUUGUUUGUGUUGAUAAAUUUUGAAUGACAUUAAUAUUGUCUAAUAUCUAAAAGAAUUUGGAUGGCUACAUUUUUUUUUUUUGGAAAACCUUUUAACCUUAUAAAUUGCGGGCUUCUUCCGACAAUUCCUAACUUCGUCACUGCUUCAGUCAACUCGAAGUCCUAGUGGUUCUUGUCCAUGAUAUCAAUAUCCCUACAAUAAACGGUGACUUCAAUAUGAGCUACACUCAGUCUAACAAAAAGUUUGUAUAGAGAAGAUAUGCAUGAAAAAAUGGCAAUGGUUGUGUUUGUGUUGCUGAACGAAUGAUACUGAAAUACCUAAACCCAAGUCAAGCUCCUUUAGUCCACGAAAACAAAAGUUUAGAAUACAAUAAUGUUUGCAUAUAGACUAGAGAAACGACAUACCGCAGGCCAGGAAGGUGCAGUGAAAGAGAGAGGAAGAGAGGAAAAGAGGAAAGAAACAAACAUGAAAUGACAAAGACUAUCAAAUAGAUUAUAACAAUGACUUCUUAGCGAUGGUUACAACUAUUUAACUAUCGAUAAUGCAUUAUUUUAGUUUGAAACGUGGAAGCAUUUGAGAAGUAGCAUGUCAACAACCAUUACACAAUAAUAUUGUCUAAUAUCUAAAAGAAUUUGGAAGUCUACAUUUUUUGGAACCUUUUACCCUUAUAAAUUUUGCGCCUCUCCUGACAAUUUCUAGUUUCGUCGUUGCUUCAGUCAACUCCAAGUUCUAGUGGUUCUUGUCUAUGAUAUCAAUAGCCCCACCGUAAAUGGUGACUUCAGUAUAAGCUACACUUAGUAUAAGUGUAUGGGGGACAUAUAUGUAUGAAAAAAUGGCAGUGGUUGUAUCUGUGUUGACUAACGGAUGGUACUGGAAUACCUAAACCCAAGUCAAGCUCCUUCAGUCCACAAAAAUCAAAAGUUUAUAAUAUAAUAAUGUUUGCAUAUAGACUUGAGAAAAGACAUACCGCCAGCCGGGAAGGUGCAAUGAACAAGAGAGGAAAAGAGGAAAUAAACGAACAAGAAAGGACAAAGACUAUCCAAUAGAUUAUAACAAUGACUUCUUAGUAGUGAAGUGAUUAAGCUAUUCCACUAUUAAUAAUGCAUUAUUCUUAGAUUGAAAUGGUUCAGAAAUUUAAAAGCCAGAAUUGACUUAUAUAAAAUCAAUUUUUAAUUGGGUAGAUGUAAUUUGUAAAACAAAAAUGUUUAUAAAAAAAAAUUUCUCUUGAAAAUGUAUUCUGGUGCCAGGAUUUAAACCUGGAUGAAAACUCUUAACCGUAAGACUUUUUGUAGUGAGCAACACUGGACUAGUUGAUAGACUAUGAUGAAAUAAACCAUUUAAAUGUACUCCUUACGUUAUGCAGUGCGCAUACUGGAUAAACAAUUAGUGCACAUAAUGUGGUUAUCUGAUUUGUGGGGAAUGGUGAUGCUCACCGCUGACUUUUGGUUUACUGACAGGCUCUCAAAGUUAAAUAUAUCAGAUUUUGUUUGACAUUCGUAACAUAUUUUAAUAUUUUCACCACAACAACAACAACAACAACAAAGUCUUUUCCCACUAAGUGGGGUCGGCUAUAUGAAUCCUAGAACGCCAUUGCGCUCGGUUUUGUGUCAUGUCCUCUGUUAGAUCCAAGUACUCUAAGUCUUUUCUUAGAGUCUCUUCUAAAGUUUUCCUAGGUCUUCCUCUACUCCUUCGGCCUUGAACCUCUGUCUCGUAGUCACAUCUUCGAACCGGAGCGUCAAUAGGCCUUCUUUGCACAUGUCCAAAUCACCGGAACCGAUUUUCUCUCAUCUUUCCUUCAAUUUCGGCUACUCCUACUUUACCUCGGAUAUCCUCAUUCCCAAUCUUAUCCUUUCUCGUGUGCCCACACAUCCCACGAAGCAUCCUCAUCUCCACUACACCCAUUUUGUGUACGUGUUGAUGUUUCACCGCCCAACAUUCUGUGCCAUACAACAUCGCUGGCCUUAUUGUCGUCCUAUAAAAUUUUCCCUUGAGCUUCAGUGGCUUACGACGGUCACACAACACGCCGGAUGCACUCUUACACUUCAUCCAUCCAGCUUGUAUUCUAUGGUUGAGAUCUCCAUCUAAUUCUCCGUUCUCUUGCAAGAUAGAUCCUAGGUAGCGAAAACGGUCGCUUUUUGUGAUCUUCGCUAGAUUACUCCGGUCAUUAGCGUGGAUAAGUAUAUAAAUGGAUAGAGAUAGGAAAGCAAACACAAGAUGUACGUGGUUCACCCAGAUUGGCUACAUCCACGGAAUAGAGGAGUUCUCAUUAAUUGUGAAGGGUUUACACAAGUACAUAGGUUCAAGCUCUCCUUUAGUGAGUACAAGUGAAUGAUUUAGUACAAAUGACAUUAUGAAAUAUUGUGGGAGAAUGAUCUCGUAAUCAUGAAACUUCUAAGUAUCGGAGUGUGGUAUCGUCUUGACUUGCCUUAUCUGUCUCAUAGGUAGAUGUGGCAUCUUCUCUGGAAGUACUCUUCCUCCAUCCAUGGGUGGUAUCUUUAACUGGUGGAGAUGCAUAAGGUAAUGUAUCAAUUUCACUUGAAGCUUACUUGUAGUUUCAGGCUUGGUCAAGCGCGAUACAAACCAUGUAGUAGGAGUCCCCCAAGUCGCCGAGCUAGGGGAUUUGCUGAAAGAGGUGACAGACAAGGUAAGCAAUCAGAGCUCCGGCUGAUUGUUCACAUUCUCCCUAUCUUGCAGGCAGCAUGAAGGAUAAAGAGAAGAAAAAAUGAGAAGAGAUGAUAUGGGAUACUUUUGCUUUUGAAGAAGUAACUUUCCACAGGCUUAUUCUUGAACUGAAGCUGGAGGGUUUUCUGGUUUCCUCCAGAGUAUAAGGCCGACUGAAGAAUUUGAGGGUCAAAACAAGUCCAUCAAAUCUAGAGUACGUUCGACCCUGCUGAUAUGGGAUACUUUUGCUUUUGACAGAGUAAUGGAUGUAUCGGCACGUGUGCUGUUACGCUUGUCUCUCCACAUGCUUCCUUGUAUCCUUCUCACUUGCCCUAUCUGUUCCUCAAGGCAAGAUGCGGUAUCUUCCCUGGAAGCAUAAGAUGUUGAAGAUGAGUACUCGAGAGCAAUGCCAGGUAAGUAAUCAGGUAAGGGGUUCCAGGCAGUCAGUUCCUAGCUGGAAGCUUGAUUCCAAGUGCUGACUGAUUGCUCUCUUUCUCCUUGUCUUGCAGGUAAAGAACAAGGCCAAAGGAAAAGACAGGGAAAAAGCAUGAUAUGGGAUAUACUCUUGCUUUUUAACCCUGAUGAUAUGAGAUAUUCUUGCUCUAGUAUAGCUUGUUUGUAGAGGUAUUAUCGGGGGGAAAGAAAGCUGAAUAUUUCGAAAGGCUUCGUUGGGAGUGCCCUCUCAGAUAUGAGAAAGGGUUGAGCAUUUUUGCAGGUCUGCCUGUCCGUUGGGGAUGGAGGUCGACAUAUAUAGGAGUCUCCCUAAUAACAAGUAGUAAUGUUAUUCCUUUACCCUGCUUGGUCAUAGCACGAUAGUUGGAGCUGCCAGCUUCACAUGUUUUAACUCUGUCAGAGCACUUUGAAAAAGUGGUCUGUGGUAUCUGGAAAGCUGAUGUUGCGUGUGAAGAUUACAGACAAGCUUUACCCAAGGAGAUUUGGUUCUUGAAGUUGGGAAAAUGGUGCCUUUUCGGUUUUCGAACAAGCAAUCCUAUCGGGGAUCUGGCUCUCGAGAUUUGGAGAACGAUGCCUCUUCGAUUUUUGAGAAAGCAAUCAUGCUGGGGGUCUAGCUCUCGAGAUUCGGAGAGCGGUGUCUCUUCGAUUUUUGAGAAAGUAAUCAUGUUGGGAGUCUGGCUCUCGAGAUUCGGAGGACGGUGCCUCUUCGAUUUUGGAGCAAGCAAUCUUGUUGAGAAUGUUUUCUCGAAUGUGAGUAAAGGUUGGGCAUGUUUGCUAGUCUACCUUGCCACGAAGCACAGAGGUUGACACACAGGGACUUUCCAAUUAUCCAGCAAUGGUACUGUUCCUUUACCCUCUUUUCGAUUUUUGAGAAAGUAGGCAUGUUGGGAGUCUGGCUCUCGAGAUUCGGAGGACGGUGCCUCUUCGAUUUUGGAGCAAGCAAUCUUGUAAUCUUGUUGGGAGUGUUUUCUCGAAUGUGAGUAAAGGUUGGGCAUGUUUGCUAGUCUACCUUGCCACGAAGCACAGAGGUUGACACACAGGGACUUUCCAAUUAUCCAGCAGUGGUACUGUUCCUUUACCCUCGUGGGUAAUAAUAUGGUAGCUAGACCUUCAAAAUUUAUGUGUCUAAACUUUGUUAGUGUUGUUUCUUUGCUAUUCUUUUACCCUUCUUGGUCAGAGCGAUGUAGUGGGAGCUGCAAGCUUCACGUGCUCAACUUUGGCAGAGAACUUUGGUAAAGUUAUCUGUGGUACCCAUGAGCUACUGUUGCGUGUGGGAAGUGGGUGAUUGAACAGUAAGAUUCAUGUGCCUUCUACUUCACCAGAAGUCUUCGACAUAAUGCCCAUAAUUUCCGCAAAGCUGAGUGUGCGUGUGACAGGUGCUGACAAGGCUGGAAAAGUAGGUGCCUCUUUGAUUUCUGAGAUCGACCCUCAUGGUCUCUGAGCAGCCCAGCUUUUGAGAAAGCAAGCGCCUCUUCGAUUUCUGAGAUCGGCCUUCGUGGUCUUUGAGCAACCCAGCUUUUGAGAAAGCAAACGCCUCUUCGGUUUCUGAGAUCAACCCUCGUGGUCUCUGAGAGUAAAGGUUGGGCAUGUUUGCUAGUCUACCUUGCCAUGAAGCACAUAGGUUGACACAUUCGGAGAGCGGUGUCUCUUCGAUUUUUGAGAAAGUAGUCAUGUUGGGAGUCUGGCUCUCGAGAUUCGGAGGACGGUGCCUCUUCGAUUUUGGAGCAAGCAAUCUUAUUGGGAGUGUUUUCUCAAAUGUGAGUAAAGGUUGGGCAUGUUUGCUAGUCUACCUUGCCACGAAGCACAGAGGUUGACACACAGGGACUUUCCAAUUAUCCAGCAGUGGUACUGUUCCUUUACCCUUAUGGGUAAUAAUAUGGUAGCUAGACCUUCAAAAUUUAUGUGUCUAAACUUUGUUAGUACUAUUUCUUUGCUAUUCUUUUACCCUUCUUGGUCAGAGCGAUGUAGUGGGAGCUGCAAGCUUCACGUGCUCAACUUUGGCAGAGAACUUUGGCAAAGUUAUCUGUGGUACCCAUGAGCUACUGUUGCGUGUGGGAAAUGGGUGAUUGAACAGUAAGAUUCAUGUGCUUUCUACUUCACCAGAAGUCUUCGACAGAAUGCCCAUAAUUUUCGCAAAGCUGAGUGUGCAUGUGACAGGUGCUGACAAGGUUGGAAAGGUAGGUGCCUCUUCGAUUUCUGAGAUCGGCCCUCGUGGUCUCUGAGCAGCCCAGCUUUUGAGAAAGCAAGCGCCUCUUCGAUUUCUGAGAUCAGCCUUCGUGGUCUUUGAGCAGCCCAGCUUUUGAAAAAGCAAACGCCUCUUCGAUUUCUGAGAUCAACCCUCGUGGUCUCUGAGCAGCCCAGCUUUUGAGAAAGCAAACGCCUCUUCGAUUUUUGAAGCUCCGUCGAGUGUAUAUUUUUAUAGGGGCUGGCAUUAAGUUCCAAAGCACACUUGAAUCUCCACCAGUAGAAGCUCCAUUCUUGUACUUCUAAGAUCUUGAUUUGUCCGACUUCUUCUCUCUUCAACACCUUUGAAAAUGUCUGGCCCCUCCGACCGUCGUUUUGACUUGAACCUUGUUGAAGAUGCAGCCCCGCCUUCUCAAGACAACAUAUGGCGCCCAUCCUUCGUCUCCCCUACUGGUCCUCUUACCGUUGGGGAUUCCGUGAUGAAGAAUGAUAUGACCGUUGCGGUGGUGGCCAGGAACCUUCUCACUCCCAAAGAUAACAGACUACUUUCCAAACGGUCUGAUGAGUUAGCUGUUAAGGAUUCUCUGGCUCUCAGUGUUCAGUAUGCAAGUUCUGUGUCUAAUAUGGCCCAACACCUAUUUGCUCGAACCCGUCAAGUUGAAUCAUUGGCGGCUGAAGUGAUGAGUCUCAAACAGGAGAUUAGAGGGCUCAAGCAUGAGAAUAAACAGUUGCACCGGCUCGCACAUGACUAUGCUACAAACAUGAAGAUGAAGCUUGACCAGAUGAAGGAAUCUGAUGGUCAGGUUUUACUUGAUCAUCAGAGAUUUGUGGGUUUGUUCCAAAGGCAUUUAUUGCCUUCGUCUUCUGGGGCUGUAUCGCGUAAUGAAGCUCUAAAUGAUCAACCUCUGAUGCCUCCUCCUUCUAGGGUUCUGUCCAGUACUGAGGCUCCGAAUGAUCCCCCUCCGGUGCCUUCUCUUUCUGGGGCUCUACCGACUGCUGAGACUUCUCCUAAGCAACCUUUGUGAAGGCUCCCUCUUGUUUGUUUAUUUUGACUCAUGUAUAUGUAUGUGUAGCUUAUCGGGGAUAUCAAUAAAUAAGCUUUCCUUCAUUUCAACAUAUUGUGUUAAAUACACCAAAGCCUUCUUCGCUAAGUUCUUUGAAUUUUCUUUUGUUGAAGCUUGUAUGUUGAAACUUUGUGAGUGGAUCAUGUAGGUUAAGGUAGUGUUCCCUUAUUUUCAUCAAUAUUGAUAUUUUAAACAAUGACAAUUCUUAGAAUACUGGAAUUCAUGUCAUUUUCAUAAACAAAUAAAUGGUUAAGAAAUGUAUAUAUUAGAAAAUUAAGAGCCAGAUUUAACUAAUAUUAAAUCGAUUUUAAAUCGGGUAGUAAAACAAAAUUAGGAAUCUGUGUCCUUUUCAUAAAUAAAUAAAUGGUUACAAAAUUUAUAUAUCAUAAAUUUAAAAGCCAGAAUUGACUUAUAUAAAAUCGAUUUUUAAUUGGGUAGAUGUAAUUUGUAAAACAAAAAUGUUUAAAAAACAAUUCUCUUAAAAAUGGUAUUCUGGUGCCAGGAUUCGAACCUGGAUGAAAACUCUUAACCGUAAGACUUUUUGUAGUGAGCAACAUCAGAUGAGUUGAUAGAUUAUGUAACGCCCCGCGCCCGAAAUAUUUAUUUUCAUAAAAUAAUUCCAAUGAUAAGCCUAAAUUAAAUUUUUUAUUUACAUUACAACCAAUAAUCACGAUUCCUUAUUUAAUUUUCUUAAUCCCUCACAAAAACUAUAACCCAUAAUUAACUUACCAAAACAUACGAUUAAAUUUUCAUAAUUUGUCACCAACUUCUACUCUUAAAACAACUUCCCAACUAAAGAUUAAAUCUCAAUUAUUAAGGCUACAUCUAACUCUUGUUAGACUGCCUACAUACCCUUUAGCGGGAUCAAGGCUUUCGUAGUUCAUAAAUCCGUUUAAAUCCAUUCUUAUAGCCGUUUCUGAAAAUAUUCUAGAAUUGGAAAUAUUCAACAUUAGCUUUCACAAUCGAAUCACAUCAAAUGAUUACCAAUUAUGGAUUUAAAUUGUCUAAAUUAGUAUUAAAAGGCAGCGUCGGCCCACUGGCCACGCGCCACCACGGGUGGCGAUCUCCAGUGAUCGGAAACCCCAAUUUCCGACAAACUCUACAAAUUACCAAAUUUUAUAGGGUUGUAGAGUUCAAUUAUAGGAACAACUUUCAUACUUGGGACGAAGUCCAAUUCGGCCAAGAAAAGCCCCAAUUUCACUCAAUUCCGUCUGAACCCUAGAAUUUGGGUGUCCUCAAUUAGUCAUCUCCCGUGCCCCGCCGCCCCAAACAAGGCUUGGUAGAUGUUCCUGGGUUCACAAGGAGUCUAACCAUGGUGGUAGUCAAUGGUGGUGGCUUCACAAACGGGAGAUCGCAGAAACGGACCCAUCGCACCCACCAAUGUAGGUUUCACUAAAUUAAAGCAUAUUUCCAUCGAAAUUGGGAUGGAAUUGGUGAAGGUAUCAAUUGGUAUCGAAGGGAGGGUUAUUUUUGGCACCGUUCCCAUCAUCAACGAUGGUCGGAAUAAAAAACAAUGGUCAGGUCGGGUCGGCGGGUUGAAGGAAGGUCUGGUUCCCUUCUCUCCUUUCCCUCCCUACCUCCCCCUCUGGUUGGUCCGUGUCUCUCGCCUUCUCUCCUUCCCUUUCCAUCACAGCCACACACGUGGCUUCUCAGAUCCUUGCUCCAGCAAAUCUGGAGCCUUUUAGAUAUUGGUCAAAUGACCAUUUUACUCCUAACUUCAAUUGUUAAUAACUUCUUCGUUAUAACUCCGUUUCAUGAACGGUUUUCGUCUACAUGUUCGUAGGGCCAUCCUUUAUCCAAAUAUAUCAAGAAAUCCGAUAAAAUAUAUGAGGAUAAAAUACAUCCUUGUAUAAUUACGUCAAACUAGUUAGGGCAUUUUCUUCUUUUCUACUUAACGAUAAAUUUUACUACGUAAAUUAUAAAAUUUCCGGAAACAAAACUUUAAAAGUUCACAAUUUUUUUUUCUUUCAUAACCAUAAAUUGAUUUAUUGUCGAUUUUUCUUCACAUAUUCAUAUAUUUAAAUUUUCAGGGUAUUACAGAUUAUGACAAAAUAAACCAUUUAAAUGUUCUCCUUACGUUAUGCAUUGCGCAUAUUGGAUAAACAAUUAGUGCACAUAAUGUGGUUAUCUGAUUUGUGGGGAAAGGUGAUGCUCACCGCUGACUUUUGGUUUAGAGACAGGCUCUCAAACUUAAAUAUAUCAGAUUUUGUUUGACAUUCGUAACAUAUUUUAAUAUUUUCACCGUUAUUGAUAUUUUAAACAAUGACAAUUCUUAGAAUACUGGAAUUCAUGUCCUUUUCAAUUUUCAUAAACAAAUAAAUGGUUAAGAAAUGUAUAUAUUAGAAAAUUAAGAGCUAGAAUUGACUAAUAUUAAAUCGAUUUUAAAUCGGGUAGUAAAACAAAAUUAGGAAUCCAUGUCCUUUUCAUAAAUAAAUAAAUGGUUAAGAAAUUUAUAUAUCAGAAAUUUAAAAACCAAAAUUGACUUAUAUAAAAUCGAUUUUUAAAUGGGUAGAUGUAAUUUGUAAAACAAUUUUUUUUUUAAAUAAUUCUCUUAUAAAUGGUAUUCCGGUGCCACGAUUCAAACCUGGAUGAAAACUCUUAACCGUAAAACUUUUUGUAUUGAGCAACACCGAACGAGUUGAUAGAUUAUGACGAAAUAAAAACAUAAUAAUUUCUUUCAAACUUAGUGAAUAACCUUCAGAAAAUAAAAACACCGAACGAGUUCAUAGAUUAUGACAAAUUAGUGGAUAAACACCUUCAGAAAAUAAAAACACCGAACGAGUUCAGCGGUGAGCAUCACCAUUCCCCACAAAUCAGAUAACCACAUUAUGCGCACAAAGAAUCAAUCAAAACAUAAUAAUUGAAUGAACGAGGAUUUCUUUCAUUUUUUCCAAAUUUUCUGAAGGUUUUUUCUAUAAGAACUUUUCUCUGACCAAUGCUUUCUAACAUUUCAUCAUUUUUUUUUAAAUUACACAAAUUCUUUGCAUACAUUGUUGUUAAAAAGAAAAUUUCUAUUAUUAAGGAGAGAGUUCGAAACUAUUGAAUUAUGGAAGAUGGACUUUUGAACUCGAGACACGGGUAGAAACCUAACACCUAUCCACUAGGACAUUAGAUCACCAGAGGUGGUCCUGGUUUUUUGGUGCCGACUGCCCAUGAACACUCAAAAUGUGCUUUUUUCCAGUACAACAUAAAUUAAACUGAAAGAUUUAAAAAGGGCUGGAGCCAGUCGAAGCUGUUGGGACAUUCUUCCAAAGAGGGAGAUGAAAUCGUUGAGGCUCUUACAGAUCCCACGUCACUGUCUUCAUUCAGCAGUUUUCCUCCAUCUACAUCAACAACUGCACGUUGCUCAAGAAGGUACUUCUAAAAAUUGAAAGUCAAACGAUAAAUUAUUAAGAAACAUUGAAUAUAAGCAUGAAACAAAGAAAAUGUUACGGAAUGGUGAUCCUCAUCCUCAAAGAUGAUUAAAAGCAAUUUGAUUCAAAAAUGACAUAUCAACUCUGGAGAAAUGGAAGACAAACAUGUGGUACCAUAUUCGCAACAGAGGUUAUGAAAGCUGAAAUCGAUUGUUCCUGUGUGCAUUGAUAAGUAAGACUACCGUAGAGAUUCACAACUAAGUAAAGACAGGUAUUCCACAGAACAACCCUGACCUCUUUGGAAACACAGAUCUAACAAAAACUAAAACAUUUUGGAUUAAUAUUGACUAAUCAAGAAUAAUGCAAGGGAGCAAAAGAGAUACUCUUCCUUCUAAUAACAAGAAGGCAUAAAAAGUAUACAGAGUUCCAACAAUUAGAGAACUUAAAUCAAACUAAAAAAAUCACCAAAGUAGACAGAAUUUCACUUCGCCAAAAAUUUGAAAAUAUAUCCUUUUUAUCCACUGAGAAUCAUAAACUACUACUACUACAUCAUGCCAAUAAGCAAUGCGUAAGAGGUGCUACAAUUUACCAAUAUAUUUACCCUGAGAACAAGUUUUGAAAUCAUCUCUAGUGUUAACAGCACCUUGCGUCCUUGGGUAAGCUGAGUCCUAGUAUCAAGUAAAGAGACCAAUCAGUACAUAUCCAAAAGAUCUUAAAUGCUUGUAAUACCAAAUAAGAAAGAAACAUGAGUAUAUCUUGAGUUAACCAUGCAAAAAUGUAAUGUUAAGGCAUCUUGUCAUACAGACCUCUUCAAGGUACCAGAAAUUUUUGCACUAAAGAUGUCACAAGCGGCUGAUAUGAAGCUGCAUUUUCUGUGAGUUGAGAUUUUGUCAAUAUAAUCGAUCACCUGAAGAGAGAGAGAGAGAGAGAGAGAGAGAGAGAGAGAAAGACAGUGAUAUCCAGAGAUGUGAGCCUAAAGGCUGAGUGUGUAAAAAAUAAGAUUAAAUGGAUAGCAAGAAUAUACAACUUUAAUGCCGAAAAGAACAUUAUAUGAUGCUCAUUCAUCAUUGCCAUUGAACGUGUACCUUCUUCUUUUCCUCUUUCUCAAAAGGAAGUAGACCCUUGAAGACUUGCCUAUAUGAUCCAUCAUCACAACCAGGCAAAGUCAUUUUAAUCAUAGCAACAAUGGCUCUAACUACCUGCCAUAAGAAACAUGCUACAUCAACAAGAUCACAGAGUGUACCAGAAACCGUAAUGUAGCAAAAUCUUAGAUAGAAUAGCUGGCCAAAAGGGAAUGGAAAAGCAAGCACAAAAAACAAUGAAAAGGACCAGUGAUGCCAAAAUUCAGGUGUUUAUAACUUUAAGUUCUACGUAGCAAAAACCACCUUAUGCACAACAAUAUUGGAAAAAUUAGAUACAUACAACUGAGAAGAUAGGUUUUCAUAAUCUGGACAAGUGCUAACUACCUUCUUCCUAUAAACUGCCACUCCAUGAACAUUAAAUGGUAUUUUCGUUUCACGCAAGGCUGUCUGGAAGACUUUUCCUGAUACCUGUAGUAUAAAAUACAAAAGAAAAUGUGACCAAAAUGUCUUAUAUGAUUCACCUCAUUCACAUUAGCACUAGGGCAAGCAAGCUUGACCUGCCUCCGGUAAAGGAUUGCUAUAUUUCCAUAGGAGCACCCUGCUUCUGACAGUUAGAUGCAGUCUCCAGGAUCUUGUCGACAACAAAGGCGCAUUAUGCAUCCUCAUUGUGACUUUCCUUGAUAAUUACCUACAUUUUGCCAGUAAAACCAGUGUCACUAACUAAAAAGACUGAAAAAUGACAUCAAAUUGUACUUGUUGGAGCAAGGAAAGAUUAGGUACAUUAGACCCAGAAGAAUUGUCGGUGUCAACAUUCUUUAGUUGGCAUCACUUCUUAUUGUUUUUUAUAACAGAAGAUGCAGCUUCCACAAUAUAGCGUGUGGACCGAUAGUUUUUAUUAAGCCUAAUCUGAACCAUAAAGUUAUGUCAAAUCCCACAGAACCCCAUAAAAUAAAACUUACUUUCCUGUAAUUAUACAAUAUAUUUGUUCUAUACUAUAUAUAAUGAAAAAAGACACUGAAUGACAUAAGAUAAACAUAGCAGUUAAGUGCGAAGGAACCUCUUUGUAAUUUGAAAAAUCUUUACAAAAAGAAUCAAAUCCAGAACUGUCCGCCCCGUUGAAACUGAAAAUGGACUGCAGCAGGAUAUAUGUUAUUUGAUUUAGAACAGAUAAGGGCUGGAUUAGAAUGAGCUGAGAGAGAGAGAGAGGGAGAGAGGGAGCAAUAAGAUUGGAUUUCCAUAAUAAAUCAACAACAUGCCUGAUCAUCAUCACCAACAAUGGUUAUGUGGUUAUGAGAGGCGAGAAUCCGCAAAAGACUAUACUGCAUAGCACUUGUGUCUUGAAACUCGUCUAUUACAAUAGCUUUCCAUGACUCCUGGCACUCCUCCGACACUAAUUAAGAGAACACCAUGUAUCAACAUUUAGCAUUACUUGUAAAACUAGAUAAAUCAAUUUAAUAUACUUAGAUGAUAGAGACCUUCAGGAAAAUCACUUAGCAGCUAAUUAAGUCAUGGUAGUCCAAAGCGUUGCACGAUUCCUAAGAAUUUCACCCUGAUUCAGAUUGAGAUCUAAAACUCAUAAGCAAUAGUUUCAGAGAACUGAAAUGAUAACUGAAAUUCUAGAACUGAAAUGAUAACUGAACAACAACAAAAACAACAACAAAGCCUUUUCCCACUAAGUGGGGUCGGCUAUAUGAAUCCUAGAACGCCAUUGCGCUCGGUUUUGUGUCAUGUCCUCCGUUAGAUCCAAGUACUCUAAGUCUUUUCUUAGAGUCUCUUCCAAAGUUUUCCUAGGUCUUCCUCUACCCCUUCGGCCUUGAACCUCUGUCCCGUAGUCACAUCUUCGAACCGGAGCGUCAGUAGGCCUUCUUUGCACAUGUCCAAAUCACCGGAACCGAUUUUCUCUCAUCUUUCCUUCAAUUUCGGCUACUACUACUUUACCUCGGAUAUCCUCAUUCCCAAUCUUAUCCUUUCUCGUGUGCCCACACAUCCCACGAAGCAUCCUCAUCUCCGCUACACCCAUUUUGUGUACGUGUUGAUGCUUCACCGCCCAACAUUCUGUGCCAUACAACAUCGCUGGCCUUAUUGCCGUCCUAUAAAAUUUUCCCUUGAGCUUCAGUGGCCUACGACGGUCACACAACACGCCGGAUGCACUCUUACACUUCAUCCAUCCAGCUUGUACUCUAUGGUUGAGAUCUCCAUUUAAUUCUCCGUUCUCUUGCAAGAUAGAUCCUAGGUAGCGGAAACGGUCGCUUUUUGUGAUCUUCGCUAGAUUGCUCCGGUCAUUAGUGUGGAAUGGAUAGUGAUAGGAAAGCAAACACAAGAUGUACGUGGUUCACCCAGAUUGGCUACGUCCACGGAAUAGAGUUCUCAUUAAUUGUGGAGGGUUUACACAAGUACAUAGGUUCAAGCUCUCCUUUAGUGAGUACAAGUGAAUAAUUUAGUACAAAUGACAUUAGGAAAUAUUGUGGGAGAAUGAUCUCGUAAUCACGAAACUUCUAAGUAUCGGAGUGUGGUAUCGUCUUGACUCGCCUUAUCUGUCUCAUAGGUAGAUGUGGCAUCUUCUCUGGAAGUACUCUUCCUCCAUCCAGAGGUGGUAUCUUUAACUGGUGGAGAUGCAGAAGGUAAUGUAUCAAUUUCACUUGAAGCUUACUUGUAGUUUCAGGCUUGGUCAAGCGCGAUACAAACCAUGUAGUAGGAGUCCCCCAAGUCGCCGAGCUAGGGGAUCUGCUGAAAGAGGUGACAGACAAGGUAAGCAAUCAGAGCUCCGGCUGAUUGUUCACAUUCUCCCUAUCUUGCAGGCAGCAUGAAGGAUAAAGAGAAGAAAAAUGAGAAAAGAUGAUAUGGGAUACUUUUGCUUUUGAAGAAGUAACUUUCCACAGGCUUAUUCUUGAACUGAGCUGGAGGGUUUUCUGGUUUCCUCCAGAGUAUAAGGCCGACUGAAGAAUUUGAGGGUCAAAACAAGUCCAUCAAAUCUAGAGUACGUUCGACCCUGCUGAUAUAGGAUACUUUUGCUUUUGACAGAGUAAUGGAUGUAUCGGCACGUGUGCUGUUACGCUUGUCUCCACAUGCUUCCUUGUAUCCUUCUCACUUGCCCUAUCUGUUCCUCAGGCAGAUGCGAUAUCUUCCCUGGAAGCAUAAGAUGUUGAAGAUGAGUACUCGAGAGCAAUGCCAGGUAAGUAAUCAGGUAAGGGGUUCCAGGCAAUCAGUUCCUAGCUGGAAGCUUGAUUCCAAGUGCUGAUUGAUUGCUCUCUUUCUCCUUGUCUUGCAGGUAAGAACAAGGUCAAAGGAAAAGACAGGGAAAAAGCAUGAUAUGGGAUACUCUUGCUUUUUAACCCUGAUGAUAUGAGAUAUUCUUGCUCUAGUAUAGCUUGUUUGCAGAGGUAUUAUCGGGGGGAAAGAAAGCUGAAUAUUUCGAAAGGCUUCGUUGGGAAUGCCCUCUCAGAUAUGAGGAAGGGUUGAGCAUUUUUGCAGGUCUGCCUGUCCGUUGGGGAUGGAGGUCGACAUAUAUAGGAGUCUCCCUAACAACAAGUAGUAAUGCUAUUCCUUUAACCUGCUUGGUCAUAGCACGGUAGUUGGAGCUGCCAGCUUCACAUGUUUUAACUUUGUCAGAGCACUUUGAAAAAGUUGUCUGUGGUAUCUGGAAAGCUGAUGUUGCAUGUGAAGAUUACAGACAAGCUUUAUCCAAGGAGAUCCGGCUCUUGAAGUUGGGAAAAUUGUGCCUCUUCGGUUUUCGAACAAGCAAUCCUAUCGGGGAUCUGGCUCUCGAGAUUCGGAGAACGAUGUCACUUCGAUUUUUGAGAAAGCAAUCAUGCUGGGGGUCUGGCUCUCGAGAUUCGAAGAGCGGUCUCUUCGAUUUUUGAGAAAGUAAUCAUGUUGGGAGUCUGGCUCUCGAGAUUCGGAGGACGGUGCCUCUUCGAUUUUGGAGCAAGCAAUCUUGUUGGGAGUGUUUUCUCGAAUGUGAGUAAAGGUUGGGCAUGUUUGUUAGUCUACCUUGCCACGAAGCAUAGAGGUUGACACACAGGGACUUUCCAAUUAUCCAGCAAUGGUACUGUUCCUUUACCCUCUCUUCGAUUUUUGAGAAAGUAGUCAUGUUGGGAGUCUGGCUCUCGAGAUUCGGAAGACGGUGCCUGUUCGAUUUUGGAGCAAGCAAUCUUGUAAUCUUGUUGGGAGUGUUUUCUCGAAUGUGAGUAAAGGUUGGGCAUGUUUGCUAGUCUACCUUGCCACGAAGCACAGAGGUUGACACACAGGGACUUUCCAAUUAUCCAGCAGUGGUACUAUUCCUUUACCCUUGUGGGUAAUAAUAUGGUAGCUAGACCUUCAAAAUUUAUGCGUCUAAACUUUUAGUUGUGUUUUCUUUGCUAUUCUUUUACCCUUCUUGGUCAAAGCGAUGUAGUGGGAGCUGCAAGCUUCACGUGCUCAACUUUGGCAGAGAACUUUGGCAAAGUUAUCUGUGGUACCCAUGAGCUACUGUUGCGUGUGGGAAGUGGGUGAUUGAACAGUAAGAUUCAUGUGCUUUCUACUUCACCAGAAUGCCCAUAAUUUCCGCAAAGCUGAGUGUGCGUGUGACAGGUGCUGACAAGGCUGGAAAAGUAGGUGCCUCUUCGAUUUCUGAGAUCGGCCCUCAUGGUCUCUGAGCAGCCCAGCUUUUGAGAAAGCAAGUGCCUCUUCGAUUUCUGAGAUCGGCCUUCGUGGUCUUUGAGCAUCCCAACUUUUGAGAAAGAAAACGCCUCUUCGAUUUCUGAGAUCAACCCUCGUGGUCUCUGAGAGUAAAGGUUGGACAAGUUUGCUAGUCUACCUUGCCAUGAAGCACAGAGGUUGACACACAGGGAAUUUCCAAUUAUCCAGCAAUGGUACUGUUCCUUUACCCUUAUGGGUAAUAAUAUGGUAGCUAGACCUUCAAAAUUUAUGUGUCUAAACUUUGUUAGUGCUGUUUCUUUGCUAUUCUUUUACCCUUCUUGGUCAGAACGAUGUAGUGGGAGCUGCAAGCUUCACGUGCUCAACUUUGGCAGAGAACUUUGGCAAAGUUAUCUGUGGUACCCAUGCGCUACUGUUGCGUGUGGGAAGUGGGUGAUUGAACAGUAAGAUUCAUGUGCUUUCUACUUCACCAGAAGUCUUCGACAAAAUGCCCAUAAUUUCCACAAAGCUGAGUGUGCGUGUAAUAGGUGCUGACAAGGCUGGAAAAGUAGGUGCCUCUUCGAUUUCUGAGAUCGGCCCUCGUGGUCUCUGAGCAGCCCAUCUUUUGAGAAAGCAAGCGUCUCUUUGAUUUCUGAGAUCGGCCUUCGUGGUCUUUGAACAGCCCAGCUUUUGAGAAAGCAAACUUCUCUUCGAUUUCUGAGAUCAACCCUCGUGGUCUCUGAGCAGCUCAGCUUUUGAGAAAGCAAACGCCUCUUCGAUUUUUGAGCAGACGCCUCUUCGAUUUCUGAAGCUCCGUCGAGUGCAGAUUUUUAUAGGGGCUGACAUUAAGUUCCAAAGCACACUUGAAUCUCCACCAGUAGAAGCUCCAUUCUUGCACUUCUAAGAUCUUGAUUUGUCCGACCUCUUCUCUCUUCAACACCUUUGAAAAUGUCUAGCCCCUCCGACCGUCGUUUUGACUUGAACCUUGUUGAAGAGGCAGCCCCGCCUUCUCCAGACAACAUAUGGCGCCCAUCCUUCGUCUCCCCUACUGGUCCUCUUACCGUUGGGGAUUCCGUGAUAAAGAAUAAUAUGACCGCUGCGGUGGUGGCCAGGAACCUUCUCACUCCCAAAGAUAACAGACUACUUUCCAAACGAUCUGAUGAGUUAGCUGUUAAGGAUUCUCUGGCUCUCAGUGUUCAGUGUGCAGGUUCUGUGUCUAAUAUGGCCCAACGCCUAUUUGCUCGAACCCGUUAAGUUGAAUCAUUGGCGGCUGAAGUGAUGAGUCUCAAACAGGAGAUUAGAGGGCUCAAGCAUGAGAAUAAACAGUUGCACCGGCUCGCACAUGACUAUGCUACAAACAUGAAGAGGAAGCUUGACCAGAUGAAGGAAUCUGAUGGUCAGGUUUUACUUGAUCAUCAAAGAUUUGUGGGUUUGUUCCAAAGGCAUUUAUUGCCUUCGUCUUCUGGGGCGGUACCGCGUAAUGAAGCUCCAAAUGAUCAACCUCUGAUGCCUCCUCCUUCUAGGGUUCUAUCCAGUACUGAGGCUCCGAAUGAUCCCCCUCCGGUGCCUUCUCUUUCUGGGGCUCUACCGACUGCGAGACUUGUCCUAAGCAACCUUUGUGAAGGCUCCCUCUAGUUUGUUUAUUUUGACUCAUGUAUAUGUACAUAUUUGUAGCCUAUCAGGGAUAUCAAUAAAUAAGUUUUCCUUCAUUUCAACAUAUUGUGUUAAAUACACCAAAGCCUUCUUCGCUAAGUUCUUUGAAUUUUCUUUUGUUGAAGCUUGUAUGUUGAAGCUUUGUGAGUGGAGCAUGUAGGUUGAGGUAGUGUUCCUUUAAUUUCCCGAGUGAGGAAAACUUCUCGGUUGGAGACUUGAAAAAUCCAAGUCACUGAGUGGGAUCGGCUAUAUGAAUCUUAGAACGCCAUUGUGCUCGGUCCCGUGUCAUGUCCUUCGUUAGAUCCAAGUACUCUUAAGUCUUUUCUUAGAGUCUCUUCCAAAGUUUUCCUAGGUCUUCCUCUACCACUUCGGCCCUGAACCUCUGUCCCAUAGUCGCAUCUUCUAAUCGGAGCGUCAGUAGGCCUUCUUUGCACAUGUCCAAACCACCAUAACCGAUUUUCUCUCAUCUUUCCUUCAAUUUCGGCUACUCCUACUUUACCCCGGAUAUCCUCAUUCCUAAUCUUAUCCUUUCUCGUGUGCUCACACAUCCAACGAAGCAUCCUCAUCUCCGCUACACCCAUUUUGUGUACGUGUUGAUGUUUCACCGCCCAACAUUCUGUGCCAUACAGCAUCGCCGGCCUUAUUGCAGUCCUAUAAAAUUUUCCCUUGAGCUUCAGUGGCAUACGGCGGUCACAUAACACGCCGAAUGCACUCUUCCACUUCAUCCAUCCAGCUUGUAUUCUAUGGUUGAUAUCUCCAUCUAAUUCUCCGUUCUUUUGCAAGAUAGAUCCUAGGUAACGAAAACGAUCGCUCUUUGGUAUUUCUUGAUCUCCGAUCCUCACCCCUAACUCGUUUUGGCCUCCAUUUGCACUGAACUUGCACUCCAUAUAUUCUGUCUUUGAUCGGCUUAGGCGAAGACCUUUAGAUUCCAACGCUUCUCUCCAAAGGUUAAGCUUUGCAUUUACCCCUUCCUGAGUUUCAUCUAUCAACACUAUAUCGUCUGCGAAAAGCAUACACCAAAGAAUAUCAUCUUGAAUAUGUCCUGUUAACUCAUCCAUUACCAACGCAAAAAGGUAAGGACUUAAGGAUGAGCCUUGAUGUAAUCCUACAGUUAUGGGAAAGCUUUCGGUUUGUCUUUCAUGAGUUCUUACAGCAGUCUUUGCUCCUUCAUACAUAUCUUUUAUAGCUUGGAUAUAUGCUACUCGUACUCCUUUCUUCUCUAAAAUCCUCCAAAGAAUGUCUCUUGGGACCCUAUCAUACGCUUUUUCCAAAUCUAUAAAGACCAUGUGUAAAUCCUUUUUCCCAUCUCUAUAUCUUUCCAUCAAUCUUCGUAAGAGAUAGAUUGCCUCCAUGGUUGAGCGCCCUGGCAUGAACCCGAAUUGGUUGUCCGAAACCCGUGUCUCUUGCCUCAAUCUAUGCUCAAUGACUCUCUCUCAGAGCUUCAUUGUAUGACUCAUUAACUUAAUACCCCUAUAGUUCAUGUAAUUUUGUACGUCGCCCUUAUUCUUGUAGAUAGGCACCAAAAUGCUCGUUCGCCACUCAUUUGGCAUCUUCUUCGUUUUCAAAAUCCUAUUGAAAAGGUCAGUGAGCCAUGUUAUACCUGUCUCUUCCAAAACUUUCCACACUUCGAUUGGUAUAUCGUUUGGGCCUAUUGCUUUUCUAUGUUUCAUCUUCUUCAAAGCUACAACUACUUGGAAAAAGCGUAUCAUACGCUCCCAAACAACUUUGAGUGGAAUCGUUCGAAAAGAAGUUUCUAUGGCCCCCUUGCUCAUUUAACACUGCAUCCGGAUGCUGAUGGAGAUACAGCGACCCUUGCUCACUUAUCACUGUGCUCGGGCCACACAGCGCGCCACUUACGGGUGACGCCCUAGAUUUAGCGCGAUUUCGUUCUGGAUUCAUUUUCAUAAGGAUUCGACGUGAUCAUGGAGUGCCGGCUGUCGACUACCUGACGCCCUCCCCCUCCUCCUUUAUCCGGGCUUGGGACCGGCAAUGUAAGAACAUAGGCGGAGUUAACUGAAAUGAUAACUGAAACAUAAAUAAAUUUAGAAUUCAAGACUAACCUGUGUAGCUAAUAUAUUCUAGCUUGAUUGUAGCUAAUAUUUUUUAAAUCGAAUGAAUGUUGUUCUUAAUCCACUAUAAUCUGAACAUUAAAUUUGGUAUUCAUGACUAACCUGUGUCACGAACUUUAGCCAUUUCUUUGAUGGAUCCUUAAAAUGAUGUGGAGAUGUUACGCCAUUACUCUUCCCCAUCUAUAGCAACAUUAAGAUUCGUUUUACUCUUUUCAUCUUCUGAUAACCGCACAGCUUCAAUGACUGCUCUUCUCUGUUGCCCAUGUCCAUAUAUAAAAAAUUCUGGUGUGCGCUCAAGUCUAAAACACAAGCCAACAUAACAGACUCAGCUAUACCACCAUAGGUAUGGUGUUCAAAAUCAAGGGAGGUGAAUCAAUAGCUUACUUCUCAGCAUGUGAUCGGCAAAGUUGCAAUGAAAAUGAAUGAAAUGUACUGAUUGUUAGUAGUUUUGCCGUUCCUUUCCCAGUCACAGAUCCAAUUCGAUCUCUCAUCUCGGAAGCUGCUGCUGUAGUGAAAGUCAUUGCUAGAAUGUUAGACGCGCUCAUGCCCUAAGAACACAAAAAAAAAAGGAAUAAGAUUUCGAUCAUAAACAAGAAAUGUAGAGAAACAGACAAUUAAGAAAGAAAAAGUUAGAGGGAAAGUGGCAACACCUCAUUGAGCAGCAUUAGAACCCGCCCAACCAUCGUUGAAGUCUUUCCACUUCCAGGGCCGGCAACAAUCAUCAAAGGUACUGAAAUAUCGCUGCAAGCUGCCUCCCGCUGCCUUUCGUUGAGAGAAAGCAAAUACUUCGAAUACUCAUCCGGCAUGUUAGGCAAUCCAUGGUUAACAGAAUCUGUUUGGUUUUCACUACUCAGAGGUGGCGCUGAUGCGGCAUUAACAUCGCUACCACAACUCCCAAUAUCAUCACGCUGAAUGUCCCCACUCGGUUUCUGCUCAAUUAAAGCGUCAAUUUCCUGCAAAAUACUCUCAUCGAAAUCAUCAUCCUCGAGAAUUCCAGACGCAGAGAAAGAAUCGAAUGAAGUCGGAAACUGCGGUUGUUUGAUUGGAAUUGUGAAAGAAUCCGAUUUUGACACGCUUGAUUCAGUCCGGCUAGCGCUUAAGCUCCCGGAACACGACGCACUGCCAUAUUCAGUCCGGCUUGUAGAAAUCGGAGGCGGUGUGUUCAUCGGUAGCUCGGCAAGAGGAGUUCUGUGAACUCUAUUGAGCUGAGCUGGCGUUUGGAUUCCAUUUCCGCCACAAAUUCUGGAAUUUGAAAAACACAAUUGAAUUGAUUUAAAUUGAAUCAAGAAAACAGCCGAGUACCAAAAAAGUAGUAAGAAGAUGAAAUCUUUGAUUCCUGAACGACUUACUUGGUAUGAGGGAGGUGAUGAUCAGUCAAAACGGCGUCGUUGCGGGGGCGUUUGCGAUCAAUGAGGGCCUUGGCGGCUCUGAAAUUCCCAGAGAUGCGGUUUCUUUUGAUAGGAUCACAGAUCUCAGGACCCUAUUCAACCUACAAGCAGCAAUAGAAAUGACAAAUGGAGAAGACGAAGUAGAAGGGAGCAGGGCUCCAAUAUAUUUUUUUGGUUUUGUAUUUCUGUUUGUAAAAUCUGAUCUGCUACAUUUGAGGGAGCUGGACUCCUUUUAUACAAACUCUACUUCUUAAAAUGCCAGCUGGCAUAUUUAACAAUUCUUAACAAAUCAAUUAAAGCAUAAAACCUCAGUAAUAAUUUGGGUCAUAACAAUACUUCCCCCUUGAAGAACAACCUUGUCCUCAAGGUUGAAAGUUGAAAAACUUAUUUGAACGAGUAGAAACUAGGAGUCUUGCAACAGAAGGGAAGCUGCAGGGACUGCAAAUACAAUCUGCAUGUAGCUCUCAACUUUUGGAGAUGAGCCUGACAGCACCCCUGUACUUGUUAUGGCAGCUCCCCACAACUUGGUAAGUGAGCACUUGUUACCCGUAGCCUCUUCAUAAAUUUCAACCCACGAUAUCAUUUCAACUUCCAUGCUAGUUGCCAAAAAGCAUGCAGCAUCAAAUGGAGAAAAUGGGCCAACUCCCAGGGAACCUGCCAGAGGAUCAUUCUCAACGAAUGCAGCUACUAAAGCAAUUGGACCCUUGCCAAGAAUUAUAACCUUAGAGAUGGUUAUGAGCCUGAUAUCCUCAAAAGCAAGACGAGCGGUCUGAUUGAUAAGAGACUGCCUAAGAUUAACUAUCCUCUUCUUAGGUCCAACACACCAUUCCUUGCUCCGAAUGUAGCCAUCCUUCAUCACACCAAACCGAGGGAAGCCACCCAUGGGAGUGAUGUCUUUCUCAGUCAUCUUCCCCUCAUGGAGGCACAUUUCAUAGUUUUUUUCAGUGAAACUAGGACCACCUAAUGUCGGAUUGUCAAAAAACUCCUGAAAUAAGCUGAUGGAUGGGAGCAGUCUAUAUUGGAUAUUGAAACUUGCAAUUCUUUCUGAAUCAUUGAAAUCACUGUACUUUAAACUGUCAUUAGCAACACCGAUAUUAUGCAUGGAAGAUUUAAAGGACCUGAGCAAACCCAAAGCUUCAACCAUGUCCUUCAUCACCUCUGUUAAGGUGUACAAUUGGCAUUUGAAUUCAUAUGAUGGCUCAAUAGUAUCAAGUUCCAAAAAUUUAAACAACUCAUUUUGCCAACUUACACUCACGGUAAGACAAACAUGCAAAAACCAUGCAAAGACAAAUAUGUUGGACAUCCUUUCUGAAGAACAGGCAAAGAAAUAACACCAACAGCAACCAAAUGAAAUAACACCAGCAGCAACCAAUACAUUGAUGUGUACCAUAUUGUCUAACAAAAUUACUUUAAGCUGAUGACUGACUUUGCAGAUACGUCCAUAAUCGUACAACCAUGCAUAAACACUAGCACCAUCAAAUCUUAGAUUUGGCCUGAAUACUAUUACCUCUUCACUACCAAAAGUGAGCAUCUGAAUACGUCUGCCGGUUUUCUUAUGAUGCAACUCCAGCUCUACCAACAUCCAUCUUUUACCAAUCACAUAAGAGAAAACAUAAUGACUUACACAAUGUUGCUCAGGUACAGUCAUAUAUGGUGUUGUCCGAGAUUUCCAUUGCUCCUUGAAAUGCAUUCCAUAAACCAAGAAAAAUAAGAUUGAAGUAGUAGUUGUUCCAUCCUCCUUGAAAGAGAUGAGAAUGCAGGGCCUCUCCAUCAACCAUAUUGUAUAAUUCCUCUGAUUGAAGACAACCCUUUGAGAAGAUAUAUUGUCACAAGGAUUAGUGAGAGUGUGACACCAACCCGGUUGCUGGAAAAUCUGGUCAUUCGCUACGCAAUUAGGAAAGAAAACAGUAUCGAGGUGUACAUCAACACUAUUACAUAAUUCCGGAUUCAAUUUCGAUAACAAGCUGGUGAGAAUAGAAUAGUCAAGCUGGGAAAUGGCCAUGACUGUUAAUGCACAUCUGUGUAACAGUGAUAAGCAGAGGAACUGCUUGAUAGCAUUGAUAUAACCCAAAGUCCCAUUCUCCUCAGUCAAACUAGCUGCAAGAUCUUUAGGCAAAGAACGACAAACAAGUACAACAAUAUCCAAAGCUUCCAGGUUGCUACUCAAUGACAUAUUCUCCAUAUUAUGCCUCUUAGACAUUUCAUCAAAUAGAUGCAAUGCAUAGAAAUUCUUCUUCACAAAUUUACCCACAAGGUACCAAUUAACCCAGCCAUACUUAGCAUUCAAAAAAACAUGAUAUACAAUCGCAUUAUGACCAGUAUAGCAUGCAAUUACACCAUACAAAAGCAAUACCUCAUGUCCACGUACCAUUCCUAACUCCCAUAGCCCACUAGGUAGCUGAUACCAAACAUGAAGUUUCUUCUUGAUGAAAUAUCCAAUGUUGUCAUCGUAAACCGACUGUGUAAUCUUCUCUCCCAGUCUCAUUCGACAAUCUUCCAGUGGCCUAAUUUUGGAGCCUCCACCCUUAUCCCGAAUGCCAUUGCAGUAGCACAUGUCACGAUUGAGAACAACAUAGCCACUUGAGUCUGGAAUUUCAUCAAACAGGUUCCAUGCACAAAAAUCCUCAGGUCCAUUUUUCGUAGUAUCAGAGAACGAGUGCUUAUGGAGUAGCCGCGGAGCAGAGGUCAUCGUCUUCGAUCCCGGAAGCAAAAUUGUAGCUGCAUCAGAGUUGUUCGAGUGUGGCUUCACGGGCGGAGUUGCCAGUGCUUGCAACAACGGUGAAGAUGAGAGUAACGGCGGAACGGAAUGGACUUCAAUUGGCGAUGGAAUUCUCGGUGGAUUGUCGUCUCCUUGAAGUCCGGGAUGAUCGAGAUUGAUUGAUUGAAUCGUUGGGGUAGGAUCGGAAACUUCCCCGACACCAAGAGUCAAGUGAUGGCGGAACAGAGCAAGGUCACGGCGGACUGCGGCGGCUAUUGAAUCUAUAGCCUUGUGGAAAGCCUCCUCCGUACGCCUGAAUGUUUUCCUUGGACAUUGCUUCGAAGAUUCCGACGGAAGAUUUGGCCUGACAGCCUGACCAGGCAACCCUAGAAAGAAGAAGGAGCGAAGAAGACCAAAUGUGUCCGUUUUUCCUUUGGUUUUUUUCCCUCCUAAUCGAGUUGUUCGAAAUAAUUGGGCCUGGGCCUAGUGGGCCCAAUUGUCAGGCCCAUUAUCUCCUGUCUUCUAGUUCUACUUCCAAUUUCCCAAGUUAACAACGUACUGGUUCGCUUUUAGCGCGAGAGAGAAAUGGAGGCCCUGAUUGCCUCGUACGGAGACUCGUCGUCGGACUCAGACUCCGAGUCGCCGGCUCCACCUCCACCGCCACCUCCGGAGCUCAAAAACUCUCAAGAAUCGACCACUGCGCUGCCUCCACCUCCUCUGUCACUUCUCGACAGCCCAAUUCCUUCGGUAACCUCUGAUUCCCAUAAAUAUUCUAUCUUUUAACUUUCUGUUGUGAUGGCUUUUUCCGAGUUGCCCACCAAGUGUUUGAUGUUUUGCCUCUAAAGGAUUUCUGGACUUCUCCCCAAGCGCCCAGCCGAGCAGAGUUCGGAACUUUCCUCACGUCGAAGGGAACUACGCAGUACAUGUAUACAUCCCAGGUAAUCAAAAUUCUCGAAAUUUUCAGCUCCAUUAGCAAAUGCGAUCCCUUUGCACUUAGAUUUUGCUUGUUUAAUUGUGUGGUUCCAGUUUAUAUACCACCAGCACCAAGGAAAGAGAUGGCCUUGUUUUUGAACAAGCUUGCUUCUCUGGUGCCUGGUCUCCACGCCGUUGACGUUGACGUCCCGCUUGACAUUCUGCGUAAGGACGAGCAUAAGCUUGAACAAGUUGCUUUAGGCAGAGAGUUCCAUAUAAGUCUCGGAAGAACUGUUCCGAUUCGGGUGCACCAGAUUAAUUCCUUGGUGACAAUGCUGCGGCAGAAGCUUCAGAUUCAGAGGCGGUAUGGUUGCAUUUACCUUCUCUUGUGUGCAUUGCGUGAAUUUAGUUCUGUUAUUUAACAUAAUUGUUUAAGCCUGCAGAUAUUUUGUCCAUUUUUGGUUUUUAACACAUUUGGUUAUUGUGGAACAGGUAUUGGAUUGAUUUUUGCAAGUAGGAGGUUUUUGUUAACGAUGAUCAGACCCGGACCUUUGUGUCGAUCGAAGUCAUUGCUGCUGGGUUAGCUGAGGUAUGAUUGCUAGCUUUCUCUCUUGGUGCAAUUCAAAAUGUUUUGAGUUGUUUAUGGACUUAAGAUUUAGCAAGUACUUGCCGAAGGUCAUGGGAUUUUGAAAUAUCGAUAUCUUGCUUAUAGAUUGUUUGGUCUUCGAUGCACUUGUUACCUGAAAAGUAAAAAUGUAAAAGAUCAUGAAAAGUCCAAACGAAACAUAAUGGAUGUAUGAUAUGCUCAUGCUUCUAACAUGUGUUGUCCUGGCAUAAAUUAUGUUCCAAAUACCGUCAUUUGCGUGUAAGCCUAUGAACUUAGAGCACGUUUGGUAUGCCGGGUAAGAUUGGAUUUGGUAUUUCAGACUGCUUAGGUUAGGAUUGGAUUGGGUAGGUUAGGUUUUUUGUCUAAUGUUUGGUGUAGACUGUCGCAACAACGCUCGUGAGCCUCCACAUCCAUUGCAAUCUUGCACCACUCUGAUGUCCUGGAGGAGCGAAACAUGGUUACUUGAAGCAUACCUGUUUUCGUAUUAAUACAUGGUUGAAUCAGCUUUCAUUGUCAAUCAGUCUGUAAUAUUUCAACUUCCAUUGAUUUCAGAUAACAAAGCAGAUUCAAGCUGUCAAUGAGGUGUAUAUGCUUCACAAUCUUCCUGAAUUUUACAAGGUUAGCAUUUCGUGUUUUUCAAACUUGAAUCACUUCCUGAACAUAUGACAAUAUAUUGGAGCAAAUGGUUGUGCAUGAAUACUACUCAUUGCUCAGAGGGUGUUGCUGAUCACAGGAUCCGCGUCCUCAUAUUUCGGUAGCUUAGGCAUUGGGUGACAUCAGCAAUUCCCUGAAGAAAGUGGUUGAAGAAGAAAGACGAAGAUCUACCAUCGGAGGAUCGUUACAGAAAUGUAUUUUUACCAGUAAAUUCAAUGGUAUCGAAUGUAGGAUUGGUAAUAAAACACACAAAAUAUGUAAAUUUUCUGAAGAAUAAUGUAGCCAUUUAACUAUAUUGUGAAAUUCCGAGAAUAUAUCGCUGAGCAUUGGAUGAGAAGACAUUUCUUCGUUGGUGUCGAACUUCAUGUUGAAGGUAUUGACACCAGUGUAAACGCCAUCAUCCAUGUUGAUGGUAAUUACUUCCCAGCUACUAAGGGUGUCGGAACAACCUUGCACGCAGCCUCCUGUGCAUUACUUAGUAUUGUCUCAGUUUCUCCAAACUUGAAUGCUCCUGUAAACCCACUUUUGACCUUUCCGUCAUCUGUGAUUACCGGAAUGCUGGCUAGGAUGUUGCCGUUGACCUCCCAAACUUAAAAUACCGGAAAGCCGGCUCCAAUGUAUGCGAGAGCUCCACCUCUAUUGUUGUAACAGCAUCUGAUGCGUACUAGUCCUUUAUUCCCGUUACUCUUUGCCAUCUCCACUUGGAACUUGGCGUAAUGGCUCCCGGCCUCCUCUCCGGUGAAAUUGAGCAACCCCGGAGCUGGCGUGCCAUCAAGAUUUCCGUCAUGUCUGUAGCGAAAGUAUUCGCUGUUGUGGUUUGGUUUCACCACUAUAAAUCUUGGCAGAGUUGGCAUUUUCAUUUCUGUUGUCUGUAUAUCUUGAUAUUACAAGUAUUUGUUGUGCAAUAUGCAUGCUAUGUUCAUGUUAUGCGUAUAUACAUAUAUAAGUGUUUUAACACUUUGCAAACGUUUUCUCCAAAAUUUUGAUUUUGGUGGUGUUCUAACUUUUGUGAAUGCUAAUAACAAUUCCCUCAUUAACUGUUAGGACGAGCAACAAAACAGUUUUGAUUCUGUGCACAAAGGCGAUCCCUCGUAAGAAAUUGAUUCUUCAACAGAAAGAUGUUUUAAAACAAAUUUGAAGGGAAGGAAAUAUUUGAAUCGCAUUCAGAUGUCUGGUCAAAUUCUUGAACAGUUGAUAUACACAGAAGUUCCUUGUUUAUGUCACUACUUAUGAGAGGAUGUACGCAUUGCAUUCGCAUCAAAAGAGAGAGAGAGAGAGAGAGAGAGAGAGAGAGAGAGAGAGAGAGAGAGAGAGAGAGAGAGAGAGAGAGAAGGUUGUCAGUGGUAAGGGAACGAAUAACGAUGGCGUUGCGCUUCUAAUCAAAGGGGUCGAUCCGAGGGUCGUGUUCACUUGCCAUCGCCAUUCCAGUGCAAAGGCAUGUAGGGCACAUUACCUGCCACAUUAAAAACGCGAUGUUAGAUAUACUCGCCAUUUGGAAGUCAACCCUCAAAAUUUGCUACUAAAUUAUCUUAAACUCCAUUUCCAGUCAAUUUUUUUUCUUCCGAAAUGUCUUUCACGUGCUUAGGGAUAGGCAAAUACCCAUUGGUUAUAGGUAAUCGCGGUUACUCGCCCAUUUAAAUUAAACAGUUACGGUUAUGGCUAACUGUUUAGAUAAAUAAACGGUUAUGGGUAUAACCGUUUACCCGUAAAAUUUAAAUGGAUGGUUAUGAGUAUUAACCAUGGUUAUAAACGAGUAACCGUUUACCCAUUUAUUUUAUAUAUGUAAAGCUAACACAAAUCAUGUUCUCCAUCCAAUAAUACUUAGCACCCAAUAAAUUAGCAAGGAAUUCAUCGAUCAUUCUCUCAAUAACACUACUACAUGAAUGAUGAUUCCCAUCAUCAAGGAAUUUGCCAAAUUAAUUUAAAUUCCUUGUGGGUAACCGUGAAAUUGACAGAAAUACUUUAACAAAAAUGUCUUCUAAACAAUUUUUGUAACCCAAUAAUACUUAGCAAAUAUUAUAUUUACCUUCAUUGGUAACAGUUAAAAAUAUCGUCCGUAAACUAUUAUUUCAAUUAUUGGAAUGGUAUAAAGACUUAAAAAAUUAAAAUAUAAAAAUGUAUGACGAAUGUACCUAUAACGGUGUUUAAUUGUCAAAAAAAAAAUUAUGACAAUUUUUUUUAAUUUUCAAGUUGUUAAAAAACAUGUAGACUGGUGAAAAAAAGGUAAUGGUAAAAAGAAAAGAUAAACGGAUUAAAAAUGAUAAAUGGUAUACGGGUAUUAAAUUGUUACGGUUAAAUGGCUAUGCGGUUAUGGGUAUGGUUAACCGUUUAUAAAUGGUUAUGAGUAUGAGUAUAACCAUUUAGGCAAUUACCCAACGGGUAAACGGUUAUGUAGGUAUGAGCAUAAACGGUUAUGGGUAAAUUAACCGCGGUUACCCGCCCGCAUAACCAUCCCUACACGUGCUCGACAAACACAACAGUCACCAAUCAUGUGAAUCAGCUAUUCCUCAAUGUAUAUGAUGAAACAAGUGCAUCCCAGAGGCAGGCACGAAGAGGAAUUUACUAUGCAAUAAACAUUCAAUGGGUACAAUUUUAUGUCUAACCUUUCCCGCUCCUGAGCAAUUUGAACAUCUUUCAGUUUUUGGCAGUGAAAGGGGCUGGUUUCCGCCAUCAACUGUUGAAAUUGGUUCGGUAAGAACAAGGGUUCCAGUGCUGGAGCAACGAGCACAAGCAAGAUAUCCUGCAUAAGUAUCAAAUACACCGGUUAGUUGACAUAUGAAGGAUUGGUUUGGUAUUGCUGUGCUUUGAAAAAAAAACUGCUGUGAGAAUAAGCGGCUGUGCUGUGAAAAUAAGCGGCUGUGAAAUAAAUCAGCAGAGUGUUUGGUAAACUUUUUUGUAAAAGUGUUUUUGGAAAAAAAAAAGUCUAAUAGUGGGUCUUUUCAUUAAAGAAACACUGUAGCUCCAUGUGCUUUGAAAAAAACCAGUUUUCCAAAGCUACAAAUAGCAGCUUCAGCUUUUUCCUUUGAUUUCAGCUUAUUCUCACAGCAGCUUCCAAAAUAAGCCUUUUUUUUUUCAGUUUACCAAACACCUAAAACCCUCACAGCUUUUUUUCAUGGGUGCUUUUUUUUUAAGCACCUCACUCCCAAACUUGGUUUGGUAUUGCUGUGCUUUGAAAAAAAGCUGCUGUGAGAAUAAGCGGCUGUGAAAUAAAUCAGCUAAGUGUUUGGUAAAUUUUUUUGUAAAAGUGUUUUUGGAAAAAAACAGUCUGAUAGUGGGUCUUUUCAUUAAAGAAGCACUGUAACUCCGUGUGCUUUGAAAAAAAACCAAUUUUCCAAAGCUACAAAUAGCAGCAUCAGCUUUUUCCUUUGAUUUCAGCUUAUUCUCACAGCAGCUUCUAAAAUAAGCCUUUUUUUUUUCAGUUUACCAAACACCUAAAACUCUCAUAGUUUUUUUUCAUGAGUGCUUUUUUUUUAAGCACCUCACUCCCAAACUAGGUCAACCAAUCCAAACAUCUCCAUCGUAUAUAUUUAAAGCUACGGUACAUAUGACUAAAAGUGAGAAACAUAGGACAUUAUCACACCAGUUCCAAGACAAUAUUUGCAUCGCUUAUGCUCCUGCUGUUUCACAUUGCUUAUUUCAACUACCAUCAAUGCUGAGAUCACUCCGACUGCUCCUCCAGAGAACGAUGCCACUAUGGGAUCAACUUGACUGCAGAUUGAAAGUAUAUGAGAUCAAUAAACGAAACUGAUAACAAUGUAGUAUUAACAUUAUUUAGCUCCAUGUCAAGAUAGACAACACAUCCUAGAUUUUUCUAAUGUGUAAAAUUUGAGGACCCUCGUAAAAUUUGACCACAUCGGUUCCCAAAGUAAAAUUUAGUACCUUUGGUUCCUACAUUACAGACCGAAAAUAGUAACUACCGAAUUUAAAGUUCAUAUCAAGAUAGAGGAUACAAAAUUUCGAAACGAUAAUUGCUAGAGAACAGGAGGGUUAAUAGCCCGAGAUAUGAGCCAUACCUCAACUGCAACGGCAGAUGCAUAUUUACUAUAAAAUCUUUAUACGAUGUGCCUCCUAUUCCCAGCUUCAACUCCAACUGAAAGAUGUAAACGUAAUUGUCGGCAGAGAGUUAGAAACAUAACCGAAUCCAUGUUUUAUAAGCAGAAAGUACACUUAUUUGACAUGCUUCCUCAUUUUUUUACUUGCAAAUUCAAAACCGUAUUGUCAGACCAGUAAAAUAAAAUAAUGUUUACUAAUAACUGUUAAAACUAAUCACAACAAGUUAAUGCAUAAAGAACUUACGGAGGGUGCUAUGAGGCCACCGAAAAGGAUAAACCCCGCAAUAAUUGAAUAACAUACAGCAUAAUACUGCUUAAGGUUGUCUGAACUCUGCAAGCAAUGCAUUCACCUUGUGAUUAAUACUUUUGCACAAACACUAGUUUUCGCAAUUUUUUAUGAACCGACAAAAGGCUACAACAAAAUAUGGCUAAAACAUGUCGGGGAUAUGAAAAUACAUGUCUUCACAGGGGCAGCAGCUUACCAGGGGAGGCAAAAAUGGAAUGAAUGAUGGAAAACUUGAUCUUCAUUUACCGCUCCAAGCUCUGCGCGUUUAAUCCGUUUAAUCCGCUGUUGUAUCCUCAGCCUGCGAACCUACGCAUAUCGAAGCUCAUUCUUAAAGAACACAUUUCUAAGGGCAAUUGGAGAGUAAUUUGAAACAUGCUAAACUGAGAAAGUGGCAGCAACUAGCAAUUGCUCUCACCUCCUCCGUAUGCAAGAAAAUUUUGUUGCGCCGACUCCGAAUAUUAUCUUGAAUUUCCUGCAGCUCCAUUGUCGCAAAGUCCUGCACUGUUUCAGGCCCCUCUAUGAUACAAAAUCUGCACAAUUAAGCAUGUAACAACUAAAACUUACAGGCUACAAAGCAAUUUCCGUAUCAUUUUUGGGUUAAUUAACAUCAACAGCAGAUAAAUCACAUGAGUUUUUCACAUGAAGUUACAAACCUUCAGAGACCAGUAAGCUCUCUGCAAUCUCAUAAAUUUCACUGUGCAAAGUAACAAUCCAAAGCUUGGAACUUUAAAUUUCCAUUUUCUGUUAUUUUCCUAGAGAGAGAGGGGGGAGUACCCGGCGGGGUUUGUAUCGGCGGCGGGUUUAGGAUCAGAAUCGACAGACGGAGCGAACGAGGAGGAGUCGGGCUCCGAAGCCAUGGCCAGGGAUCGCCAUCUGGAGCUGCUUGUUGAUAUGGGGCUUCUUGCGUAGCUGAAUUUGGAGCAGCGGAAGCUAUGCAGUUUGUACGGACCGCACCGAUUUACGGGGAAAGAAACGGCCAAAAGUCUGCCGGAGCAGAGCAUCUCUCUCUCUCUCUCUCUCAAACCAGAAGGCAGAGCUUUCUGUUUCUCUUGAGGUUUCUUUCACUGGUAAAUUCCAGACAAGCAGAGAAGGCGGCUCUCUGAGAAAUGGCGAUGGUGCAAGUGGAGACAAAACAAAUGUAAAUCUUGAAGCACCGAACAUGUGCAGAACACUUGUCAACUACCGAACUCUAGGAUUAGGAGAGAGAGAGAGAGAGCGAGUGACCGGCCAAAAAAAAAUGGAGGGAAGUGGCUGAUUCUUCUUUUUAGUGGACCUGGUGUCCUUCGAUUCGAGUACUAUGUCAUAUUUAAAAUUUAGGGUUAAUUUUGUUUAAGUUUCUUAGUUUUCAACAUUUAGUACAUAAAGUUUUUUUCAUCUCAGAGUGGUACAUAAAGUCAUAAUUUUGAGACAGUCUAAUACAUCCGUUAAGGUUGCUGUUAAAUCAACCGUUAAAUAGUGACGUGGCGUCUAGGUGGAUAUUGACUGGACGACACGUAUCAUUAUGGGUCCAUGUGGAUAUUAAAAAAUUAAAAAAAAAAAAUUAAUGGGCCGUUCAACCCCUCCUCCCUCGACCCCCUCCCUUCUCUCCUCUGCACCCACCCUCCCCACGUCUGCAACCCAUCCCCACGUCGUCAUCUUCUUCUUUGCCCAGAUCCCGCAAGAAUCUUCUUCGUCGCCGACAACUCAGCCACCAUCUCCAUCUCCGCCUUCCCCUCCUCCGAACCCGACUCCUACCCACUUCCAGUUCCAAUUCACCCUCUCCCAAUUUGCCCACUUCUUGUCCGAUUUUCGCGCCACUAUUGAACCCGAGCCCGACCCACAAAGAUGCUUAGAUUCUGAAAAAGAGAUGACACAAAUGCAAGAAAUGGAAAGCAGUGUGGUUUAGAGGUUAGAAACUGAGCAAUUUUUGGAUUGCUUUUUGGUUUGAUCAAUUUAAAGAAAUGAAAUUCUGAGUCGAAUUUCUUGUUCGUUAUAUUCGAUCUCCGCUUGAGAAUUUUAAACUUAAUAAUUGCAAAUCAAGAUACAAAAUUGACAUGAAUUUCGAAUUGGGGUUUUGGGAAAUUUGAGAAGUUCUUGGCGAUUCAUAAGAAACUUCAACUCCCAAUCGUUUCUUCUCGCUCACAACCCGAGAUUAAUAAUUUUAAAGUUUGAGCUUGAAUGUUCUUUGUAAUUAAAGAACAGAUGUGCAUCCCUCUGAAUGGCAAGAGGGUGAAUAGGAAGCGAAAAUCGGUGUGUGGCAAAUCGGAGAGGGUUAGGGAAAAAGUUUAGAGUCGGGUUCGGAUGAGGGGAGGGCGGGGUUAUAUUUUUUGUCGAGGCGAAGAAGAUUCUGCGGGAUCUGGGCGAAGGAAGAUUGACAUGGAGGGUGGGUGCACAGGAGAUAAGGGAGGGGGUCAAGGGAGGAGGGUGAACGGCCCAAUUUUUUUUUUUUUUUGGGUCAUUUGGACCAUCUCACUCAUCACCUAAGACGCCACGAUCUAAUAUUAAUUCCGGUUGACUUUGUAAAUUGGAUGUAUUAAUUAACAAACAUAGAUUAGGACAUUGAUGAUUUAAAAUUUGGGGUUUUGUUCUUCAGAAAUUUGGUCGAAAUAAGAAAUUCCCUAAAAGUUCAAUUCAGAAGAGUUACUUGCCUUACAAACAUUUUUUAAAUACUUACUAAGAAAAAGAUUUUUGUGGGUGGGUACAGUAUGGGGUUUAACUCAUUGUGUUUUAGUUUAAAUCUUUUUCUCUCUUCUUUAAUAAUAUUUAGUAUAUUAUCAAUUCGUAAUAAAAAAAUUUUGAUUAAAAACUCUCAUCUAUAUUCUAGCCAAUGGAAAAAAAUGAAUAGUGAUUUUGAUGUUGCUUUAACAAAAUAUUUUUUAAAAACAAUGGACGGCUUUCAACAAAAAAUUUGAGUAAGAGGGGUUUUGCCUUAAGUAAUUUUUGAAAUUGAAUUCAUGGUGGUUUUUUGAUUUUAUUAAAUUAGUCCCUCCCAGCAAAAAUGUGAUCAAUUUCUCUAUAAAAGAAAUAUAAGAUAUAAAUGAGAUAAUAAAGGGGUCAUUAAUAAAGAGUUGAUGAUUGUUUUUUUUUUUUUACAAUUCACACUAAGGGGGAAUAAUUGAUUUCUUUGUUGGUGUUCAAAAGCUUUUAAAUUUAUCUCUUUAAAAUAGUUUUAAUAAUCUUUUAAUGUGUUUAGUUGCCAAAAUUUUAUUUUUUUAGCAAUGAUAUUAUCUCAAUUUGAUUGGGCUUAAAUUUCUCUUAUUUUUCAUUAAUUUUCAUAUUCAAAACAUCUUAAAUGUCGUAAAUGCCGAUCAAAUAACUCUUUUCUUUUUAAUUAAUUAAUCUAAAAUUAAGUAAAAAUGAAAUUAUUACAGAGAUUUUCGAAAACCAAAUUUACAUUAUUGAUUUUUUUAACCUUUUUACAAACAAUAUAUCUAGUCUUUUUGUUUUACAAAGUAAUAUUGAAUUUUUUCACAAGAAGGCUAACAUAUCACAUUCAUUGAUUCAUGAUCAAUAUUUAAAAGUCAAAAAAAUAUUAGUAACCAUUCUCUAUUUUAACACAAUGUUCCAAGAAACAAUCUAGGGAUUAUCGGAUUUAAUGACCAAGAGGUUGGAAUUUUCCCCGUAAAUAAAUGAAUUGUUAACAACAAACAUAAAAAACAAAGCAAUAAAGAAUUCAGAUAGUGAAUACCUACUAAACCAUGUGAACACAAGCAAAAUACUUCAGAAUCACAUGUUGUCGAAAAAAUACGACUAUUUCUAAUCAGAAUUACAAUAUACCACGUUUUGCCCAUCACAUAAAAUCCAAAAACUAGUUAGGGAGCUCAAAAAGGGAGCGGGUUUGGAAACCACUGAUACACGAAGUAAAGAGGUGGUACUGUUUUGGUAAAACACAAAAGGUGCGAAACAAAGUAAACAAAACGGAAGGAAGAUGUUAUAGUCAUUCUCAGCAACAAAAUUCGAGCUUGUUGUCGAAAUCACAACAGGAGACAAUUUCGAUUAACAGCCUUUCCUGCCAAACUCAAUUUCCAAAAUCCUACAUCACAUCAUAAAUCCAUUGUUUCAUUCCCACGCACAAUCCCUACCCACUGCACAGGAGAACAAUUGUUUCUGCAAAGAAAAAACAGUUAACAAAAAACGGCAUGCAUAUCGCAAAAUCGGGAUAGGAAGCAGAAGCUUUCCUUGUUUUCCUUAAACACCAAGCUCUACAUUCCAAAAAGAACAUGAAAAAAUAAAAUUAAAUAAAGAGCCUUUCCUGCUUAUUUUGAAUUAAGGCGGGGAGGUCGAGACACGGCUGGUGUAUUUUUGUUUUUUUAAUUGUCAAACUGCCCAGGACACGCUGGGCAUUUUUUUUUUUGUUUAAACCUGGGCCCAAAACGACGCGUUUGCCAUUUAAAAAAAAAUUCCUUGGGUCAUUUACCAAUUCCUUUUUUCAAAAAAAAAUAACUGGCCCAGCGCCUUCGUCUUCUACAAAGGCACAAAAGCCCAAAAACCCCGACGAACCUUCCGUUUCACAGUUGGUGUGAGCGAACGGUGGUCGCACCAGGGGUCGCACCACCAGUCCAAGGGUCUUAAAGUUGCUUCAUGCUCUCCAAGGUCCGCGACGUGGUUGCGCACCCCAAUUGAACCGCACAGGAUCCGAAUGGCUUCUUCCCAUACAUGCCAUCGAAAUUCAGCAAAAGCAAUAACCAGCGAUUUCUUCUGGAGAAUUUAAGCCACCCCAUUGGACCAACAAUUCAAUCAAAAGAAACCAGUAACCAAGUUCAAUUGAGUUUAGAAGCAUUUACAAUGUUCCCACGGAUGUUCAUCACUUUACCCAAUAGUUCGUUUCAAGAAGGAAAUUCCAGCAGAACUGAAACUUCAAAACUUCAGAAGGCACCAAAUUUUUGAAGUAAAUUCAUUUCAAGUUGAAAUAAUCAACUUAGGUGAGGACCCAUAAAAUUAGGAGGAACAUGAAAGAAAGCUUUAUCUUUUUCCUCUAAACUCAGGCGUUACUAAACAAACGGACAUUCACAUCCCCACCAGAUGCAUUUCCUUUCACAUCUUCCCAAGUAAAUCAGUACCUUCUUUCGUCUGAAUCUUAAGUCUGAAUUCUGGAAGUGAAAAUACUGGAAAAAAGUGGGCCUUUAUAAAAGAAUACCUCACGUUUUAGUCAAUGUAUCAGCGCACUAAGAGGACCAGAGGCAGGAGUGAACGACAGCAAACAAUUCAUGUAAUAUUCAGUCGAGUUUUGGGUGAUUUCUGCAGCGAUUUCGGAGGCCAAGAGCCUGAUAAGAAAGCUGGGACGGAAGGGCAGUGGUCUGGAAGAAAAGGCUCGGGUCACACUGUCGCGAUUCGCGAAGGAGAAGUGGCCCAAUACAAUUUCGGCCUGUUUGCACUGGACUGUUUUGCACAGGGCCAAGGCCGACCCUGAACCAGAUAAAGCUUCUCCAAACAGUAUAUAUCAGGUGCUAGAAAUUCUAUAGAACCAUUCAAUCUUAGAGCAACAGCUUAGCAUUAGUUGGUACAAAAAGAUUUCCGAUUAUCGCUUUUAUUUAUUCCUCCUCUGAUGUGUCCUUUUAGACUGCAACAGACGAUUUAAAGAAAUGAAAGUUAGCAGAAUAAAUGGCGCACAAAGGGAUUUAAAAUCCUGACAUGUGUAUUUUUGGCAGAUUUAUGUGAGCAUGCAACUAAAACUGGCAUCACUAUCAAUGGUGCACGAAGAUUGGCGGAAAAACGUAAAGGGAAGCAAUCACAACACAAAAUGUACGACGUAAUCUGUCCACAUGUUGGAAGGAGCUAUGAAAGUAUGGCUUUUCACUAAUCAGGCGUCCAGAGAAUCAAUAUUUUACUCACGGAUCAGUUACGGAGAACAAUCCCCACCAAAGCAAUCUCAAUAGUCCUCCACAUCUCAAACCAAACAGAAAUCGCACUAACAAACACGACUUCUAUACUAUUAGUCCUUCCCAUCUCAAAUCUAGUAAGUAACCCAUCUUUCGUCUGAAUCUGGAAAACAAGCAGCAGUGGAUUUAAAAAUCUGGGUAUCUCAAAGUUACUCACUUUAAUCACAAAUUUAACAAUUAAACAUAUAAAUGGGCAUUUUUAGUGAAAUAUUAGUGUAGUACUCACUGUGUGCUAGGAGCAAGAGUACCCAGAAAGCUCAAUGAGCUGCGCACAGAGGACUGCAGCGGUGAACGAUAGCGACCAAUUCUGUAAAAUUCAGUCGAGUUUUGGGCAAUUUCUGCAGCAAUUUCGGAGGUCAAGAGGCUGAUAAGGAAAGCUGCGACCAAAGGGCACUGGUCUGGAAGAAAGGCUCUGGUCACCGCUGUCGCGAUUCGCAAAGGAAGAAGUGCCCCAAAACAAUUUUGGCCCUGGGCAGGUGCACUGUUUGCACUGGGACAGGGCCGGCCCUGAAUCGCGAUAACGUCCUUCUCCAAACAGUAUAUAUACAGAUGCUAGAAAUAUCUACCAGAACCAUUCAAUUCUAGCGUCUACAGCUUUAGCAUCAGCUGGUACAAGGGACAUUCUUCCAUAGAGGGAGAUGAAAUCGUUGAGGCUCUUAUUUAUUCCUCCUCUUGAUGUGCCCUUUUAGACUGCUAAUUCCAGACGAUACAAUCUCAUGCAUCUUCCCUGAAAAAGGGUUGCCACACAUCGAGAUCAAAUUUUUCCAAUAAAAUUAACUUAAAAAUCAAACUCGUUAGCAGAAUAAAUGGUGCACAAAGGGAUUUAAAAUCUAGACAUAUGUGUAUUUUUGGCAGAUUUUAAGUGAGCAUGCAACUAAAACUGGCAUCACUAUAAAUGGUGGACAAAGAUUGGCGGAAAAACAUAAAGGGAAGCAAUCACAAAGCAAAAUGUACUAAGUAAUCUGUCCACAUAUUGGGAAAAAUUUUUAACAGUUUGAUUUGUAACUUCUCCAUUGUAUUAGUUAAAGACAAGACGGUGUCAACCAUGCAAUUUGCUGAUGAUUUUACUGAUGAAUGCAGAGUUAGCUGAUGAUACGACAAGCAAUUGAAAAUCCCAUCAUUAUACCCCACAUAUACCAAAAAAGCAAGUCAUUUGCACAAAUUCAGAAGGUUCAUCCACUGCAAUUUGCAGAUAUAGAAAUGUUAAGAUAAAUGGAAAUACAAAGUACCUUUCACCCAAAUUGGAGGAACACCGGUGGCAUUAGCAAGUUAGCAUCGGGAAUUGACAUUACCAGUAUCUUCACAGUUUCUGCGGUGGAGUUAUGUACCUCUCCUUGGAAAAUGCCACCAAAGCCGCCGCAACGCGGUGUAGUGUCCGAUUGAUUGCUUCAAAACAAAGCUUCGUAUCCAUGUGUUUAAUCAGCACAGAGUACCCAAAACCCCUGAAAAUUAUUUCUUUAUUCAGACAAUAAAAUUUCCCAAAUUUCGAAUUUUAAUUCCAAAUCAAAAAUAGGGUUUGAAUUUUGAUUACCUAGAAAUUGGGGGGUUGGGGUGGAGAGGGACCCGGGCCAGGACGGAGCUAUGUGUAUAUGCUAAGGCGUGCCAAAUUACAUAGAGUGUCAGGAAUGUGUACAAGUCUUUUGCAAUUUAUCAGACUUAAAACCUGAAGCCCCGUAAGGCGUUCAAUCCAGGGGGAAAGCUCUUUGAUAGAUGUUCCACCCAAGAAAAGCAUUCUUAAUCCUUCCAUAUUUUCUUCAAUGCUUGGAAACACCUCAAAUUUUGUACAAUUGUAAAGAGAGAGACGGUAAAAGGAUUUGAGUUGACAAAUGCUGCUUGGAAGACUCUCAAGUUCCUUGCAAUUCAUCAUAAGCAAACACCUCAAUCCCGUGAGAUUAUUAAUUGACAGGGGUAGUUCUUUAAUUUUUGACCCAGAUAAAUCAAGCUCUUCUAACCCCUCAAUAACUUCUGAAAUCUCUGGAAACAUCACAAGACUCGAGCAACCAGAAAGAUCAAGGGUUUUGAGAGAUUUCAUACGAAUGCUGCUUGGAAGACUCUCAAGUUCCUUGCAAUUGUUUAGGUCCAAAUAACUCAACCUCGUGAGAUUAUUAAUUGACAGGGGUAGUUCUUUAAUUUUUGACCUGGAUAAAUCAAGCGCUUCUAACCCCUCAAUCACUUCUGAAAUCUCUGGAAACAUCUCAAGACUGGAGCAGCCAGAAAGAUCAAAGGUUUUGAGAGAUCUCAUACAAACUUUGCUGGGUAGAAUCUUAAGUUCCAUGCAUUUUGAUAGGUUCAAAUGACUCAACCCCGUGAGAUUAUUAAUUGACAGGGGCAGUUCUUUAAUUCUUGACCCGGAUAAAUCAAGCUUUUCUAACCCCUCAAUCACUUCUGAAAUCUCCGGAAACAUCUCAAGACUCCGGCAGCCAAAAAGACCAAAGGUUUUGAGAGAUCUCAUACAAACUUUGCUGGGUAGAAUCUUAAGUUGCCCGCACAAACUCAGAUCCAAUAAAACAAUUUUUGUAAGAGCCAAAAUCGACCCGUGAACCUCAACUAAGCGUGUACAACCUUGAACAAUUAGCCUCUCAAGAUUUGGCACAUUUGUGAAGUCAGGGGUUAUCUCAAGGUUAUGACAAUGACUUAAAUUGAUGAAUUUCAACUUUUCCUGCGUCUGUUAAAACAUUCAGGAAAACAUGCAUUACUUAAUAAGACAUCUCACUCAAAGCCCAAACAUUUAAAAGAAACAAAUACAUGUAAAUGAUUGUACAUACCUGGGUUCCUUCCCAAAGUCGGUCAAUGAGGCUAUAUUGCAUGUCAAGUCCAACAAGAUUUUCGAAUUGAAAGUUGGAUGGCAAAGACUUGAGAGGGUAUCCAGACCAGGAAAGACACCUCAACUCACUAGAAACAAACUUUAAGGGCCCAGUCAGGUGUUGUAUGCCGUGAGCACUGAUCUUGAGAAGUCUUAGUUUAGUCAUCCUAUCAAAAGCUUCAACCAUUAAGCAUCCCUCAUCUGAGUUCCACGAAUCGAGGAUUAUGCUUUCGACUGUUUCUGUACCCUGUGCAAAUCAAAGGGAAGGAAAAAGCAGAGAACCUUAGUUUAGAUUAUGAAGUUAAUGCUUGUUUCUUAAGGAGUUGUUUGAUAAUAAUUUUGUUUUCACUUUUCACUUUUGUUUUGAUUAUUUAUUUAGAAAUCUGAAAAUUGAAAACAUAUAACUUGUUUGUAAUUGUUUUCAAUUUUCAAUUUUCAAUUAUUAAAAAAAUGAAAAUUAAAAAUUAAAAAUGGAAACAAAAGUGGUUAUCAAACGAGCUUAAGAAAUUGAUUUUGGUCAAAAGUUGAAGCUUUCUACUAAACAUUGCAUAAGAAAAGAAAUUAUCACCGUAUUUUUAGUUAUCACAUGAAAAACAUCUUCAUAACUCCACAACCUACUUCGUCUCCCAGGCUCUUUGAUAGAUUCUUGGUAGACGAUUUUCUGACCCAUUUCCUCUAGUAAAUCAUGCAUCUCCAGUUCCCCCUUCGUUGAGACAGUUACUAGAGCUCGAUCGAUUAGAACUUUUAUUCCAAUAUCAGGAUAGAAACCACAGCUGUGCAGAACUUCGGUUGCACAGUCUUCUCUCAUUCCUUUAAAGUAACAUGCAAUAUCUAGAAAGAUAUCCUUCUCCAUGUCAUCUAGUCCAUCGAAGCUUGUUUUAAGCACAUCAUGAAUUCCCUUUUGCGGGAUUUUCUUUAUUUUUUCUAACUCAUUUUCCCACUGGCGUACAUUUUUGUUAUAAAGAAAAGCUCCCAAGACUUUGAGUGCUAAAGGCAGACCUCGAGCAUAUUUUACGGCACGACGGGAGAGAUCAUCAUAAUCUCUGGUGGGUUGGUUUUUUCUGAAGGCGUACCGCCUAAAGAGUUCCAGAGCUCCAGAAUCACUCAAAAUCUGGGGAUUAUAUAUCUCACCAGCUAUGCUUAGUAAUUGCGAAUCUCUGGUUGUUAUAAUAAUUCUGCUUCCACCACCAAAGGAAUGUGGCUCUCCAAGUAAAGCUUCAAUAUGUUCUAAUUCUUCCACAUCAUCAACAACAAUAAGAACUUUUCUCCGACCUAGACUAUUUAACAUCACCUGGAAACCUUUAUUCGAAACGUCGGAACUCCCCACCCUGUUGUUCGAGAUACUCGAUAGAAGUUCUGCCUGCAUAUGUAGUUUGCCAUGCUUCAUGAAACCUUCCUUGAAAUUUUCAAGAAAGCAACAAGCUUUAAAUCCACCAGAGAUUUCAUUAUAAACAGCUCUCUAGCGAUGGAUGUGUUUUUUGCCUAAACCCACACCCAUACCCCCAUAUUCCAACAAUGCGAACAUCAUAUUAGUUUCAACUCCAGGAGGAUGCAGUAAUGAAUGCAUGUUAUGCAUAUGAGAGUCCAUUUCAACCAAGCCAUUAUAUUUGCUUGAUGAUGAUGAGAUGUAUCGCCGACCCCACUUAGUGGGAAAAGGCUUUGUUGUUGUUGUUGUUGUUGAUGAUGAUGAGAUGUGGAUCAAUUUCUUAAAAACAUCUUCUACAAUUUUCUCAAUAAGCUCUGCAUCAUCCCUGUCAAAUUUAAAACACAAUAUAAUUACAACACCAAAUGAUACUUAAUGGGUCGUUUUGAUUACAAUUUCGUUUGCAAUUUUUUUUAAAUCUAGAUUUUAAGUUUGCAGAUUUUGUUUUCAGUUUUUAGUUUCAAUGAAAGUAGUUAUUAAACAAGUUUUCCAAUUUUUCUUUCAUGGUAUACAGUACGUAGUCCCAAAUAUCAGUAGUUAGAUCUUGCAUUUAGAUCUAAUGGGUAUUUACAACCUUUUUUCCUGAGAAUUUUGUACCAUUGUAGCCAGAUCACAUGUUUUCAUCCGUUAGUUUUAUAAAAAUGGAAACUACAAAAAAAAAAAAAAAAAAAUAUAUAUAUAUAUAUAUAUAUAUCAAAUGGCCCCUAAAUGCUAUUAAAAAUCUCAAAAAUUAACAGGAAACUAAAACAAAUUAGAAUUUAUUCAUGGUUUCGCAAAUCCCAGCCGGAUAAACUGGUGGCCGUUGUAAGAGAGAGGACCUCCAGCCGGAUAAACAUUUUCGAGUUAUUUGAUAUUUGUAUAGUAAAAAUACUUUAAUAGCAAGUGCGCGUGAGUGAAGAAAUUGAACUUACUUAUAUAUUCUUCGAAUCCCAACCGGAAAAAUUGCAGGCUCUGGGAAGAGCGGACCUCCAGCUCUGCACCUCCUUCACGUCACGUUACGAAGAACGACUUCAUGUUUAGCAAAAGCUUCUGCAAAACUUCCCUCGAGUUUACGUUUUACGAAUAUUGGACGGAUCGACUUGGUAGAAAAUGGGGAAUACAAUCUGGUUCUUGGAAUGGUUGCAUUCCAAGAUUUCCACGAGAGUUCUUUCAAGCACCAUGUGGAUGAAGCAUAGUUUUGAGAGAAACUACACUACAAUCGAAAUCCUUGACUCUCUCGAAUCGCUGUCAGGAGCUCGAAAAGGCGGUCGCCUUUUUCUGAGGUCUUCAAUGAUGGCAUCAAUGAAGGUGUUUCUGAUUGUUUCUAGAUUUGUAGAGAUGCUCUUUGUAGAGAUGGCCUGACGAGAACCGCGAGUGUCUUUCCCCUCUAAAAAAACUGAUGAACACAUCUCGUCCCAACCAAGGCAAGAAGAAGAAGAAGAAGCAAGCCAUUAAUCGAUCUCACCUGGGCAGCGAUGAUCUCAGAGCAGCUAAGACUAAGCAAGAAUUGUAAGUACAGAACACUCAAUAGAUCUACAAAUUGGAUCCAGAAAUUAGUCAAUGAGUCAAUGCAAAAGGGAAAAGGGCAAUUAUGCUUUUUGCGUUUUCACAUCUUUCUUCAGGAAAUUUCGGUGUGAAAGGAAUCCGCAUACUUUUGAUUUUUCAACCCAAGAAAAUGCGAAGAAGAAGGGUACAAAGUAGUAAAUUUAAUCUACAGUUGCCUACCCAACACAACUCUCUUGAUUAAUAAUAUAUAUUUAAUUGGGAAAAGUAGUUUAGAGGAAGGAUGUUUUAUCUCCUUUUUCUUCUCUCUCGAACAGUCAAUCUUCCGUUCCCGUGCGAUUUAAUCAUGAUUAAAGCUAAGCUUAAUCUUAGGUCGUAUUAUUUAGGUCUAAUUGGAUUCUUAAUUCUUGUUGUGAUAUAGUAGUUCGAAGAUUAAAAAAAAUUAUGAUUUAAACGUUUGUGGUGAAAUCUGUUACGAUUUAGAUUCAAAAUUGAAAAUUUCGUUAACUCCAUUAAUUGUUAGCACAUGAAGAAACACUCACAAAUGAAACUAAAAAUAAUAAAGUUAGCCCUCACAUGUAAUCUUCACGUGCUAACAAUGAAAAGAAAGUUCCGUUUUAGCUUAAUAUAUGUGACUCACGUGUUAAUAAUUAACGGAAUAUUAACAAAAAAAUUUAUUUUAAGCAUAAAUUCAAAUAAACUUCACCACAUAAGCUUAAAUUCUAAUUUAGAUAUCUUCUAACUAUCUUAUCACCAUAAAAAUUAUAAUCAAAUUAAACUUAUUAUUUAUUUAUAAAUGCGUAACUAAAUCACAAAGUGUUGAAUGAAAGGGAGCACUCCAAAUGAUGAAAGGGGUAUGAUAUCCACACAUCUUUUUUUUUACUUCUUACACAUCGUUUUAAUUUUCGACCGUCGGAUCAAAUUAAUUGAAGAAUAUCAAAGGAUAAAAAUCAACAAAGGGUGUGUAAGAAGUAAAAAUGAGUGUGUGGAUAGCCAUCCAUGAUGCCAAAAUGAAGCAAAAAGCGGGAGCAUCGAAAGCUAUCUCCGUUUUGUUGUUCUAGCUUUGUCUUCUUUUGGCAGAUAGCUCCUAGGGACCGGCCUAUUUUCCACAGCUGGUUAUAGACUCAGUUGUGCUAUAUAGAAGGGAGUGUUUUGUUGUAAUUCCAAUAUCGAUGGAAAUCCAACAGCCAAAAUCUUUUCAAAUUUUUGUGAGGAUUUUGGGGUGUACGUAAAUUGAUUAUGUUUAUCGUAUAUUGUGUGAUCAUUUUUUAUCAAAUAUUAUUUGUGUUUCAUUUUAAAUAAAAUAAUUUAAAAUAAUUUUUAACUACAAGAUGUACGAUGAACAGAUAUAAUUCACAAAUCUCCAAAAUCCUUACAAAAAAAUCCGAAAAAGAUCCAAAUUCAAUGGAAAUAAGCUAAUUUUGAAUCAAAUUACAUUACUUUAUUUUGUAAAUAAAUUUAAUUUUGAAUUGAACAACACAUUCAUUUAUUAUGUAAGUAAUUCAUUUUGUAUGUAUCAUCAUAUAUAUUAGGCACAUUUUAUCAUAGGUGAUUUUGUGAAAAAUUAAUAAAAAGUUACAAUAUUAACAAUAGAUCAAUAAUAUUUAUGUUAAUUAUAAAUAGGUUAACCAUGUAUUGUGAUACUUAAAUACAUUUAAAAUAAAUAAAAAUUACAAAAUCUACUACUACAGCUAGCAUUCACUUCAACUAAAACUCUCUUCCACGUAGUUUUUAUAUUUGGAAUAAGUCAUACGAAUCAGAGACAUGAAGAGGUGUAAGAACUGUGAAUGUCCAACAACAAAGACUUCGGAGUUUGUUGUCGAAUAUCUGCAGCGCAUCAUUUCUGAUAGAUCAAAUCGAGCCAAUUCCCGCAAACUCCAAUCCCACCACCACCUUUCAAGCCGGCCUCAGCCCUCCGGGCGGCAUUUGGCAGGACAGCACUGGAUCAAACAAGAAUGGGACUGGCAGUGGGAGCAAUGAACGAGUACACUCAGCAGGGAAGUCCAUCAUGCGUUAAGGCAAAUGGUUCUCAAACACAAAGCAAUAGUUCGCUACCGAAAACAACCAAAGUCUGACAAAGGGAACCGUCUUACACCUAACCUGUUUUUCCCUCAUCAAAUGAGCGCGUUGAUCUGCAGAUAUUUUCUGCCAUCUCAAAACCUGUUACAAAGAAAUAUAACGUUGAUGUCGAGCUGGAUAGCAUAUUAUACCAAUUAUGUGUACAAACCUAUUGAAAUAAAGUAGCUGUAGUUGCAUAUUACGACAGAUAUUAACGAAAACAAAAGAAGGCUCGCCUAUUCAAGAUCCUAAAUCCCAUGAUUCUUUUGUUUUUAGUUUCAGAAAUUUUCAGAGCACAAACUGGAAAGUACCAAGAUACUUACAUAUUGGGCAUAAUGAAAUGCAUCUUCAUCUUUCAAGCAAGAUUUGAGUGAGCGCAAACCGUCCUGAGAGUUACAUAGAGUCAAUCGGUAAUAUAAAAACGUAGAUGCAUCACACCCAAACACAAGUAUUCAAACACCGACAACUUCUUCAUGCGGUGAGGCAUGUUAAAAAAUAGGGAAGAACAGUUAUUGAAUAGGAAGUUAAAGGACUAAAUUUAUGACCUUGUGUUUGUAGUUCUUGGCUCGUAUGCGUUCAUCUAUUACAAAACCAAUCUGUAACAGGUACAACAGAAAAUAUAAGCAGUAGUCAGAACAUUAAGCAUCGGCAUUCACAUUGCCGCCAAUCCAAAGUUAAAAGUCUAAAGGCAAAACAGUAUGAUUCUUAUCUCUCAAACAAAAAUGAAACUAUACCCCAGACAUAAAUGAAAUAAGUUCUACUGCCUCAACUGAGUACUGUGAUUAUAUAUAAAUCCAAUUCACCUUGUCAAGUAAUCUCUUAGGAUCUUGAAAUGCUUGCUUCUUAGCCCAGUCAUUAAAUACAUGCGAGAUAAUCGAUCUCUCAUCCACACUGAAUCUAUUGUACAGUGACAGAAUAAUAAAGUUAAACAUGAACAUAACCAACCAAAAAUGCUAGUUAUAAUAGUACACCCAUAAUUGCAAGCAAAACCUUUUUAAGAAGCCAUUUCCAUGGUUUUCCUCCCCAAAUUCCAUCAAUUCUGCAGAGGCAACGUCAAAUUUACUAUGAUGGAGAUCAUUUUGAACCAUAACAACUUCAGAAGGUAGGAGAUUUGGUUUGAGAUCAUCUGUUGACGGAGUAGUUUCUUUUGAAGGGUCAUGAUGCUUUGAUUGCAAGCCUUCUGUACUUACGUCAGCCUACAAAACAAAAAUUGCAUUCAACCCACACUAGACUUAAUAAGAUUAGAAACACUUCAGAUUCUUCAUUAUUUGUAAGUUUGACUAAACAGCAGAACAACUGAGGAUAAUGAACAGUAAUACACACCUGGACUUCUCGUAGAGAUUUGGAAUUUCUUUCAGAAAUCGCGAAGGUUGAAGCAUCUGAAGGAGUCACCUUCUCAGUCAGAGCAACAACAACAAAUAAGGAGGACAGGAAUUCAAGCUAAAACGUACCUGCCAACUGGAAUCCAUCGUAACAUAAAGAAUGAAAAGCUUUUUUCGAGCACGAGUCAUUGCAACAUAUAAUAGGCGUCUUUCCUCCUAUGAUUAGAGUGGGAUUAUUGAGUUAUUGACCAAAAGAAAAAAGAGUGGGAUUAUUGUGAAAAACACUUCAAAGCUCUGCAUAUAACUGAAAAAUGUUGAACAAUUUACCCCACACCUCAAUGGAGGUCCCAUUUUCUUUUGCAACGCCAUUGAAUUCAUGCAACAACGGGAUCUCAGAUUCAUUUACCUGUGUUAUUGGCAUGAGCAUUAAAGCAAGCUAAGAUGAUUUGAAGAGGUUGAUAUCGUCAUGAUUAUAGUAGAACAGAAUACCAAUUUCAAGUCAUCAAUUAGGUAUAGCAUUGGCAUGUUUAAUCAGUAAAUCUAAUGACAGAACACCUCAACUCUACACAUAAAUAAAUAAACGGUCGUACCCAGUGCACAAGGCUCCCGCUUUACGCAGGGUCUGGGAGAGGUGAAUGUCGGCUAGCCUUACCCCCAUUUAUGGAGAGGCUGCUCCCAAGUCUCGAACCCGAGACCUACCGCUCAUGGGCGAAGGCACUUGCCAUCGCACCAAGUGCGACCUCUACACAUAAAUAAAUAAACAACCUGAAAAAUAUUACAGCCACUUGUUAAGGCAAAUACCUUAAUUAUGAAAACUAUAUCCCACUCUAAACCUUUUGACUGCAAGAGAAUGAAAAAGAAAGACAGUAAGCCAAGAAUGUUUUGUAGAACUCCAAAGGAAGUCCAAUAGGGAAAUCAUCGCAAGUACAAGAGUUAGCGAGGUUCGCAUAAGAGGAUAUCAAAAAGAUCUAUAACCUGAUGAAUAGUAGUCAAAGUGACAGAACUUUGGUUGUCAUGUCUUCGGGAGUGAAAAUUUUCACUCUCCCGCUCAGAUAUGUAGUCGAUGAAUGCUUUGAGUAAAUUAACGCAGCCUUUUUCUUCUGCUACGACUUCUCUCUCCCCUUUUCCCGCAACAAAAUGAGUUGAUAAGAAAUCAGAUACGUCGUCUAGUAGGUACUGAAGAACCUGCAAUGAGAAUAAUCGCAUCACAACAACAGAGUUGGACCAAGAUUUAAGUGACAACAAUGAUUAACUAACUAAAACAGAGAAAUUAUUCAUUUAAGACCUUGUUGACUGAAAAAAGGGUUUUCCAAGCAGCGGGUCAUUUAAGCUUAUUGUAUAAAUGACAAUCAUCACAAACGGCAAACUUACAGAUCUCACGUCAUUGUCUUCAUUCAGCAGUUUUCCUCCCUCUAUAUCAACGACUGCACGUUGCUCAAGACGGUACUUCUAAAAAUUGAAAGUCAAACGAUAAAUGAUUAAGAAGUAUUGAAUAUAAGCAUGAAACGAAGAAAAUGUUAUGGAAUGGUGAUCCUCAUCCUCAAAGAUGAUUAAAAGCAAUUUGAUUCAAAAAUGACAUAUCAACUCUGGAGAAAUGGAAGACAAACCUGUGGUACCAUAUUCGCAACUGAGGUUAUGACAGCUGAAAUCGAUUGUUCCUGUGUGCAUUAAUAAGUGAGACUACCAUAGAGAUUCACAACUAAAUAAAGACAGGUAUUCCACAGAACAACCUUUACCUCUUUGGAAACACAGAUCUAACAAAAACUAUAACAUUUUGGAUUAAUAUUGACGAAUCAAGAAUAAUGCAAGGGAGCAAGAGAUACUCUUCCUUCUAAUAACAAGGAGGUGUGAAAAGUAUACAGAGUUCCAACAAUUAGAGAACUAAAAUCAAACUAAAAAAAUCACCAAAGUAGACAGAAUCUCACUUCGCCAAAAAUUUGAAAAUAUAUCCUUUUUAUCCAUUGAGAUUCAUGAACUACUACUACUACAUCAUGCCAAUAAGCAAUGCGUAAGAGGUGCUACAAUUUACCGAAUAUAUUUACCCUGAGAACAAGUUUUGAAAUCAUCUCUAGUGUUAACAGCACCUUGCGUCCUUGGGUAAGCUGAGUCCUAUUAUCAAGUAAAGAGACCAAUCAGUACAUAUCCAAAAAGAUCUUAAAUGCUUGUAAUACCAAAUAAGAAAGAAACAUGAGUAUAUCUUGAAUUAACCAUGCAAAAAUGUAAUGUUAAAGCAUCUUGUCAUACAGACCUCUUCAAGGUACCAGAAAUUUUUGCACUAAAGAUGUCACAAGCAGCUGAUAUGAAGCUGCAUUUUCUGUGAGUUGAAAUUUUGUCAAUAUAAUCGAUCACCUGAAGAGAGAGAGAGAGAAAAAGACAGUGAUAUCCAGAGAUGUGAGCCUAAAUGCUGAGUGUGUGUAAAAAAAAGAAGAUUAAAUGGAUAGCAAGAAUAUACAACUUUAAUGCUGAAAAGAACAUUGAAUAUGAUGUUCAUUCAUCAUUCCCAUUGAACGUGUACCUUCUUCUUUUCCUCUUUCUCAAAAGCAAGUAGAGCCUUGAAGACUUGCCUAUAUGAUCCAUCAUCACAACCAGGCAAAGUUGUUUUAAUCAUAGCAACAAUGGCUCUAACUACCUGCCAUAAGAAACAUGCUACAUCAACAAGAUCACAGAGUGUACCAGAAACCGUAAUGUAGCAAAAUCUUGGAUAAAAUAGCUGGCCAAAAGGGAAUGGAAAAGCAAGCACGAAAAACAAUGAAAAGGACCAGUGAUGCCAAAAUUCUGGUGGAAAAGGUGAAAAGCUUAUGUCUAUUACAGUUCUUGUAUGCAUUCUUUAUAACUUAAGUUCUACGUAGCAAAAACCACCUUAUGCACAACAAUAUUGGAAAAAUUAGAUACAUACAACUGAGAAGAUAGGUUUUCAUAAUCUGGACAAGUGCUAACUACCUUCUUCCUAUAAACUGCCACUCCAUGAACAUUAAAUGGUAUUUUCCUUUCACGCAAGGCUGUCUGGAAGACUUUUCCUGAUACCUGUAGCAUAAAAUACAAAAGAAAAUGUGACCAAAAUGUCUUAUAUGAUUCACCUCAUUCACAUUAGCACUAAGGCAAGUAAGCUUGACCUGCCUCCGGUAAAGGAUUGCUAUAUUUCCAUAGAAGCACCCUGCUUCUGACCGUUUAGAUGCAGUCUCCAGGAUCUUGUCGACAACAAAGGCACAUUGUGCAUCCUCAUUGUGACUUUCCUUGAUAAUUACCUACAUUUUGCCAGUAAAACCAGUGUCACUAACUAAAAGGACUGAAAAAUGACAUCAAAUUGUACUUGUUGGAGCAAGGAAAGAUUAAGUACCUUAGACCCAGAAGAAUUGUCCGUGUCAACAUUCUUUAGUUGGCAUCGCUUCUUAUUGUUUUUUAUAACAGAAGAUGCAGCUUCCACAAUAUAGCGUGUGGACCGAAAGUUUUUAUUAAGCCUAAUCUGAACCAUAAAGUUAUGUCAAAUCCCACAGAACCCCAUAAAAUAAAACUUACUUUCCUGUAAUUGUACAAUAUAUUUGUUCUAUACUAUAUAUAAUGAAAAAAGACACUGUGAAUGACAUAAGAUAACAUAGCAGUCAAGUGCGAAGCGAACCUCUUUGUAAUUUGAAAAAUCUUUACGAAAAGAAUCAAAUCCAGAAAUGUCCGCCCCAUUGAAACUGAAAAUGGACUGCAGCAGGAUAUAUGUUAUUUGAUUUAGAACAGAUAAGGGCUGGAUUAGAAUGAGCUGAGAGAGAGAGAGAGAGAGAGAGAGGGAGAGAGGGAGAGAGGGAGCAAUAACAUUGGAUUUCCAUAAUAAAUCAACAACAUGCCUGAUCAUCAUCACCAACAAUGGUUAUGUGGUUAUGAGAGGCGAGAAUCCGCAAAAGACUAUAUUGCAUAGCACUUGUGUCUUGAAACUCGUCUAUUACAAUAGCUUUCCAUGACUCCUGGCACUCCUUCAACACUAAUUAAGAGAACACCAUGUAUCAACAUUUAGCAUUACUUGUAAAACUAGAUAAAUCAAUGAAAUAUACUUAGAUGAUAGAGACCUUCAGGAAAAUCACUUAGCUUAGCAGCUUCACAGAGCAGCUAAUUAAGUCGUGGUAGUCCAAAGCGUUGCACGAUUUCAAGAUAUCAUUGUAAUUCCUAAGAAUUUCACCCUGAUUCAGAUUGAGAGCUAAAACUCAUAAGCAAUAGUUUCAAAGAACUGAAAUGAUAUCUGAAAUUCUAGUUCUGAGCGUACUCCUGUCACAUCACCCAUUCUUCGGCAUUCAGCGGGAGUCUUUCCAGAAGCUUUUGCCUGAAACAUAAAUAAAUUUAUUGCCUAAUGCCACAUAUUGUAAGACACACCAUUGUAUUGGUCAUUCUAGCUUGAUUGUAGCUAAUAUUUUUUAAAUCGAAUGAUUAGAGUUCUUAAUCCACAAUAAUCUGAACAUUAAAUUUCGUAUUCAAGACUAACCUGUGUCACAAACUUCAGCCAUUUCUUUGAUGCAUCCUUAAAAUGAUGUGGAGAUGUUACGCCGUUAGACUCUUCCCCAUCUAUAGCAACAUUAAGAUUCGUUUUACUCUUUUCAUCUUCUGAUAACCGCACAGCUUCAAUGAUUGCUCUUCUCUGUUGCCCAUGUCCAUAUAUCAAAAAUUCUGGUCUGCGCUCGAGUCUAAAACACAAGCCAACAUAACAGACUCAGCUGUACCACCAUAUGUAUGGUGUUCAAAAUCAAGGGAGGUGAAUCAAUAGCUUACUUCUCAGCAUGUGAUCGGCAAAGUUGCAAUGAAAAUGAAUGCAAUGUACUGAUUGUUAGUAGUUUUGCCGUUGCUUUCCCAGUCACAGAUCCAAUUCGAUCUCUCAUCUCGGAAGCUGCUGCUGUAGUGAAAGUCAUUGCUAGAAUGUUCGACGUGCUGAUGCCCUAAGAACACAAAAAAAAAAAAAACGAAUAAGAUUUCGAUCAUAAACAAGAAAUGUAGAGAAACACACAAUUAUGAAAGAAAAAGUUAGGGGGAAGUAGCAACACCUCAUUGAGCAGCAUUAGAACGCGCCCAACAAUCAUCAAAGGUACUGAAAUAUCGCUGCAAGCUGCCUCGCGCUGCCUUUCGUUGAGAGAAAGCUAAUACUUCAAAUACUCAUCCGGCAUGUUAGGCAAUCCAUGGUUAACGGAAUCCGUUUGGUUUUCACUACUCAAAGGCGGCGCUGAUGCGGCACGAACGUCACUACCACAACUCCCAAUAUCAUCACGCUGAAUGUCCACACUUGGUUUCUGCUCAAUUAAAGCGUCAAUUUCCUGCAAAAUACUCUCAUCGAAAUCAUCAUCGUUAAGAAUUCCAGAUGCAGAGAAAGAAUCAAAUGAAGUCAGAAACUGAUGUCUGAUUGGAGUUGUGAAAGAAUCCGAUUUUGACACGCUUGAUUCUGUCCGGCUAACGCUUAAGCUCCCGGAACACGAAGCACUGCCAUAUUCACCACGCGCUGAAUUGUACCGGCUUGCGGAAAUCGGAGGCGGUGUUCUUUGAACUCUAUUGAGCUGAGUUGGCGUUUGGAUUCCAUUUCCGCCACAGAUUCUGGAAUUUGAAAAACACAAUUGAAUUGAUUUAAAUUGAAGCAAGAAAACAGCCGAGUAGCCAAAAAAUAGUAAGAAGAUGAAACCUUUGAUUCCUGAACGACUUACUUGGUAUGAGGGAGGUGAUGAUCAGGUGAAACGGCGUCGUUGCGGGGGCGUUUGCGAUCAAUGAGGGCCUUGGCGGCUCUGAAAUUCCGAGAGAUGCGGUUUCUUUGUUCCGCCGUGAGCCCUCCGCCGUACGCCUGAACGUUUUCCUUGGACAUUGCUUCGAAGAUUCCAACGGAGGAUUUGGCCUGACGGCCUGACCAGGCUGAUAACAGUGUAAAACCUUAGGAGCUAAGGAAAAACUAAGAGAGAGAUCGUAGAGAGGGAAAGUUUUUUCUUUUUGGAAACCAGUAGAGAGGAAAAGUUUGUUAAACCUGAAUAAUAUUCUUUUGGCCUAAUCGGAUAAAUGGUCCCGUGGUCAUAAGGUAUUCGGAUGAUAGGCCUGUGGUAAAAAAAUUCAGAUUUAAACCCCUGUGGUCUAAAUCUGUUAGGAUUUAUGCCCUUUUGUUAAAUAAUGCUGACGUGGCUGCCACAUAUAUGCCACGUGGCUGCCAAAUGUCUGCCAUGUGGCAAAAAUAAUAAUUUUUAAUUUUUUUUUUUAAAACCUGAAUUUUUACAAAAAAAUAAAAAAUAAAAAACCCAGUCCGGCGAGGGGGGGAGCUGGUCUCUGGCGGGAGGAAGAAGAAGAAGAAGAAGAAGAAGAAGAAGAAGAAGAAGAAGAAGAAGAAGAAGAAGAAGAAGAAGAAGAAGAAGAAGAAGAAGAAGAAGAAGAAGAAGAAGAAGAAAGAAGAAGAAGAAGAAAAGAAGAAGAAGAAGAAGAAGAAGAAGAAGAAGAAGAAGAAGAAGAAGAAGUCGCGCGGGGAGACCGGCGGGAAGAAGAAGAAGGAAGAAGGAGAGGGAGGAGGGUCGCGCGGGGAGAGGGCUCCGGCGGGGGGGGGGGGGGAGCUGGUCUCCGGCAAGAAGAAGAAGAAGAAGAAGUCCAGCGGGGGGGGAAGGGCGAAGGGCGGGGGGAGCUUCUGGGUUUUUUUUUUUUUUUAAAUUCAGGUUUUUUAAAAAAAAAAUUAAAAAUUAUUAUUUUUGCCACGUGGCAUAUAUGUGGCAGGCACGUCAACAUUAUUUAACAGAAGGGCAUAAAUCCUAACAGACUUAGACCACAGGGGUUUAAAUCCGAAAUUUUUUACCACAGGGGCUAUCAUCCGAAUACCUUAUGACCACGAAAACCAUUUAUCCGAUUAGGCCUAUUCUUUUCAUUCAACUUGUCUACAAUAAUUACUAUUGGAUAAGUAUAUAGGCUGUGUCAUUACUACUACACGUGCAAAACAUGUGCACAUAUGGCUUACUAGAUAGAAUAGUAUAAAUACCUUUUCCUUUCCUUUAUUUUGUAAGAGGUUGUAAUACCUAAAACAGUUAGAGAAAUAUAUUGUAAUUCUUUCUGACUUCUCCUCUAAGCUUCCUUCUUCAGUGUAUUUCUUAAUUUCUAUGGAAUUCAUCUCUACUGUUAAGAUGGUAUCCAGAGUCGUUCUUGCUUGCGCAAUGGUACUGGUUCAUCGUUUCCAUUGCUUCGACUGGUAAGAAGGUGAUAUUGCUUAUGGGCUUUGUCUCUGGAUAUUUGUUCUUUGCGUUGGAAACCCUAAAAGAGUUUAGUGUUCUUCUUCUGAAAUUUCGUUUGAAUUGAAGUGUAAUUGAAGGCCGAUGCCAUAGUUUUUUGGUUAAUUGAAGAGUUAUAUGUUGAUUUGAUGAAAGGCCGAUGCCAAAAUUUGUUGAGAAUUUUCAAUUUCUUGAAGUGAUUUGAGUUGAUUGAAGGCCGAUGCCAUAGUUUUUUGGUUAAUUGAAGAGUUAUAUGUUGAUUUGAUGAAAGGCCGAUGCCAAAAUUUGUUGAGAAUUUAGUUUCUUGAAGUAAUUGAAUAGAUUCAAGGACGAUUGCCAUUGUUGGAGUAUAUAUGUGAUUCUUGCUUCUCUGCGAUCGUAGAGUGAUUGUCUUCGUAGUUGGAAAUCAGAUUUGCAAUUCUUGUUCAUCUGGAGUUAUCCACCGAUAUCAUUAACAUAUAAUAAGAGAACAAUAAUUGAUGAACCAUCACACUUGACAAAUAAAGAAGGAUCUGCAUAUGAUGACUUGAACCCAAGCUUAGGCAAAUAACCUGAAAACAUGUCAUGCUAGGCUCUGGGAGCUUGCUUGAGACCAUAUAAAGACCUCUCCAGUUUGCACACAUAAUCUGGAUAGGUAGAAUCCACAAACCCUUAGGGCUGAGACAUAAAAACUUAUUCCUCAAGAAAGCCAUGCAAAAAAGCGUUAUUGACAUCUAACUGUAUGAGUUUCCAAUUAUGAGAUGCAGCCAACGAUAGAACCAAUCGAACUAUGGUUGGUUUGAUCACAUGGCUAAAGGUUUCAUAAUAGUUAAUACCAACUUCUUGAGAAUACCCCUUAGCUACAAGUCUAGCCUUGUACCUAGCCACUGAACCAUCUGGAUUUCUUUUAAUCUUGUAGAUCCAUUUACAACCAACAAGAUUUUUGUCAGAUGGUAAGGGCACAAGCUUCCAAGUACGUUGUUGAAUCAAAGCAUCCAUCUCUUAUUUCAUGGCAUUUUGCCAUUGAACACACUUGAUUGCACUAGAAAAAGACUUAGGUUCCUUGAUUUCAGAAGCCUGAUCCACCUUAGCAGAAAACACCUUCUUUUUCAUAAUCCUAGACUUAGACUGGGUUUGCAUGGGAUGACAAUUUUGAGCAUUGAUACACACUAGUUGGAGAUCAUCCACUUGAGACAUUGUAGUAUUUGGAUGAUCUUUUGAAUACACAGUAGGCAAAACCUCUGAAGAAGGCACACCACUUGUGGAAUAAGAGACAAGAUCACCAGAACUAGUGGGUUGAGAGGAUGAUGACUGAGUAACAUGCCGUGAUUUAGAGGUAAGAGAAGUGGGACCAAUAAAUGGAAAUGUGGAAGAAACACUAGGUGGAUGAAUGAAUGUGUUUGAAUGCACAACAGACACUGGUGAGGAAGAAUGACCAGAAGUAACUUGAGGAUUGAAACCCAAAGCAUUAGAGUCUGUAGGAAACUUGGAUUCAUAAAAAAUAACAUGUCUAGAUACUAACAGUUUCUGAUCUUUGAGAGAGAAGCAAAUAUACCCUUUGUAUUGUGUAGCAUACCCCAGAAAAAUACACUUAGUAGUUUUAGGUUCAAGUUUAGUGCUUCUAUAGGGUUUCAAUGAAGCAUAACAUAAACACCCAAAAAUUCUCAAAUGAUCAAGCUUAGGUGGAGAUUUAUAUAGCAUUUCAAAAGGAGACUGCAUAUGUAGGGUAGGUGUGGGCAUUCUGUUUAUAAGAAAAGUAGCAGUGGCACAGGCAUGGAACUAGAAUUUUGAAGGUAAUGAAACUUGUUGUAAAAAGGUAAUAGCUGUUUCAACAAUAUGUUGAUUUUUUCUCUCAGCUAACCCAUUAUGGUAUAGGGUAUAAAGACAAUAUUUUUGAUGAACAAUGCCUUUGGUAAGAAGAAAUUGCUUAAACUGAGUACUAACAUAUUCCCCACCCCUAUCACUUUGCAAAAUUUUUACAUGAGCAUCAAAAUAAAUCGAGACAAAAGUAAGAAAGUUGACAAAAACAGUGAACACUGCAAUUUUAUUAUUUAAUGGAAAAAUCCAAGUAUAUCUUGUACAUUCAUCAAUGAAGGAAACAUAAUACUUGUAACCUUCUAUAGACAGACUAGGUGAGGGACCCAAACAUCUAUGUGAAUUACUUUAAAUGGAGUAAGUAACUUCGAAGCAAUUACAGGAAAAGGGAACUUGGUAAACUUGCCUUGCAAACAAGCUUUACAAGUAUGAGAUUGAGAGUUACAAGGAAAAGAUAUACAAGACUUAUCAAGUGUUGCAGUGACAAUGGAAUGUGCAGGAUGACCUAAUCGACAAUGUCACAAUGUAGAAGAAAUCUUUUAUCCCACAAAUGCAACUGGAUUAAAAACAGGAGAAAUAGACCUCUGUGGUUUGAUUAUGGGAAGUGGAUAGACAACAUUAUUACUCAGCCCUUGGAAUAGCACUCUCCCGGUGACCUUGUCCUGUAGAUAGAGAGAAACAUCAUUAAUGAUACAACGACACUGAUUAUCUUUGCACAACUGAUUCAUAGAUAAUAAGUGUUGUGACAGUUUUGGAACAUGUAACAUAGAGUUUAACUUGAAAUUAUGUGACUUAGUGAGAAGAGAAGAGGAACCAAUAUGUUUGAUAGCUAAACCUUCACCACUAGCACUGGUCACAAUAUCAUUUGAUGGAUAAAUUUGUUGCCAUGUGCAAGUUUGACAAAUCUGAGGUCAUAUGGUCCAAGUCAAGAAACCAGAAAUCUUGUUGAAGAGUUGAGGAUGAUGCACCAGCUCGUGCUUGCAUAGCAAGAUGAAGAUUUUGUGAGGAUGUAGUUGAGAGAUAUGGUAUGACAAGAUACUAAAACUGGGAGCUAUUAGACUGUGGAAUCAUGCCUUGUGAAGGACCACAUGGAUUCUAGCUAGGUGCUUCACCAUAUAACCCAGUAGGCAUUGGAGUUGGCAUAGAUGAGGAUAAACCCUGAGAGAAAUGCUCUGAUGUGCCUGUAAAAUUCUUAUUCCAAUCAAAGCAAGUAGCAGCAACAUGGUGACAAAUUUGACAUCCAUGUUGAAAACAAUUCAAUGCAGAAUGACCUUUGCGAUCACAUAUUUGCAGAAUGACCUUUGCAACCCUAGAAAGAAGAAGGAGUGAAGAAGACCAAAUGUGUACGUUUCUCUUUGAUUGUUUUUCCCUCCUAAUCGCGCAGUUCGAAAUCACGGACCUCGGGCCUCGGCCUAGUGGGCCCAAUUAUGAGGCCCAUUAUCUCCGGUCUUCUCGUUCUACUUCUAGUUACCCAAAUUAAGAACGUACUGGUUCGCUUUUAGCGCGAGAGAGAAAUGGAGGCCCUGAUUGCCUCGUACGGAGACUCGUCGUCGGGCUCAGACUCCGAGUCGCCGGCUCCACCUUCACCACCACCUCCGGAGCUCAACAACCCUCAAGAACCGACCCCUGCGCUGCCUCCACCUCCUCUUUCACUUCUCGACAGCCCCAAUUCCUUCGGUAACCUCUGAUUCCCAUCAAUUUCAUCUUUUAGCUUUCUGCUGUGAUGGCUUUUUCCGAGUUGCCCACCAAGUGUUUGAUGUUUUGCCUCUGAAGGAUUUCUGGACUUAUCGGCAAGCGCCCAGCCGAGCAGAGUUCGGAACUUUCCUCACGUCGAAGGGAACUACGCAGUACAUGUAUACAUCCCAGGUUAUCAAAAUUCUCGAAAUUUUCAGCUCCAUUAGCAAAUGCGAUCGCUUUGCACUUAGUUUUUGCUUGUUUAAUUGUGUGGUUCCAGUUUAUAUACCACCAGCACCAAGGAAAGAGAUGGCCUUGUUUUUGAACAAGCUAGCUUCUCUGGUGCCUGGUCUCCAUGCGGUUGACGUUGACUUCCCGCUUGACAUUCUGCGUAAGGACGAGCACAAGCUUGAACAAGUUGCUUUAGGCAGAGAGUUCCAUAUAAGUCUCGGAAGAACUGUUCCGAUUCGGGUGCACCAGAUUGAUUCCUUGGUGACAAUGCUGCGGCAGAAGCUUCAGAUUCAGAGGCGGUAUGGUUACAUUUACAUUCUCUUGUCCGCAUUGCGUGAAGUUAGUUCUGUUAUUUAACAUAAUUCUGUAAGCCUGCAAAUUUUUUGUCCAUUUUCGGUUUAACACAUUUUGUUAUUGUGAAACAGGUAUUGGAUUGAUUUUAGCAAGUGGGAGGUUUUUGUUAAUGAUGAUCAGACCCGGACCUUUGUGUCUAUCGAAAUCAUUGCUGCUGGGUUAGCUGAGGUAUGAUUGCUAGCUUUCUCUCUUGGUGCAAUUCUAAAUGUUUUCAGUUGUUAUAUGGGCUUAAGAUUUAGUAAGUACUUGCCGAAGGUCAUGGGAUUUUGAAAUAUUGAUAUCUUGCUUGCUUAUUAGCUUAGAUUUGGUCUUCGAUGCACUUGUAACAUGAAAAACACAAACGAAAACUAAUGCAUGAUAUGCUCAUGGUUUUAACAUGUGUUGUCCUGGCGUAAAUCAUGUUCCUAAUCCUGUCAUGUGAGUAUAAGCCUAUGAUACUUAGGGCAUGUUUGGCGGGCCGGACAAGAUUGGAAUUGGUAUUUCAGACUAGUUAGGUUAGGAUUGAACUGGAUAGGAUAGGUUUUUGGUCUAAAGAUUGGUGUAGACUGUCUUAACGAUGGGAUUUAAAACGUGAAACAGAUCUGCGACAUCCCAACGAUGACCCGCCCACCCAACAACUCUGCUCGUGACUUGCAACACCUCUCGUACCCUCCACGCCCCUUGAGGCCCGUCAGACCACUCUGAUAUCCUGGAGAGGUGAAACGUGGUUACUAGAAGCAUACCUGUUUUCGUAUUAAUGCACGGUUGAAGCAGCUUUCAUUGUCUACAAGUCUGAAAUAUUUCAACUUCCAUUGAUUUCAGAUAACAAAGCAGAUUCAAGCUGUGAAUGAGGUGUAUAAGCUUUUUCGUGUUUUUCAAACUCGAAAAACAAGAUUGUGCCUGAAUACUACUCAUUGCUCAAAAAACUAAAUCACUUCAUGGGGUGUUGGUGAUCACAGGAUCCGCGCCCUCACAUCUCGGUAGCUUGGGCAUUGGGUGACAUCAGCAAUUCCCUGAAGAAAGUGGUUGAAGAAGAAAGACGAAGAUCUACCAUCGGAGGAUCGUUACAGAAAUGUAUUUUUACCAGUAAAUUCAAUGGUAUCGAAUGUAGGAUUGGUAAUAAGACACAAAAUAUGUAAAUUUUCUGAACAAUAAUGUAGCCAUUUAACUGUAUCGUGAAAUUCCGAGAAUAUAUCGCUGAGCAUUGGAUGAGAAGACAUUUCUUUGUUGGUGUCGAACUUCUUGUCGAAGGUAUUGGCACCAGUGUAAACGUCAUCAUCCAUGUUGAUGGUAAUUACUUCCCAGCUACCAAGGGUGUCGGAACAACCUUGCACGCAGCCUCCUGUGCAUUACUUAAUAUUGUCUCAGUUUCUCCAAACUUGAAUGCUCCUGUAAACCCACUCUUGACCUUUCCGUCAUCUGCAAUUACAGGAAAGCUGGCUAGGAUGUUGCCGUUAACCUACCUAACUGGCUAGGAUGUAGCCGUCAUCUCCAAACUUAAAAGACCGGAAAGCCGGCUCCAAACCUCAAUGUGCUACUAGUUUUUGUAUGCGAGAGCUCCACCUCCAUUGUUGUAACAGCAUCUGAUGCGGACUAGUCCUUCAUUCCCGUUACUCUUUGCUAUCUCCACUUCAAACUUGGCGUAAUGGCUCCCGGCCGCCUCUCCGGUGAAAUUGAGAAACCCUGGGAAACCCUGGAGCUAGGCGUUUUCAUUCUGUUGUCCGUAUAUCUUGAUAUUACAAGUAUUUGUUGUGCAAAAUGCAAGCUAAGUUCAAGUUAUGUUUAUGUAUGUGUGUGUGUGUGUUGUCACUUCGCCACUUUUCCAACGUUUUCUCCAAAAUUGUGAUUUUGGUGUUGUUCUAACUUUGGUGAAUGCUAAUAACAAUUCCCUCGUUAACCAUUGGGACGAGCAACAAGGCAGUUUUGAUUCCGUGCACAACGGCGAUACCUCGAAAGAAAUUGAUUCUUCACCAGAAAGAUGUUUUAAAACAAAGUUGAACAGUUGAUGUAUACAGACGUUCCUUGCUUAUGACACGACUUAUGAGAGGAUGUAUGUAUUGCAUUUGCAUCAAAAGAAAGAAAGAAGGUUGUAAGUGGUAAGGGAACGACUACCGAUGCCGCUCCACUUCUAAUCAAAGGGAUCGAUCCGAGGGUCGUGUUCACUUGCCAUCGCUAUUCCAGUGCAAAGGCAUGUCGGGCACAUUACCUGCCACAUUUACGGACGCAAUGUUAGAUAUAGCUGCCAUUUGGAAGUCAUCUCUCAAAAUUUUGCUACUAAAUUAAUCUUAAACGUCAUUUCCAGUGCAAUUUUUUUCUUCUGAAUUGUCUUUCACAUGCCCGACAAAUAAAAGUAUCACCAAACAUGUGAAUAUAGUGCAUCUAAGCGGCAGGCACUAAAAGGAAUUUAGUAUGCAAUAAACAUUCAACGGACAUAAUUAUAUGUCUAACCUUUCCCGCUCCUGAGCAAUUUGAACAUCGUUCAGUUUUUGGCAGAGAUAGGGGUUGGUUUCCGCCAUCAGCUGUCGAUAAUGGUUCAGUAAGAACAAGGGUUCCAGUGCUGGAGCAACGAGCACAAGCAAGAUAUCCUGCGUAAGUAUCAAAUACACAGGUAAGUUGACAUAUGAAACCAAUCCGAACAUCUCCAUCGUAUAUAUUUAAAGCUACAGUACAUAAAACUAAAAGUCAGAAAUAGAGGACAUUAUCACACCAGUUCCAAGACAAUAUUUGCAUCGUUUAUGCUCCUGCUGUUUCGCAUUGUUUAUUUCAACUACCAUCAAUGCUGAGAUCACUCCAACUGCUCCUCCAGAAAACGACGCCACUAUGGGAUCAACUUGACUGCAGUUUGAAAGUAUAGGAGAUCAAUAAACGAAACUGGUAACAACAUGGUAUCAACAUUAUUUAGCUUCGUUUCAAGAUAGCUGACAUCCUGGGUUUUUCUAAUGUGUAAAAAUUGAGGAUCCUUGUAAAAUUUGACUAUAUCAGUUCCCAAAGUAUUUGAUUCCUAUGUUACAGACCGAAAACAGUAACAAUUGAAUUUUUAGAUUCAUAACACGAUAGAUGGUACAAAAUUUCAAAACGAUAAUUACUAGAGAACAGGAGGGCUAAUAGCCUGAGAUAUGAGCCAUACCUCAACUGCAACGGCAGAUGCAUAUUUACUAUAAAAUCUUUAUACGAUGUGCCUCCUAUUCCAAGCUUCAACUCCAACUGAAAGAUGUAAACGUAAUUGUCGGCAGAGAGUUAGAAACAUAACCGAAUCCAUGUUUUAUAAGCAGAAACUACACUUAUUUGACAUGUUUCCUCGUUUUUUUACUUGCAAAUUCAAAACCGUAUUGUCGGACCAGUAAAAUAAAAUAAUGUUUACUAAUAACUGUUAAAACUAAUCACAACAAGUUAAUGCAUAAAGAACUUACGGAGGGUGCUAUGAGGCCACCGAAAAGGAUAAACCCCGCAAUAAUUGAAUAACAUACAGCAUAAUACUGCUUAAGGUUGUCUGAACUCUGCAACCAAUGCAUUCACCUUGUGAUUAAUACUUUGCACAAACACUAGUUUUCGCAGUUUUUUAUGAACCGACAAAAGGCUACAACAAAAUAUGGCUAAAACAAGUCCGGGAUAUGAAAAUACAUGUCUUCACAGGGUCAGCAGCUUACCAGGGGAGGCAAAAAUGGAAUGAAUGAUGGAAAACUAGGAAGUUCGUUUUCUUGAUCUUCAUUUACCGCUCCAAGCUCUGCGCGUUUAAUCCGCUGUUGUAUCCUCAGCCUGCGAACCUUCGCAUAUCGAAGCUCAUUCUUAAAGAACACAUUUCUAAUGGCAAUUGGAGAGUAAUUUAAAACAUGCUAAACUGAGAAAGUGGCAGCAACUAGCAAUUGCUCUCACCUCCUCCAUAUGCAAGAAAAUUUUGUUGCGCCGACUCCGAAUAUUAUCUUGAAUUUCUUGCAGCUCCAUUGUGGCAAAGUCCUGCACUGUUUCAGGCCCCUCUAUGAUACAAAAUCUGCACAAUUAAGCAUGUAAAAACUAAAAAUUACAGGCUAAAAAAGCAAUUUCCGUAUCAUUGCUCGGUUAAUUAACAUCAACAGCAGAUAAAUCACAUGGGUUUUUCAAAUGAAGUUACAAACUUUCAAAGACCAGUAAGCUGUCUGCAAUCUCAUAAAUUUCACAGUGCAAAGUAAAAAUCCAAAGCUUGGAACUUUAAAUUUCCAUUUUCUGUUAAUUUCCUAGAGAGAGGGGGGGUGGUACCCGGCGGGGUUUGUAUCGGCGGCGGGAUUGGGAUCAGAAUCGACAGACGGAGCGAAAGAGGAGGAGUCGGGCUCCGAAGCCAUGGCCAGGGAUCGCCAUCUGGAGCUGCUUGUUGAUAUGGGGCUUCUUGGGUAGCUGAAUUUGGAGCAGCCGGCGCUAUGCAGUUUGUACGGACUGCACCGAUUUACGGGGAAAGACACGGCCAAAAGUCUGCCGCAGCAGAGCAUCUCUCUCUCUCUCUCAAACCAGAAGGCAGAGCUUUCUGUUUCUCUUGAGGUUUCUUUCACUGGUAAAUUCCAGAGAAGCAGAGAAGAAGGCUCUCUGAGAAAUGGAGGCAAAACAAAUGUAAAUCUUGAAGCACCGACCAUGUGCAGAACACUUAUCAACUACCGAACUCUAGGAUUUUUAUUUUUUGGUAAACUACCGAACUCUACGAUUAGGAGAGAAACAAGGGGAGAGAGAGUGAGUGACCGGAAAAAAAUAAAAAAUAAAAAAAAUAUGGAGGGAAGUGGCUGAUUCUUCUCUCAUUUUUUCCUAUUGUUUUUCAGAAAAAAAAAAAUAAUAAUAGUAAUUAGUCGUUAGAUUCGAGUAGUCGUUCGGUAUGUCACAUUUAAAAUUUUAUUAUAGGAAGCAUAAGGUUAGGCCAUCUCCAAUCGAAUUAGGUCUGAAAGAUCAUGUUUAUCCUUAUAGUUUUGCAAGAAAUUAUAUUUUAAUAAACAAUGCAUGUCAUAUUUUAUACCAUCUCUAACCGGGGGGCCAAAGAAUCAUGGGCCAAACAUAGCCCUUUGACAAUAAACGCAUCUCCAACCGAGAGGGCCAAAAUGUCAUAGACCAAAAAUAAUCCCCUAAAGAAUUUAUUAUUUUAAUUGAAUUAAUAUAGUUAAUUAAAUUAAACUACCGUAUUAAAAUAAGGUUUUCUGACAUAUUUUGAGUGCCACUUGCCACAAUAACGAAGAAAGCGUGGUAUUGUUGCACUUGCUAUAAAGUCAAGCUUGACAUUCUGCCGCUGGAGAACUGGUUGGCUGACUGGAAAUGGCCAACCCGUUGGCUUGAUUUGGGGGUUUUGGCCAGAUGGGGCCCAACAAGCCAUUUGGCCUAGCCUUGCUUGAAGACGGUUUUCUUGUCAUUCCAAGCUAUUUUUAGCCCUAUGACCAUUUGAUUUGAUCGGUUGGAGAUGACUUUAGGUGCGGUGAUUGUCCUUGAGAUAUCGAAGGUUCUGUGUGAUCGAAUACUUCGUCCUCCUCCAAAGCCGCCACUGUUGAGAAGGUUACUUGCCUUAUGCAAACAUUAUGAAUUGCAAGUGAUGAAUUGUUCUGAUGAUAAGGUUUAUUUUUUAACUCAUUAUGUUUCGAGUUUAAACAUUUUUCCCUCUCUUUAAUGUAUAUAUUAAUGAAAUAUUGUUCGUAAUAAAAAAAUAAAAAAAUGAUACAUUCUCAUUCAUAUAUAAGAUGAUCAAGUCUGAAAUUAUUACUUUUAAUGAGUGACUUAGUUAACCAUUUUCAUUUCUUAUGCGUUCAAAAUUAGACAAAUUCUUUGCAAACAUUAAAAAAAAAAAAAGAUAUUAAGGAGACUUUGAAACUAUUACAUUAUGGGAGGGGGAAUUUCGAACUCGGGACUUCUGAGUAGAACCCAAAUGCUUCUCCACUAGGAUAUUAGACUAGUGCCGGUCCUGAAUUUUUUGGUGCCUGGAGCGAAUAAUGUGCCCUUUUCCAGUACAACAACAUAAAUUAAAAAGAAAUAUUUAAAGAGGGCUGGAACCCAGUCGAAGCUGGGGGGCUAGGCCCUCACGCCCAUAUUAUAUUACUUUUAAGAAUAAACAUACAACUGGGGGAACAUAGUAUCGAAAUCCCGACGAUCAAAAGCAAAAUAUAUACAACCACUCCAAGCAGUCAACAUGGCCAUCACAUAUUGAAUCCAAAAUGUCAACGCCCCAUUGGCUGCAUAUAAAGUACAAACGAGCGGCAACUUCAGCCAGUUCUGCGAUAUCCGGCUGGAUGAGAGCAGCUAAAGACAUGAUUGUUCCCUAAUAACAUGAAUAAAUUGAGUAAACACCAAAAGUAGCAGCAAGGGAAGGAGAUGUGAAGUAGAUGAAGAGAUGUAAGAACUGUGAAUGUCCAGCAACAAAGACUUCGGAGCUUGUUGUCGAAUACCUGCAGCGCAUCAUUUCUGGUAGAUCAAAUACAACCAAGUCCUGCCAACUCCAAUUCCAAAAAUCCUACAGUAUAGCAUAAAUCUUAUUCUCUUCUGAUAAAGAUGUGUGUCCCUACCCAUAAAUCGAAACCUUCAUCUGCAAGGACGAAUCCCAUUUAUUCUUCUGAAGAAUUUAAGAACCAUGAACCACCUGGUCAAGAUCAAGAAAAGCCAGUAACCAAUUACAAUUGAGUUUGAAGCAAAUUAGAGCCAAAUUUAAAAUGUAUCCGAUGGAUGUUCAUCAAUUUACACAAUAGUUAGUUUCAAGAAAGGAAAUUUCAACAGAACCUGAAAACUUCAGAUCAGGGGGCACCAAAUAGUGAGCUACACAUUCAGAAUUUGAAAUAUUUCAAAUCAACUUGGUGGGGCCAAUAUGUUGAAAAAAUUGGAAGGAGCUAUGAAAGUAAGGCUUUUCGCUAAUCAGGCGUCUAGAGAAUCAAUAUUUUACUCACGUAUCAGUUACGGGGAACACUCCCCACCAGAGCAAUCUCAUUAGUCCUUCACAUCUCAAACGGCACAGAAAUUGCACUAACAAACACGACUCCUAUUAGUCCUUCACAUCUAAAAUCCAGGAAGUACCCAUCUUUCGUCUGAAUCUGGAAAAUAAGCAGAGCACUCAAUUUAACAAUCUGGGUAUCUCAAAGUUACUCACUUUAAUCACAAAUUUAACAAUUAAACAUAUAAAUGGGCAUUUUUUUAGUGAAAUAUUAGUAUCUUACUCACUGUGUGCUCGGAGCAAGAGUACCCGGAAAGCUCAAUGAGCUGUGCACAGAGGACUGCAGCGGUGAACGACAGCGACCGAUUCUGUAAAAUUCAGUCAAGUUUUCGGCAAUUUCUGCAGCGAUUUCGGAGUUCAAGAGGCUGAUAAGGAAAGCUGCGACUGAAGGACACUGGUCUGGAAGAAAGGCUCUGGUCACCGCUGUCGCAAUUUGUGAAGGAAGAAGUGCCCCAAAACAAUUUCGGCCCUGAACAGAUGCACUGUUUGCACUGGACCAGGGCCGGCACUGGCGAUAACGUCCCCCAAACAGUACAUAUACAGAUGCUAGAAAUAAUAAAUGUCACCUGAAACUACUAGAACCAUUCAAUUCUAGCGUCUACAGCUUUAGCAUUAGUUGGUACAAGGGACAUUCUUCUAAAGAGGGAGAUGAACUCGUUGAGGCUCUUAUUUAUUCCUCCUCUUGAGGUGUCCUUUUAGGCUGCUAAUUCCAGACGAUCCAAUCUCAUACAUCUUCCCUGCAAAAGCAUGUGUGCCAGACUUCAAGAUCAAAAUUUUCCAACAAAAGAAACUUAAAGAUCAAACUCGCCUGCGGAAUAAAUGGUGCACAAGGGUGUUAAAAAUGGUGCACAAGGGUGUUAAAAUCUUGACAUAUGUAUAUUUUUGGCAGAUUUUAUGUGAGCAUGCAACUAAAACUGGCAUAACAGUUUGAGUUGUAACUUCUCCAUUGUAUUUGUUAAGGCAAGACGGAUGUCAUCUAUGCAUUUUUCUGUAAAACUUAGAAGGCUGCAUAGCAGCUCUUGUUCGUUGUAUUGAAUACCGUGGUUUAACCGAUGAAUGCAGAGUUUGCUGAUGAUUCAUACGACAAGCAAUUGAAAAUCCCCAUCAUUUACACAAAUUCAGAGCAUUCAUCCACUGUAAUUUGCAGAUAUAGAAACGUCAAGAUAAAAGGAAAUGCAAAGUACCUUUCACCCAAAUUGGAAGAGCACCGGUGGCAUUAGCAAGUUAGCAACGGGAAUUGACAUACCAAUAUCUUCACAGUUUCUGCACAAGCACAAAUCAAAAGAAUUGUGGAUUUCAAAAUAUGCGGCCGUGGCUAGCCGUCUGACCACGCCAAUUCCACCAAAGCCGCCGCAACGCGGCGUAGUGUCCGAUUGAUUGCUUCAAAACAGAGCUUCGUAUCCAUGUGUUUAUCAGCAGAGAGUACCCAAAACCCCUGAAAAUUAUUUCUUUAUUCAGAUAAUAAAAUUUCCCAAAUUUCAAAUUUUAAUUCCGAACCAAAAAUAGGAUUUGAAUUUUGAUUACCUAGAAAUGGGGGGGGGGGGGGUUGGGGUGGAGAGGGACUCAGGCCAAGACAGAGCUAUGUGUCUGUGAUAAGGUGUGCCAAAUUACAGAGUGUGUCGGGAAGAUGUACAAGGCUUUUGCAGUUUCUCAGAUUUAAAUACCGAAGCCCCGUAAGCUGUUCAAUCCAGGGGGAAAGCUCUUUGAUAGAUGUUCCAUCCAAGAAAAGAUAUCUUAAUCCUUCCAUAUUUUCUUCAAUGCUUGGAAACACCUCAAAUUUUGUAGAACCGGAAAGAGAGAGAGAGACAAGGGACUUGAGCUGAGAAAUGCUGCUCGGAAGACUCUUAAGUUCCACGCAAUAUUUCAGGCUUAAAUAACUCAACCCCGUGAGAUUAUUAAUUGACAGCGGUAGUUCUUUAAUUUUUGACCCGGAUAAAUCAAGCUCUUCUAACUCCUCAAUACCUUCUAAAAUCUCUGGAAACAUCUCAAGAUUGGAGCAGUCAUAAAGAUUAAGGGUUUUGAGAGAUUUCAUACGAAUGCUGCUUGGAAGACUCUUAAGUUCCACGCAAUGUUUUAGGUUCAAAUGACUCAACCCCGUGAGAUUAUUAAUUGACAGGGGCAGUUCUUUAAUUUUGGACCCGGAUAAAUUAAGCUCUUUUAAUCCCUCAAUAACUUCUGAAAUCUCUGGAAACAUCUCAAGAUUGGUGCAGCCAUAAAGCUUAAAGGUUUUGAGAGAUUUCAUACGAAUGCUGCUUGGAAGACUCUUAAGUUCCACGCAAUGUUCUAGGUUCAAAUGACUCAAUCCCGUGAGAUUAUUAAUUGACAGGGGCAAUUCUUUAAUUUUGGACCCAGAUAAAUUAAGCUCUUCUAACUCCUCCAUACCUUUUGAAAUCUCUGGAAACAUCUCAAGACUGGAGCAACCAAAAAGAUUAAAGGUUUUGAGAGAUCUCAUACGAAUCUUGCUGGGUAGACUCUUAAGUUGCUUGCAAUGUUUUAGGUUGAAAUGACUCAACCCCGUGAGAUUAUUAAUUGACGGGGGUAGUUCUUCAAUUUUUGCCCCGGAUAAAUCAAGCUUUUCUAACCCCUCAAUACCUUCUGAAAUCGAUGGAAACAUCUCAAGACUAGAGCAGCCAUAAAGAUUAAAGGUUUUUAGACAUUUCACAUGAAUGCAGCUUGGAAGACUCUUAAGUUCCUCGCAAUGUUUUAGUUUGAAAUGACUCAACCCCGUGAGAUUAUUAAUUGACAGGGGCAGUUCUUUAAUUUUGGACCCGGAUAAAUUAAGCUCCUCUAACUCCUCCAUACCUUCUGAAAUCUCUGGAAACAUCUCAAGACUCGUGCAACCAUAAAGGUUAAAGGUUUUGAGAGAUUUCAUACGAAUGCUGCUUGGAAGACUCUUAAGUUCCUUGCAAAGUAUUAGGUUCAAACGAAUCAACCCCGUGAGAUUAUUAAUUGACGAAGGGAGUUCUUUAAUUUUUGACCCGGAUAAAUCAAGCUCUUCUAACUUCUCCAUACCUUCUAAAAUCUCUGGAAACAUCUCAAGAUUGGAGCAGCCAUAAAGAUUAAAGGUUUUAAGAGAUUUCAUACGAAUGCUGCUUGGAAGACUCUUAAGUUCCUCGCAAUGUUCUAGGUUCAAAUGACUCAAUCCCGUGAGAUUAUUAAUUGACGAGGGCAGUUCUUUAAUUUUUGACCAGGUUAAAUUAAGCUCUUCCAACUUCUCCAUACCUUCUAAAAUCUCUGGAAACAUCUCAAGACUAGAGCAGCCAGAAAGAUUAAAGAUUUUGAGAGAUCUCAUACGAAUUUUGCUGGGUAGACUCUUAAGUUCCUUGCAAUCUUUUAGGUUGAAAUGACUCAACCCCGUGAGAUUAUUAAUUGACGGGGGCAAUUCUUUAAUUCUUGACCUGGAUAAAUCAAGCUCUUCUAACCCCUUAAUCACUUCUGAAAUCUCUGGAAACAUCUCAAGGCUCAAGCAGCCAAAAAGAUUAAAGGUUUUGAGAUAUUUCAUACGAAUGUUGCUGGGUAGAAUCUUAAGGUCAUGGCACGAAUUCAGAUUCAAUAAAACCAGGUUUGUAAGAGUCGAAGUAGACGGGUGAACCUUAACUAACCUUGUACAACAUUGAAGAAUUAGCCUCUCAAGAUUCGGCACAUUUGUGAAGUCAGGGGUUUCCUUAAGGUAUUCACAAUAACUUAAAUUGAUGAAUUUCAACGUUUUCAGCGUCUGUUAAAACAUUCAAGAAAACAUGCAUUACUUAGUAAAACAGCUCACUCAAAACCCAAACAUUUAAAAGAAAUAAAAACAUGUAAUGAUUGUACGUACCUGGGUUCCUUCCCAAAGUCGGUCAAUGAGACUAAAUUGCAUGUCAAGUUCAACAAGAUUUUUCAAUUGAAAGUUGGACGGCAAAGACUUGAGAGGGAAUUCAAACAAGGAGAGAUACCUCAAGUUAAGUAACUUAAGGGGCCCAAUCAGGUGGUGUUUGUAGUAAUCUUCAAAAAUUGAGCCCUUAUGACCGAUCUUGAGAAGUCUUAGUUGAGUCAUACUAACAAAAGCUUCAGCAUUUAAGCAUACCCAGUCUGAGUACGAGAAAUCCACGAAUAUGCUUUCAAUUGAUUCCGUAGCCUGUGCAAAUCAAAGUAUUAGAAAAUACAGAGAACCUUAGUUUAGAUAAUGAAAUUAAUGCUUGUUUCUUAAAGAAGCCGUUUGAUAAUUAUUUCGUCUUCAGUUUAAUAUUGUUUUCAAUUUUCAAUUAUUAAAACAAUGAAACCUAAAAAUUAAAAAUUAAAAACAAAAAUGGUUAUCAAACGGGCCUAAGUAAUUGAUUUUGGUCAAAAGUUGAAGCUUUCUACUAACAACCACAUAAGAAAGACUUCUCACCGUAUUUUGAGUUAGCACGUGAUGAACAUCUUCAUAACUCCACAACCUACUUCGUCUCCCAGGCUCUCUGAUAGAUUCUUGGCGAACGAUUUCCCGACCCAUUUCCUCUAAUGAAUCAUGCAUCUCUAGUUCCCCCUUCUCUGAGACAGUUAUGAGAGCUCGAUCGAUUAGAACUCUUAUUCCUAUAUGAGGAUGGAAACCACAACCGUCUAGAAUUCGGGUUGCAUGGUCUUUCUCCAUCCCUUUAAAGAAACAUGCAAUAUCUAGAAAGAUGUCCCUCUCUGUGUCAUCUAGUCCAUCGAAGCUUGAUUUAAGCACAUCAUGAAUUCCCCUUCGUGGAAUUUUCCUUAUUUUUUCUAACUCAUCUUCCCACUCGCGUAUAGUUUUGUUAUGAAGAAAAGCUCCCAGGACUUUGAGUGCUAAAGGCAGACCUUGAGCAUAUUUUACAGCACAAGUCGAGAGAUUAUCAUAAUCUCUGGUGGGUUGGUUUUUUCUGAAGGCGUGCCGCCUAAAGAGUUCCAGUGCUCCAUAAUCACUCAAGGUCUUGGGAUUAUAUAUCACAUCAGCUAUGCUUAGUAACUGCGAAUCUCUACUUGUGAUAAUAAUCCUACUUCCACCACCAAAGCAUUGUCGCUCUCCAAGUAAAGCUUCAAUUUGUUCUAAUUUUUCCACAUCAUCAACAACAAUAAGAACUUUUCUCUGACCAAGGCUUCUUAACAUCACCUGAAAACCUCUUCUCGAUAUGUCAGAGCUCCCCACCUUGUUGUCCGAGAUACUAGAUAGAAGUUGUGUCUGCAUAUGUAGUUCGCCGUGCCUCAUGAAACCCUCCUUGACAUUUUUAAGAAAGCAACAAGCUUCAAAUCGACAAGCGAUUUUAUCAUAAACAGCAUUAGCGAUGGUUGUUUUGCCUAAACCACCCAUACCCCAUAUUCCAACAACGCGAACAUUAUUCGUUUCACCUUCGGAGGGAUAUAAUAAUGAAAGCAUUUCAUGCAUGUGAGAAUCCAUGUCAACCAAGCCAUUAUCUUUGCUUGAUGUUGAUGAGAUUUUGAUCAAUCUCGAAUAAACAUCUUCUACAAUUUCCUCAAUAAGCACUGCAUCAUUCCUGUCAAAUUUUAAAAACAAUAUAACAACAACUCCAAAUAAUAAUUAAUGGGUCUUUUUCAUCUGUUAGUUUCCAAAAAAAAUAGAAAUUAAAACUAAAAUCUAAAUAUUUGUCAAAUUACCCUAAACGUUACAAAAAUCCCAAAAAUUAAAAGGAAACUAAAACAAAUUAGAAUUUACUCAUAGUUUCGCGAAUCCCAGCCGGUUAAAUCGGUGGCAGUCGUAAGAGCGGAUCUCCAGCUCUGAACCUCUUCCAUUUUGGCGUUAGAAUCAGGAUCGUGCUGAGCAAAAGCUUCGGCGAAUUUUCUCUUGAGUUUACGAACAUCAGACGGAUCAACUUCAUAGAAAAUGGGGAGUACAAUCUGGUUAUUGGUAUCCUUGCAUUCCAGGAUUUGCACAAGUUCUUUCAAGCACCAAGUGGAAGAAGCAUAGUCUUGAGAGAAAACUACAAUCGAAAUCCUCGACUCUCGAAUCGCUGUUAGGAGCUGGGAAAGGUGGUCGCCUUUUCUGAGCUUCUCGGCAUCAAUGAAGGCGUUGAUUGGUUUCUUAGCCAGAGCGUUGUAGAGAUGGCUGACGAAGCCCUUGCGAGUGUCUUCCCCUCUGAAAUUGAUGAACACAUCGUAUUUCCAACCAAGGCCAGAAGAAGAAG
rnacentral:lncRNA from 1 species